AGACUGCCUGAGACUUUGUGUGAAUUAUAUAAUUUACAAAAGCUAGAUAUUAGGGGUUGCGUAUAUCUUAGAGAAUUGCCUGCGGGGAUUGGGAAGUUAAUGAACAUGAGGAGUUUACUGAAUGGUGAAACUGAUUCGUUGAAGUACCUACCAAUAGGGAUUUCUAGAUUGACCAGCCUUCGAACAUUAGAAAAGUUUGUUGUGGGUGGAGGUGUUGAUGGUGGCGGCACGUGUAGGCUUGAAUCUCUGAAAAAUCUUCAACUCCGUGGUAAAUGUUGUAUAGAAGGGCUGAGUAAUGUGUCGCAUGUAGAUGAGGCUGAGAGGUUACAACUUUACAAUAAGAAAAACCUCCUUCGUUUGUAUCUUGAGUUUGGUGGAGCCGUAGAUGGGGAAGGCGAAGCAGGGAGGAGGAAGAACAAUGAGAAAGAUAAACAACUUCUUGAAGCCUUACAACCGCCUUUGAAUGUAGAGGAGUUAAGGAUUAUAUUCUACGGAGGCAACAUUUUUCCCAAAUGGUUGACUUCACUAACCAACCUAAGGGAUUUAAUACUUUUCUUCUGCGUUAACUGUGAGCAUUUGCCUCCUUUAGGAAAAUUGCCUCUGGAAGAACUCGGACUAUUGAACUUGAAAAGUGUAAAAAGAGUGGGAAAUGAGUUUUUGGGAAUAGAAGAAAGCACUGAGGAUGAUCCAUCUUCAUCUUCAUCGUCAUCAUCAGUUAUUGCCUUCCCCAAAUUGAAAUAUCUCGAAAUUUGGGGAAUGGAAGAAUUGGAAAAGUGGAAUUACAGGAUUACAAGAAAGGGAAACAUCUCCAUCAUGCCACGUCUUUCUGCCUUGUCGAUUUGUGAUUGCCCCAAAUUAAAGGUGCUGCCGGAUUACAUUCUUCAAACAACGACACUGCAGGAAUUGAGGAUUGAGGACUGCCCUAUUCUAGAAGAACGUUACAGAGAGGGGAAAGGAGAAGACUGGCAUAAGAUUUCUCACAUUCCCCACAUCAAGUGGUCGCCGUAAGAUAUCACUCGCCGGUAAUUCCUCCUCCUCUGAUUUACUUCGUUAUUGCUUGUAAUGAAAUUAAUGAAAAUAAUUAUAUUUUGAAUUAAAAUUCUAUAUUAUUAUUAUUUCUCUCCUCGAAUGGUUGAAAUUUCACUCGCCCCGUAAAUUCUCGAAUGGUUGCAAUUACUAUCACCCGCCGGUAAUUUCUCUCCUCUGUUUUACUUCAACCAUUAAUUUAAUGGGUCACUCUAUGAUGUUGUUAUAAAAAUUAUAGAAUCAAUCAUGGUAUAAAUAUGUACUGUUAGAUUUAAUCAAUGGUUCAUGAAGUUAAAAGUUAAUUAGGAUAAUAUUUUAAAUUCAAUUAUUUAAAAUUUAAACUUCCUAGUUAUUAAAUCUAUUAAACUUGUUUUAUCAAAGCUAAAUAAUUAAAAAAAAAGUAUAGUCUGUUGAAAUUUCUAUAUUUUCUUUUAAAAAACAUGUAGUCUUUUGUAAAAUUUCAUACAACAUCAUAGAAAACCUAACGUAUUUUAUUUUUUAAUGCACGAAAAUUUGUUAUGUGUAACUUCCUGAGAGACAAAAUCUCUGUGAUGCAUUUGCAGUAAUGUUGAAAACUAAAUUAUCAAUUUUAUCUUGUAUAAUGAUAAUCGUGUUUUUUUAUAUAUAAUUUAUGUGACAUUAAUUCUUUAAAGUAAUUGUGUAAUUGUUUUUAGUAGUACAUUAGCCCACUUUGUUUUAUUUCAUACGAGUUUAAUAAUGUUCGCCAGGGAUUCGAGGAAAUGUCAGAACUACACUAAGAAUUCACAGGUCCAAGCUAAUUUAGUUUUAAUGAUGCAGGUAGGAGAGCAAGACUAAGAAAAUGAAAAGUUUAGCCAAAAGAUUACUAAAAUGUUCUGCUGGUAAUUCACUUGCCUUGUUUAAUAGAAUUUCAUUUCCAUCUUCUUCUAUUGAUAUCUUGUUGUGAAUAAACAAGAACAUAGAAGUAAAUAAUUGAAACGCAGAGAAGUAAAGAUAUAUCAAAAUUCGCUAUUAUGAUGAUGUUAAAGCAAGCUCAAGCAUUGCAUUUUUAUUUUAUUUAAUUUAUAGAAUUUUCAUUUCCACCUGCAUUGCAUUUUUACUUCAUUUUUAGGUUGACGUUGAAGACUCUUAUGGAGAACAUUGGAGUAACCAAGGAUUAUUACUGUGGUUAUUGUGCAACGUUUGGUUGCUGGACUUUGAAGAAGGAAGUGAUGGCCGGGUCUGCUCUGUUUCAAUUGAGGAUGGAUAGCUGCCUGAAAGACAUGAUGAUUAUUAUUGCAUGAUGUUUAGGUGCUAAGAUCAUCAUUUCUAUCUUGCUUCAUUCUUGGAAUCAUUUAUCCUAUAUAAACAUAUUGAAUUGUGCUAAUAUUAUCACUUGUGUCAAUGGAGGCAGGAAUUUGGUGCUGAAACUAUUAUGCAGGUAACCACACUUGAUAAUUUACACAAAUUUGCGUUGUCAGAAUAUCCUUUAAUAUUCAUUGUGUUUCUUUGUGUUAUCAGGUUAUCAUGGUAUAUAGAGUAUCAUUUUCAAGGAUUUGUAAGAGCUUUCGCAGUAAAGUUAGUCAUCACCACCUUGUGCAAUUGCACAUACAUUCAUAGUACUUCAAUAUUAGAUUUUCAAGGUUUGUAUGUUUAGUUGAGAUUAAAAUGUUUAGUCACUCAUUCUUAAUCUUUUCUGAUUUUCAAGUUCUUUAGGGCCAUAAACAGUUUUUCCAACUCAUUCUUAUUUUUUAGGUUGAUUUCGAGUACUCUGUGGAGAACAUUGGUGAGACAAAGGAUUAGACUGGCGAUGGAACUGCUGCCUCUGCUGUUAUUGUGCAAGGUUUGAUCACUGGACCUUGAACAAGAAAGCCUUACACGCAUUCUGUAAUUCAAGCGUUCUCUAAAACGAACGAGCAGUAGAAGGAAUAGUAUGACCGGAUCUGCUCUAUUUUAAUUGAAAAUCUCUGUGAUGUUGACGAGCUUAAAGUAGUUGAUGCUUUUUGAAAAUUGUUAUUACGAAUGAAUUCAUUCCUGAAGACGAGUAGCUAAUGAUUGUUAAGGCUUAUUUUCUUAAAGUUCCUUUCUUAACAAAUGUUUCAAUGCUGGCUGUAGUAACAUUUUCAUAUCUUGCAUCUCUCGGGUGCAUCAUGUUCGCGGGUUUGAAAAAGCAUUUUUGGUAAAGUUUCAAAGGUUGUACAACGGCUGUGAAAAGGCAUAUUCAAUUCGGUACGUUUUGGUGUGGUCUCCUAAUGCUAAUAUCAUAUUUUGUAUAGCAAUUAAAAUUUAGGUAUACAAUCUUAAUAUGCAAUAAAUCAUUGUGUACAAAGUUUUCUAUUAAUUAUAUGGUGACUGAAAUUUUAAUUAUAAUUUUAAUUAUCAUAUCAAUCUUAAAUUUUUUUGUAACUCUUUUUUACUUUGCUUGUACAGAGUACCUGUUUUGGCUGAUAUGUCUAGUUCGUAGAAAUUCAUUUCCACUGGUUUCCAUUUGCUUUAGCACAAACAGAAACAGAGCUCUGGGGAAAAGUUUGACUUCUUGUGGUAUUAUGCCGUUGUUUCUUCAUUCAUCAUAUUAUUCGAAUUCAUGCUCUCAUUCAGAGGGUGAAGCCUUUUCUAGGCUGCUUUGUAGCCAAAUUUUUACGCCAUUGAUGCAUGACUGUCAUUUAGAUUUUCCAAAUAACUGCUAGAUUAGAGAAGAAUAAGAAGAUAUUGUUAAAAGGGUAUUUAAUUAGCGCCCUCUGAAUUUAGUUGCCAAUAAUGCAUUGAAAUAGUCGGGGAAAGUUAUUUUCUUAAUUAAAUUACAGGUGAUAAGAUGCUGCUUCAAUUUUGCAAGCAUCUCGUAUUGCGAAGAUUUUGCCCACAUGAGAUCCCACUAUUCUUGACAUCAGGGUAACGCAGGUCAAAUUUUAGUAUCAAUAUAUAUCUUCUUCUUUACUGUUCUGCCUCUAAAUAUUAAACUUUAGGCAAGUUGUUUUUGUUUGUGUAAGUUAUCAGGUUCAGGAUACUAAGCAGCUUAAUUGUUCGCCACACCUAGUAUGAAUGAUGGCCAGGAACAUUAAUUGUUCACAAGCCAAUUUGAUUAGUGUUAGAUUUUUUGCCUUCCUUCGAAAGAUAUCAUCAUCAAAUUUGAGUUGAGAAUAUUUGAAGAGAAUUUUGUUUUGAGAGUUUCACUGUAGUGAAUUUUGGGUUUGCGUUUGAGCACACACAAAGGAUGCACUAAAUAUAACAAAAGUAUAUUUCUACUUCUUGUGGUUAUUUUAAUUUUGUUUCUCGUGUCAUCAUAUUUGAUUAAUUCGUUCGAAUUCACACUCACACAUUUCCAUGAAUAAUUGUUAGGCUGGUGGAGAUAUUUUUAAAAGGGCAUUAACCUACCUUAUGGAAUUGGAAAGUUAUUAUUUCUUGAAAGCAGGCAGCAUCUUCGUUGCGUAGGCUUUCCCCACUUGAUAAGAUGCUGACAUUGUUACCGGCCCCUUAAUUAUUUAUUAACUCAGGUAUUUAUUAUCAAGUACAUCAUCUUAUUCAACAUUUUGGCUAUAUAUAAAGAUUAUAAUUUCUAACAGUUGUUUCGGAUUCUUGUGUACUCAGGUUAAUAGGGCAAAUGUCAGAAUGAAGACUGUUCAGUUUAACCCGUAUAGCAAGGAUGAUAGCGGUGAGGAAGAUUGUUGGCAAGCCAAAUAGAGCCCUCCAUUUUGAGAAAUAUCAUCCGCAUAUUUGAAUUGUUGAGCAUGUGAAGUGAACCUUCUUAUGGAAAUACCUUCCUGUUUGACUUGCAAAAUACAUUACAAAAGCUCCCAAACAGUAUAUUUGAACAGAGUUACCCAUUUUGAGAAUUUUGACUCCCAAACAAGACUGCAGAGUUGUGUAUGGUGGGAUUAGCUGCAGGAGCAGUGCAAGAUUCUUUGUCAAACUAUCUGGCUGGUAAAAAGACUGUUGCCAAACUUCCUUUUCAUUCCUUUGUUCACUUACUCGUUAUAAAUAAAGUAAAAUUAGAAUAUUGUUCCGUUUACUGUCUAAGCCGGUCUAACAUUUGUUUAAUUUGGGCAAUUUUUAAUGCCUGACAGGUUAUCUGUGACAAACCCAUCUGUGAGUACUAAUGUGCUUGGUUAUGGUGCUUUCAUUGGACUACAUGCAAACAUGAGAUAUCAGCUAUUGUGUGGAUUUGAUAGAGACGUCGCCAACCAUUUUGAAGUUAUUGGAGUAGCAAUGUUGUUAAGCACGGCUUUGAGGUCUCUCCCACCCUCUUUUACGUAUUUGUCAAUGAUCGACAUCUCUAUAUAUACAUUGAUACACCAAAUUACUCUUGUUUUAAUGUUUUGUUUGUUGAACUUUGACUGGGUUAUUUGUUUAUUUGUCUCAUAUGAUGUUAAUGCGGUUCCUAUAAAAGUGGAUAUAGAUCUAUCACCUCAAAGUCUGAUUUCAACUUUCCUUCACUUAAUCAACUAGCAUCCUUUCCAAGUCCAGAUACUUACCAAUAGUGAGACUUUGCUACGGAAGUACAAUUUCUCUUGUUUUACAGUUAAAUAUGUAAGAAUAGUUUCAAAUUUACAGAAUUCUGAUAUAGUUCUCUAAGGAAAUGCAGGUGGUGAAUAUGGUUCCAACUUUUAAUAGGCUUUAAUAGGCCCAUUUGUUCAGCCACAGUGAUUGCGGUCUAAAUUCUUCUUUACUGUCUGUAUGUGUUGGAGUUUGUCUAUUGUCCAACUUCUCCAAUGGAUUCCAUGCAGGGUUUUGGAUGUCUAAUUAGGAGAAAGAUCGACAGAUGACCUUUUGAAGAAGGCUUACACAACAGGCCAUCUCAGGAUGUCAUGGCUCAGCACAAAAGUGCCCAGGUGGUUACUGAGCAAGAUAGAGAGAGAAGUUUUUUCUUCUUCAGGCUACCUUCCGCAGCUGUGGCAUACAUGAACUAAGUAGCUACGCGAUCAACAGAAAGUUAGUGACGUGACUUGGGGAUCGAGGGAUUGAUACCAAAGAAUGCCAUUUUUCUGAGCUUGGGCUCCUUGGCUUCAAACAAAACAGUGUUGACUCUAUUGAAGGGGAAAUAGGGGCAACUAAAGCUCGAAGAAAGAGGAUAGUCCGGAGGAAGGUGACUGCAUAAAUUUCUUGGAGUUAAUGUAGUCAAUUGCCCAAUUUUGCUGCCUGUCGAAGAGACACAGCAUGGAAGUCCUCAUCAAACUCUGAGACACCUAAGAACUAGUAGGAGGUGGUGGUAUUCUCCAUAUUUCCUGACAAGUAUAGUUAAUUUUGUUUUAGCUAUGAAUUGUUUCCUAGAUAAUAAUAAUUGCCUUGUUCCUUUGGAGUCUUAUUUACUCUCCGUAACUCAGUUCAAUUUUGCAAAUUCUAUUUCAGAUUUCUUAUAUAGUGUGUCUUUGUUACUUUUGUGAUGCCUUUUUUAUCGCAAGUUUCCAUUUGAAGUAUCCGAUAUUCUUUACAGACUAAUUAUCUAAUGAUUAUUUUAUACAAAAAAAAUCAUAACUUUAAUCAAUUGAUCAUACUCAACUUAGGUCUUGUUUGAUGUUACUAGCUGUUGUUAAAAUAAAAAAAGCUGAAAUUUGACAAUGUGUAAUAAAUGUAAGACUUUUAAAUAAUAAUUUUUAAUACAAUUAAUAAAGAUAUUAUAAGUUUUUUUAUUAUAAUAAAAUAUGAGAUCAAAUCAAAUUAAUUUUUAAGUUACAAUAGCAAAUAUUUACCAAAACUGUUUAAUUAUGUAGCUUAAAAAGUAUAGUUCUCCAACCUCAACAUUAUAUAGGGAUUUUCCAGACUCUACCAGACUUUAGUUGUACUCACUCGAUCAUGCAAAUCCAUACUCAAUGUGCUUGGCCAUACAAGAUGUUACUCAACUUUAACAAGUCUUACUCAAACUUUGCAUGUUUGGCAUGCCGGAUGGAAUAUGAUAGUAUAUGAUGUGGUAGAAUAUUAUAGGAAUAGUAAUAACAAGAUUACAUGUAGUACUAGGUUACAUUUUACGUGAUGUGGUAUAUGAAUGGAUUAUAUUACAAAUUUUUUUGUUAUAAUAAUUAAAAAUUUGAAUUAUUUUAUUAUUGAAAAAAUGUAAUAUGUUAAAUAACAGUUAUUUUUAUUAAGUAAUUUCUUUGUAAUGAAUUAUACUUUUAAAAUAUAAUCGAAAAUUCUUAUUACUAAACUAAUAAAAAGUUAAUUAUUUGAGUUAUCUCCUAAACUACUUAGCUCACGGGAUAAAUUCACUUAGUUUAGAACGAAACAGUGGAUUUUAGAGCAUCACCAAAAGACUCUUCAAAUAAGAUUUUAUUACUUAUUUGAAGAACCACAUCAACAUUUAAAACUCCAAAAAACACUUCAAUUAAAACUUUUCAAAUAAAAAAUGAUUCUCUUUCUUCAAAUUUGGAGAGUUGCUUUCUCCCUCUUCAAUUUAUAUUUUAUUACUUUUUAUUAGAGAGAGAAAGAGAAGUGCUUUAAUUGCUAUUAACUUUUCCUCUAAAAAAAAUAAUUAUUUGAUUAAAAUAAUAUUAACUUAUUUUUAUUUGAAGAGUUUUUUGGCGAGUAGUAUAUUUUUUACCUUUCUAUUUACCACAUAAGUAAGUAAAUAAAUAGUUGAAAAGUAAAAUGUAUUAAAACUUUGAGUGGGACUACUGGCACCCCUCUAAAUACCUUUUAACACCCCUUUAGUUAUUUUAUAAUUUUAACCUUUAUUAAAAUUACAUAAUAAGACAAUCAUGAAUUUUACAAUUCUAAAUACCUCUUAACACCCCUUUCUUUUGUUUUUAUUUUAUUUUUUUAACAUUUCCGAGUUUACUCCAACUGCAAAUUAAUUUAUGAAUUAUGAUCUACAUACUAUAAAUUUAAGUAAUGCUACAAGCGACUGUAAAUAUUAAAAUAUCAGCAGAAAAAUAAAAAUAUCUUGAUUAAGAGACAAAAUAAAUAGUACCUGAAAUUGAAAUUCAGCAUUUUAAAAAUUAAGAAAGUUACUUUUUCAUCUUAUUUUCUGGUGAGGAAUUAUCGACAUCAGCAACUCAUCAUCAACAAACUUCAGAGAAGAAACUGAGACCUAUGAGGGAAAUUAAGAAAAAAGAAGGUAAUUAUGAAGCAAAGGACGAGCUUAACAAUCAUCAGAAUUAUUUUCCCACCGACAUGUUUUCCAGUGCCCCAGUUGUCUUUCUCCACAAAGGCACGCAGUCUUUCGAAGAAUUCGUGAUUCUGCAUUUUCAGAAGCUUGUGCUCAACAUCUUCAUCAGUAAACCAAAUUAGCACUUGGCCUUAUAAUUACACGCAUGGUAGCCAAGUGUUUGCAAGGUGUCAUUAUCAAUUACAAUGAGUUUAAAGUGCUGGCCAUGUGGUGUUUCAAUGAUUUGCCACAUUGAAGUCGAAGUUUCGUGGAGCAAGUUCCCUUUUCCUUUUUUUUUUUCCUUCUCUCUCUCUUUUUUUUCAAUAGAUGAUUAAUUGUCUCAAAAUCAGUCAAAAAUUAAAUGGGGUUUAUAUUAAUAAAUUUGAAUUAAGGAUAUUUUUAUCAUUAAAAGGGUGUUAAAAGAAUUUUAUAAUAUUUUUAAAUAUUUUAAUAGGGUUAAUAAAAAAAAGAGGUGUUGAGAGAUAUUUAGAGGGGUGCCAAUAGUCUCACUCAAAAACUUUUGAAGAUGCUCUUACUAACAUAAUUUUCUCCCAUUUCCAUAAUGUCCGCGUUGAGUGCAUGUAAUCCACGAGUUUGAUUGAGCAGAAUAGCCGAAAGUCUAAUGAUACCCACAUCCAACUUUGUCACAAAGGCCUGGACGCCAUUCCUUAAGCCCAUGUUGUUUCGGUUUUGAUGUUGUAUUAUCAUUUCACGGGUUUUGGUGCUCUAGGAUUUGGGGAUGGUGCUUCAACGCUGUGUUUAAUGCGUCCCUUUUGGCACUUUUUGUUAAUUUUUAUUCCAAGAGCUAUGCUAAGAAAAAGAAGCAGGGAUGAUCAAAGUGUUGUGAUUGUUUUGUGUUUUCUUUUUUAAUUUAUUUGAUUUUGGUUAAUUAUGAAUGGUGGUAAUUGGUUGAAUGCAAUUGAAGAGAUGCUUUCAAUUGCCUAAACUUUGUUUUUUCAAUUUUUGUAAUAAAUGUCAUUUGUCACCACAUUUUUUUAGUCUCUCCCUUUUAAAUUCCCUCACACAAACUUCGGAUUUGUAUUUUGUAAACUAGUACUUUUCAUUUUCGUUAAUGUGUUAGCUAUUAUUAUCUACAGUUAUGUCAUACGACACACAUGUCACAUUAGCUAAAAUUAGAUUAUGAAUUUUGGGCACAGGACCAAGUCCCACCGUUUGGUAGGAAAUAAGUGUUGGAUCAUAAACUUGAUCCAAAAUAAAUAAAUUCAAGUCCAACUCAUGGAAGAUUCCAUGAGUAGGUAUACUUGGUGAGGUUUGAAUUAUUUGUGUUAGGUGUGGUAGGUUUUAAUGGAUGGUGAGAAUUUGUGUAUUAGUUGAAUAAAUAGAUUGUUGUGAUUAGUUUGUUUCAUGUUUAAAUACCCCCCUCCCCUUUGGUUUAAAUAUAAAGUGAAGUAACAAAAUCUCUAAGGUGUAGAGAGUGAAAAAUAAGAGUUGUAAUUAGUGAGGAGUGUUAUUGAAGAAAUAAAAUAGUGUGUUUUAUUUGUUAAUUCUCCAAAAAAUGGUAUCAGAGCUAGUGUUUGAUGCUAUAUAUAGUAAUAUAGCAUAUCAAAUCGAAGAUCUCGACGAGAGGAACGUGACGCCGCAAAAAUCAUCCCGAUCCGAGACUGGACGCGCCCACACAUGCCGCCGGAAGCUUUAUGUCCUGAAGCUAAGUCGACUCACCGAGUUGAACCAAGCUGAGCCGAACCGAACCAAGCCGAGUCGAGCUGAACCGAAUCAAGUCGAACCAAGCCAACUGGAGCUGAAUCAAUCCGGACCGAACCAAGACUAUUAAGCCAACGCUGACCGUUGACCGUUGAUUGAAAGUUGACUCGAGUCCUUCCCAAGGUUUUUUGAUGUGCCAGAUCCAUCUGUGCUUUUAGAAUCUCCAAAUUCUCACUCAAUUUAUGAGUUAUGGAAAAUGGUGGUAUGAUGUCAUUUCAAGUUCUACAAUUAAAGGGAAGUAAGUUUGACCAUUGGAGUAUUAAAAUGAAGACUCUAUUGGGUGCACAGACGUAUGGGAUGUCAUGGAAAAAGGAUUUAUUGUGCUAGAAAAUGAAGCUACUUUAACUGUGGCGCAGAAGGAGAAUUUAAAAGACUUGAAGAAGAAAGAGAAUAAAGCAAAGUAUCUCAUCUUUCAAUCAUUAGAAGAAGAUGCUUUUGAAAAGAUUGCUGGUACAACCUCCUCAAAAGAAGCAUGGGAGAAACUAGAGAUCUCUUACAAAGGAGCGGAGCAAGUUAAGAAGGUUCGUCUCCAAACAUUAUGAGGAGAAUUUAAGUCCUUACACAUGAAGGCGUCGGAGUCAAUUUCUGACUACUUUACUCGGGUUGUGACCGUUUCUAAUGAAUUAAAUAGAAAUGGCGAGGAGUUAAAAGAGGUAAGGAUCAUUGAAAAGAUACUUCGAUCAGUAGACUUGAAGUUUGACCAUAUUGUUGUGACAAUUGAGGAAACAAGAGAUCUAGAGGAUAUGACGAUCGAGCAACUUCAAGAAAGGCUGCAAGCCUAUGAAGAAAAACAAAAAAAGAAGCAAGGAAUCAAAGAACAACUUCUCAAGAUGGAGGUCAAUCCAAAGAAAAGAGAAGAAAGCUCCGACAACGGAAGAAGACAUAUUUAUCUCCCAUGAAAGCUAUACAAAGGAGAUUCUAAAAAGGUUCAAGAUGAAUGAUUGCAAGCCUAUAAGCACGACAAUGGAAUGCAGAGUCAAGUUAUCCAAACAUGAUGAAGGGGAAGAUAUAGAUCCAACAUUCUUUAAAAGUUUGGUCGGAAGCCUAUGUUAUUUGACAUGCACGAGACUAGAUAUCUUUUAUGUUGUUGGACUUGUGAGCCGAUACAUGAAGAAUCCAAAGACCACCCAUUUUAAAGUUGCAAAAAGAAUCCUUUGCUACAUCAAAGCUACAACUAAUUUCGACUUGUUAUACUCAUUUUCUAAUGACUACAAGCUUGUUGGAUAUAAUGAUAGUGAUUGGGGUGGAGAUGUAGAUGAUUGAAAGAGCACAACAUGAUUUGUGUUCUUCAUGGGAGAUACUGCUUUCACAUGGAUGUCAAAGCAGCAACCAAUUGUCACGCUAUCCACUUGUGAAGCUGAAUAUGUAGCUGCCACAUCAAGUGCUUGUCAUGCAAUUUGGCUUAGAAAUUUGUUGAAGGAGUUGGGUUUGCCACAAGAAGAGCCAACCAAAAUUUAUGUUGAUAACAAAUCAGUAAUUGCCCUCUCCAAGAAUCCAGUCUUUCAUGAUCGAAGCAAACACAUAGGCACUCGCUAUCAUUUCAUAAGAGAGUGUAUUGAAGAAAAGAAGUGCAAGUCAAGUAUGUAAAAUAACAAGAUCAAGCAGUUGAUAUCUUCACUAAGCCACUCAAGCAAGAAGACUUCGUAAAAUUCAGAAGUUUGCUUGGUGUCACAAGAUCAAGUUUAAGGGGGGGUGUUGGAUCAUAAACUUGAUCCAAGAUGAAUAAAUUCAAGCUCAACUCAUGGAAGGUUCUAUGAGUAGGUAUGGUUAGUGAGGUUUGAAUUAUUUGUGUUAGGUGUGGUAGGUGUGGUUGGUGAAGUAGGUGAGUGGUAGGUUUUAAUGGAUGGUGAGGAUUUGUGUAUUAGUUGAAUAAAUGAAUGGUUGUGAUUAUUUUUGUUUCAUGUAUAAAUACCCCCUCUCCCCUUUGGUUUAAAUAUCAAGUGAAGUAACAAAAUCUCUAAGGUGUAGAGAGUGAAAAACAAGAGUUGUAAUUAGUGAGGAGUGUGGUUGAUAGAAUAGAAUAGUGUGUUUUUUUGUGUGUUUUGUUUGUUAAUUCUCCAACAAUAAGGAGCAUUAAUGAAAUAUGUUUAAUUAAGUAAUAAUUUGUUAUUUUAGAGUGAAAAAUAAGGGUAAAUUGUAUUCUACCCCAUAUUAGAUUGACAAACUUCAAUUUACCCCCUAAAAGUACAAAAACUUCAACUUAUCUCCAAAUACCAUUUUCUUCCCGUUAAAUUCAACUAUCGAAAGCAUAAAAUUAUAGUCUUACAUUCUCUUAACAGUCAACUAACGGAUAAGGUAAUUUCCAUAAAACCCAAAUGUAGGGGCGGGCAACGGUUUGGUUUAGAAGUUAGGAACCGAAUGGUUUGAAAACAAACGAACCGAUUGGUUUAUAUUUGGUUUAGUUUGAACUGACAAACCGAUUGGUUCGCUUCAACUUAAUUAAAAAUACAUUUAUUUUAAAAUAUAAAUGCUUAAAAUAUUUUUUUUUUCAUUUUUCAGUUUCCUAAUCUAAAAAUGUUUCAUAACCCUAAAUCAACAGCCAUCUCUCUCAAGUUCGGCGGAGGCACAACAAGCUCUCUCGGUCUCUCCCUCGCAAUCUCAUGGUGAUUGAAUUCUUGUGAUGUCUCCACUUUUGUUUCUUGUUCUUGUGUGAUCGAAUUCUCUCUAUACACACAUACCCCAGCCUCUUGUUCUUUGGCUUAAUGGAGUUUCGUUUCUUUUCUCUCAGUUUCUUUCCUGUUGAAUUCUCGUGAUGUUUCUAUUUUUUUCUUGUUUUUUAGACGUGUUUUCGAAAUUGGCAUAAUGCGAACCAAACCCGAACUGAAUUUCAAAAUCGAAUCAAAUUGAACCAAACUGAAAUUUUUAUGUUCGGUUUGGUUCAAUUAAAAAAUUUGGUAUGCAUUCGGUUCUCUUUCUUAAGAACCAUUUGGUUUUAGUUCAGUUCGGUUUUGGUCUAGAAAAGAACCGAACCGAACCAAAACAAACCAUAUACUGGCCACCUUGCUCAAAUGUUUCAACAAAUUUCAAUGCACACUUAAACAUGUCAAUAAAAUUCGCUUUGUACCCAAAUUGAUAAUUUUUAUUUUUUAAUUAGUUAAUUUUUAACUGCAGAAGCAUAAAAAAUUAUUUCUUUUUAAAAUAAGAAAAAUAAUUUUUUUUCUAACUUUUUUCCUUUUUUUAUUUUCUAGUUAAUUUCUUUAUCUGGUUCGGUUCAUUUUUCCCUUUUUUAUUUCUUACUGUUUUCUGCAUGUUCUCCACGCUUCAACUUCGCCAAGCAUCAUAAGGCCACAAUAGCCAUGCCAGCAAUGGUGCAGCAACGUUAACGCCACUGUUCCAAGUCUUGGCCCAUCAUCUGCUUUUCAACAAACCUUAGCUUCUUCCCAAAUUCAUCAAUGAACCCCAGAACCAGACUAAUCAUUAAAAUUAUUAACAACCAUUUGCUUGGAUCAAUGUAUGCUUGGCAUGUCUAUGGGCUUACUUGUUAUGGUCGCUGAUGGCCUUGGGCUUGCCUGGAAUGGUCGCAACGCGCAGCCAUGGGCUUGCUUGGAAUGCCCGAACCCAGCUGCCAAGGUUUUGCUAGCGUAUCCAUGGAUUUUGCUGGACAUGGCAGUGCGAGGCCAUGGGUGUUGCCGGGCAAUGGACAUGGGUUUUGCUGGGCUGAUUUGGAAUUAACAGUGGCUAUGGAGUUGUUAAGUGUGUGAAAGAUAAAAAAAAAACGAACCAAGAAGAAGAUGAACAGGGAAUAGAACGAAGAAGAUGAAGAAAGUAGAAGAGAGGGAAAAAAUAUUUUGCUUUUUUAUAAAUUUUCGGAUUUUUAUUUCAAAAUUUAUAAUUUUUGUUUAAAUUUGAGAAUCUUAAGGGUAAAAUUUUCUUUGUAACUAUGUAGAAGGAGGUUUUCAGAUGGUUUUUGGUUGGGUUAACAUGAAAUAUGCUUGUUUUAUGAAAUAUUAUUAUUGAGGUUUUGUUUUAUUUUCUAAAAGUUAGAUUAGAGGAUGAUUUUCAUUAAUGACAUCCAUAAAGUUUGAAUUAGUUAUAUUAUAGAAAAAUAGGGAUUUAAAUGAUAUAUCUUUCCAACAUAAAUAUAUCAGUAACAUAAGUUAUUCUAUAAUUAACAGGGGUAUUAUCGUAUUUUAGUGAGUCAAUAUUGGUUGAUAGUUAAAUUUAACAGAUUUUAGAGAGUAAAUUGAAGUUUUUAUUUUUAUUUUUGAGUAAAUUAAAGUAUGUCAAUCUCAUAAGGGGUUAAAAUAUAAUUUACCCAAAAAUUAGUGUUAAAAUUUUAUAGAUGAGUGUAUAUUAAGAUGUUCAAAGUAUUAGGACAUAAUGAAUAUUAUCCUCAACCUCAAGAGAAACAUAUCAAUAAAAUAUACAAAAAUAGAAUGCAUUAGUACAUGUCAAUAAGAAGACCAAUUAGAUCAUGUCAUAUUUGUUAUGUGGUUAUUUUUAAAUUAAGAAAAGGAACAAUGAUGGUUUUACAAAGUUUGAAUAUAAAAUUUAUAAUCUAAAAUUAAUGAUAACGUGUUAUUAAGCUAAUAGAGUAAGAAGUCCCNNNNNNNNNNNNNNNNNNNNNNNNNNNNNNNNNNNNNNNNNNNNNNNNNNNNNNNNNNNNNNNNNNNNNNNNNNNNNNNNNNNNNNNNNNNNNNNNNNNNUUAGCUAUAGAGUAGAGUCCCAAAUGCAUGUACAUCAUAUCUUGGUAAGAAAUUGGUUCUACCCAAAAUACUUCUUUGUAUUGAAAUCAAUGAUGAUUGCUUGUUUAAAUCAUGAAAGUUAAAAUAAUUUUGUAAAUCAUUUCAUUCUUUAAUUUACGGUAUAAAAAUAAAUUAAAAAAAUGUUAAUUUCUCCCAUACUUUUAGGACUCAAAAAAUAACAAAAAGUCUUAACAUAUUUAAUGGUUAUAUAUAAAUCAUCCGUAUGUAUUUUUCUUGAGAGAAGCUCAAUUCGAUAGGCAAUGCUCCCCAUAGUUUUCUUUUCUAAUUAGAUAAAAGAACAAAAGAAAUUGAUUACAAUAAUUCACGGCGAAGUCACCUUGGUCUACCUGAUAUAUAUUACAGAGGUAAGCUUCUUUUUAAUGCCAAACUAGAAUAACAAACUUUAAUUUACUUCUUAAAGGGUAAAAACCUCAAUUUGUCCUUAUAUUUGUUCAAAAGAUACAUUUUGUCUUCUUAAUAUAAACAAGUUAAAUUGAUGUUUCACAUCUUUUAGAAAUAAAUUAAAAAUUGUUAUUCUAAGUAGGAGGUAAAUUUCAAAUAAAACAUGUGUUCAUAUGAUAGAUGUGCAUUUUACAAUAAUUAAUAAACAAAAAGGGUAGUGAUAUUUUCACCCUGCAAUUUUUGUAAAUCCACCCCCACUCCCAAGAAAUAAUUACAAUAAAUUCACAUAAUUUUUUAAAAACUCAAUAAAGAAAAUUUUUGGAGAUUUAAACUAUUAUAUACAAGAGGAUAGGAGUAAACAUUUUUCAUGCAGUAUAAAAAGAAUGGUGACACUCCUUUUCUUUCGGUAUUUUCGCACAAAAGCACGCUUAAUAACUGAUCAAAAUUAUUUCUCCUUUUCUUUGAUCGCUGAUUCGCUUCCCCUCUCCUGGAGCUGCUGAACUCCUUUGUUGCUGAUGAAGUGAACAGGUGAGGCUUUUCAAAUGACCACAAUAUGUAUAAAGACGAACUAAUUACACUAUCAGUGGCUCAAGGUUACCUUAAUGCAGAAGAGGGCAAAGAGAUGGAGAUUCGAUUCGAUUCGAUAAUAGUAGUUUAUUUUAAUUUUUAUUCAUUUAAUUUCAUAGCAGAAAUUUUUAUUUUCAUUUUUUUGUUGAAAAUUGGUAAAAACGAACUAAAAUGAGAUAAUUACAUUAAAACAAUCUUCAAUGACUAAAGUAAUUUGAAAAAAUAAAAAUAAAAAUAAACAAGCUCAAAAUUUACCCCUAAUCCGAACAUUAUCCGAAUUCAGCCUAAUUGACCCAAAUCUAAUUGUAAUCCAAACUUGACAUGACCCGCAAAUAAUUAUAACUCGAUCAGAUCCAAACUCAACCUGAAUUUUUAAUUCAAUACGAUCCAAUCCAAAUAUUCCAACCCCAUCAAAUUGAAACUUGAUCGGGUUGAUCCGAACCCGAAUUUGCCACUUCCGGAGGAGACCAUGACCCUAAAAGCUUUGAAAUAAUCUUUGCGGUUUCUUAAUGAAAUAUUAAAAGUUAUGUGCAAAAAGACUGAUUUGACCCUAGAAUACAUGAUAUAUAAAUUUCAGACAUUAUAUUCUGUGAAAUAAAGUCAAAGUAAACUGGUCGUUUGAUUUUUUAUUAAUUAUUUUCCAUUAAGACAAAAUGACAAAUAGACUUUUUUAAAAGUUUAAUAAAGUUUGGGCCUAACUCCUUGAUUUUUAUUUUUUAAUUAUUUUUCAUUUUGUUUUUUACUUGCAACAUUAGCUUUAAUUAUCAAUCAGUCUCCAAAUCAAAAUGACUGAAACCUGUAGCUACAAGCAAAAUUCUCAAAUUUUGAAAUUUCUAACGACUACUUAAUAGCUAUAAAUAGAAAAAUCAUCUAAAAUUAAUCCUCCUUCAGAGGCAGAUUAAAUUCUUAGUAAUUUCAUAUAAUUUCAUUUCAUCAGAACAAUUUUUCAAAAGCAAUUUUAUAAAUGGUUGUCGAAAGCUUUAUCCCUUAAUCAUAUUUCACGUAUUUUCUUUGUAAUAUGAGGCGCGUCCAUAGACCAUAGUAUGAUAUUUAUUGUAAUUAAAAUCAUUAUGGAACUGAUUUUAUUCUUGUUUCUCAAACAAAGUAUCUAACUGCAGAUGUAAUAAAUUACUAAUUGCCAUUAUUUGAGUCGCGCUCUUUGAAUUCGAUCUUGGAGUUUCAAAUGACCAAAUGAAUUAGUAAGAUAAUGGCUUUUCGUUCCGAGAGCUAUGCUAAGAAAAAGCAGGGAUGAUCAGAACAAAUAGUGUGUUGUGAUUGUUUUGUGUGUGUGUGUGUGUGUUUUUUUUUUAAGUUUUAUUUUGUUUAAUUAAGAAGGGUUAUGAUCUGUUCAUUGCAAUUGACAGAGAUGUUUUCAGUUGCCUAGACUUCGUAUUUUCAGUUUUAGUAAUACAUGUCGUUUUUCACCACAUUUGUUUAGUCUCUCCCUUUUAAAUCCCCUCACACACAAAAAAUUAGGAUUUGUAUUUUGUAAACUAAUAUUUUUCAUUUUGUUAAUGUAUUAAUUAUUAUUAUCUACAUUUAUGUGAUAGGGCACAUGCCACAUAAACUAAAAUUAAGUUAUAAAAUUUUGCAGCCCCUGAGCACUCAAUGUUUGUAGGCACAAGUUCAAGUCCCACCAUUUGUUAGGAUUUAAAUAAAGAACAUUAUAACCAUGCGUCCAAGAACUUAAAGUUAGCUUAAGUGCAUGGAUUCGAGUCCUAGUUAUUGUUGAAAUUCGAUUUCCUUUCUAAUUAAAUUAAGUAAGGGUAAAAUUAUCUCUCAAUUAAUAAAGACAGAGUAGAUAUCUCUCUUGAUUUUCCUCCCAAUUAAAUUAGUUAGAAGUAAAAUUAUCUCUCGAUUAGUAAGAGUAGAAUAAAUAUCUCUUUAGUAUUAUGCAAGGGUAGAAUUUUGGGUUGUACCAUGUUAGAAUUAUCAAGGAUAGUUUUGAUAGAAUUCUAAUUGUAAUAUAUAAGUGUAUAAAAAAAAUGAACAUUAAUGAAAGAUGUUUAGGUAAGGACUAUCUUGGAAUAGAAUUUUGAUUGUAAUAUAUCAAUAUAUAAAAAGAAAUUUAUGAAAAAUGUUUAACAAGGACUGUUUUGAUAUUUUAAUGAGUAGUAAAAAUUAAUGUUAAAAUUUGAUAGAACUUAUAUAAAUAAUCCUAGCUCUAAUAAAAUUUUGCUACAUAAUUAGUUUAUCCCUUAAAGAAACAUAUCAAAAAAAUAUACAAAAACACAAUGCAUGAGUACAUGUCAAUCACAAAUGAAAGCAAUUAAGAUAAAGAAUAUGAUUUAUUUUAUUUUAUUUUAGUUAUUUUUUUGUUUCUUUUGAAACAAGACCAAUUAGAUCAUGCAAGAAGUAAUUUUUUUUAAAAAAAUAAAAAAAGGACAAAUGAUGAAACCCACGUCUAAAGAUGCCGUUGUCGCGGAGGCCUAGAUCUCACUACACCCCAUCCCCUUCUACCAUAUUUUAUAAUUGAAGAGGUCAUUAUUGAAUUGAAAAAUUAUGAUUCAAAAAUCCAAAAGUAGAAAAAGAAAAGCAAUUGUUGGAAACACACUCGGAGUUUUAAAUUGACAUGAGAAAAGAAUAUAUUCAUCAACCUCAUACGUUAAAGAUGCGACGAGUUUAAGAAUAUAUUCCUAACGUGUGGGAAUUUAAAGAUGUUACUACAAAACAUGUGUUCGUCGGUGGAGUAGAAUCAGGGAAAUUAAAGAUGCUACUACAACCACUAACGUGUGGGUGGAGAUAAGCAUAACUUUUUUCAUCAAAUGCCAAAUCCCCCCAGGUGGAGAGUGGGGACUCCUUCGCAUAAAUGUUGAUAAAAUUUUGACUAUGAUGUUAUUAGAAAUUAGGGAAAACUUAUGGUGCAACUGUGAUAUCGUGUCAUAGUUGUAUCCAGCCGUUGGAUGUCAAUGGACUCUACCCAUACAAGUGUAUCCAACGGCUGGAUGUAAUUAUGGCACGGUACCACAGUUGCAUCGUAGCCGGACCCUAAAAAUUAAGAUAUUCUCUCUCUACGUAUGUCUGCACGAAAUAAUAUGCAAAUAUAGUAUUUUAGUUUAUUAUUAAUAGUUUUACAAUAAUAAAAAUCAUUUUGAUAGACAGGAAAAUGUCAUAUUCGCAUUUUAUUUUGUACGGACGUCUGCGAGAAAGAACAUAUAUAUAUAUAUAUAGAGGAACGUGUAUUUAAGAUUUAGCUAGUGUGAAGUUGGGAAAUUUUUUUUUUUGAACCCAAGCUAAAAUUAUUUCAAUAAAUUUUGAUCAUGGAGACUAACAAGAUUUUUUUAGUUAUAUUUAUUAAUUUUUUAGGGACUAAUAAAUUUUGAUCAUGGAGACUAAUAAGAUUUUUUAGUUAUAUUUAUUAAUUUUUUAGGGACUAACAUGAAUAUUAAUAAUUUUAUUGAGAUUAUUAAAAAAACAAUGUGCUAUUUUACAUCUAUGACUUUUCCAAUCUUUUUUUCUUUCGUUAUUUAUUCCUUUGUGAAUUUUAGUUAAUGCUUGAUAUUAUUUUUUUGCUCAUUUUUUAAAGUAGUAAUUAAAUCUGAACCCUUACAGUAGAAGAUUAUGAAAAAGUAAAGACACAAAAAUCAUAAAAAUCAUUAGUAGGUCCAAAUUUGUGCUAUUUUCAUACAUAACUUGAGAAUAUUUAUAAUUACGCAUCAGAACUAGUGGAGUAGAAUCAGGGAAAUUAAACAUUCUACAAUCAUUGACGUGUGGGGUGGGGAUAAGCAUAAACAUUUUCUAUGCAGUAUAAAAGAAUGCAAUAACUCCUUUCUUUCAUAUCUUCGCAACAAAAGCACAUCUAAUAACUCUUCAGAAUUCUCGUCUUCUUUGUCAGAAUGGUUGAUGCGAUCGUUUCCUCUCUCCUGGAGCAGCUGAUCUCUGUUGCGGCUGAUGAAGUGAAACAACAGGUGAGGCUUGUGACUGGUGUCCGAGAAGAAGUGAAAAAGCUUACCAGCAAUCUUCAAGCCAUUCAACUUGUGCUGGAAGAUGCAGAGAAAAGGCAAAUGCAGGACGACAAAGCUGUUACUUUUUGGCUGGAUCAGCUCAAAGGCGCAUCUUACGACAUGGAAGAUGUGUUGGAGGAGUGGACCACUGCAAGGCUCAAAUUGCAGAUUGAGGGCCUUGACGAUGACAAUACUCUUGCUCUUCCUGCUCAUAAGAAGAAGGUAUGUUCCUUCUUUCCUUCUGCCUCAAACUGCUUCGGUAGUUUCAAAAAACUCAGUCUUCGUCAUGACAUUGCAGUCAAGAUUAGAGAGAUCAAUAAAACGCUGGAUGAUAUUACCUCUCAAAAAGAUAGGUUUAAAUUUGCUGAGAAUGUGAGUAACAAUGUCAAGAAGCCAGAGCGAGUGGGAACCACCUCCUUGGUUGAUGAGGGAGAGGUUUGCGGUAGAGUUGAUGAGAAAAAUGAGCUCUGCAAGUUGUUGUGCGAAAGUAGUGAACAACAACAAGGCUUUCAUGUCAUUUCACUAGUUGNNNNNNNNNNNNNNNNNNNNNNNNNNNNNNNNNNNNNNNNNNNNNNNNNNNNNNNNNNNNNNNNNNNNNNNNNNNNNNNNNNNNNNNNNNNNNNNNNNNNNNNNNNNNNNNNNNNNNNNNNNNNNNNNNNNNNNNNNNNNNNNNNNNNNNNNNNNNNNNNNNNNNNNNNNNNNNNNNNNNNNNNNNNNNNNNNNNNNNNNNNNNNNNNNNNNNNNNNNNNNNNNNNNNNNNNNNNNNNNNNNNNNNNNNNNNNNNNNNNNNNNNNNNNNNNNNNNNNNNNNNNNNNNNNNNNNNNNNNNNNNNNNNNNNNNNNNNNNNNNNNNNNNNNNNNNNNNNNNNNNNNNNNNNNNNNNNNNNNNNNNNNNNNNNNNNNNNNNNNNNNNNNNNNNNNNNNNNNNNNNNNNNNNNNNNNNNNNNNNNNNNNNNNNNNNNNNNNNNNNNNNNNNNNNNNNNNNNNNNNNNNNNNNNNNNNNNNNNNNNNNNNNNNNNNNNNNNNNNNNNNNNNNNNNNNNNNNNNNNNNNNNNNNNNNNNNNNNNNNNNNNNNNNNNNNNNNNNNNNNNNNNNNNNNNNNNNNNNNNNNNNNNNNNNNNNNNNNNNNNNNNNNNNNNNNNNNNNNNNNNNNNNNNNNNNNNNNNNNNNNNNNNNNNNNNNNNNNNNNNNNNNNNNNNNNNNNNNNNNNNNNNNNNNNNNNNNNNNNNNNNNNNNNNNNNNNNNNNNNNNNNNNNNNNNNNNNNNNNNNNNNNNNNNNNNNNNNNNNNNNNNNNNNNNNNNNNNNNNNNNNNNNNNNNNNNNNNNNNNNNNNNNNNNNNNNNNNNNNNNNNNNNNNNNNNNNNNNNNNNNNNNNNNNNNNNNNNNNNNNNNNNNNNNNNNNNNNNNNNNNNNNNNNNNNNNNNNNNNNNNNNNNNNNNNNNNNNNNNNNNNUAGAAAAGAAUGUUUGUGGGUAGAAAUUAAUGGUACCAAAGAAUCAGUCAUAAACUCUUUUGGUGACAAAGUCCAUCACUUAGGGUUAAAGUUUGAAGAAGGCGCUUCAUUUCCUAUGUCCAUUCAUGGACUUAAUAGAUUGCGUACCCUCUUAAUUUAUGACCAAAGUCCUUACAAUCCGUCUCUUAGUAGUAGCAUCCUUCCGGAGUUAUUUAAUAAAUUGGCGUGUUUAAGGGCAUUAGUUAUAAGGCAAUCGUACUUAUUAUUUUUGUAUCCUGAGGCAAAUAGGAUUAGAGAAAUUCCAGAAAAUGUCAGAAAAUUGAUACAUUUAAAAUAUCUUAAUUUGUCUGAAUUACACAUAGAGAGACUGCCUGAGACUUUGUGUGAAUUAUAUAAUUUACAAAAGCUAGAUAUUAGGCGGUGCCCAAAUCUUAGGGAAUUACCUGCGGGGAUUGGGAAGUUAAUGAACAUGAGGAGUUUACUGAAUGCUGAAACUCGUUCGUUGAAGUACAUGCCAAUAGGGAUUUCCAAAUUAACCAGUCUUCGAACAUUAGAAAAGUUUGUUGUGGGUGGAGGUGUUGAUGGUGGCAGCACGUGUAGGCUUGAAUCUCUGAAAAAUCUUCAACUCCUUCGUGAAUGUAGAGUAAAAGGGCUGAGUAAUGUAUCGCAUGUAGAUGAGGCUGAGAGGUUACAACUUUACAAUAAGAAAAACCUCCUUCGUUUGGGUCUUCAGUUUGGUAGAGUCGUAGAUGGGGAAGGCGAAGAAGGGAGGAGGAAGAAUGAGAAAGAUGAACAACUUCUUGAAGCCUUACAACCGCCUUUGAAUGUAGAGGAAUUAGAGAUUGAAUCCUACCGAGGCAACAUUUUUCCCAAAUGGUUGAAUUCACUAACCAAUCUAAGGAAUUUAUAUCUUUCCUCGUGUUUUAACUGUGAGCAUUUGCCUCCUUUGGGAAAAUUACCUCUGGAAAAACUCGAAAUCAUCCACUUGAAAAGUGUAAAAAGAGUGGGUAAUGAGUUUUUGGGAAUAAAAGAAAGCAGUGAGGAUGAGCCGUCUUCAUCUUCAUCAUCAUCAUCAGUUACUGCCUUCACCAAAUUGAAAUCUCUCAAUAUUUGGGACAUGGAAGAAUUGGAAGAGUGGAAUUACAGGAUUACGAGGAAGGAAAACAUCUCCAUCAUGCCCCGUCUUUCUUCCUUAACAGUUGGUUCUUGCAACAAAUUAAAGGCGCUGCCGGAUUACCUUCUUCAAACGACGGCACUACAGAAACUGAAUAUUAAUUGUUGUGAAAAUUUGGAAGAACUGCCCAUUCUAGAAGAUCACAGGACAACAAGUGUAGUCUGUUCCUUGAUGAUUUUGGAUUGCCCCAAAAUAAAGGUGCUGCCGGAUUACCUCCUUCGAACGACGACACUGCAGGAAUUGACAAUUGUGGGAUGUCCUCUUCUACAAGAACAUUAUAGAGAAGACUGGCAUAAGAUAUCUCACAUUCCCCACAUCAUGGUGCCGGUAAUUUCUCCUCCUCCGAUUUACUUCGUUGUUGCUUGCAAUAAAAUGAAUAAAAAUAAUUAUAUCUUUAAUUCUAUAUAGAAUCAAUCAUGGUAUAAAUAUGUAAAACUUCCUAGUUAUCAAAUCUGUUAAACUUGUUUCCUAAAGAUUAAAUAAAAAAAAAAACAAGUGUAGUCUGUUUAAAUUCGAUAAUUACUUUUAAAAAAAUAUGUGCUCUUUUGUAAAAUUUCAUGCAAUCUCAUAGAAAAUCCCAAUGCAAUUUAGUUUUUAAUGUACAAAAAUUUGUUAUGUGUAACUUCCUGAGAAACAAAAUCUCUGUGAUACAUUUGCAGUAAUGUUGAAAACUAAAUUAUCAAUUUUGCCUUGCAUACUGAUAAUCGUAUUUUUUUAUAUAUAAUUUAUGUGACAAUAAUUCGUUAAAGUAAUUGUGUAAUUGUUUUUAGUAGUACAUUAGCCCACUUUGUUUUAUUUCAUACGAGUUUAAUUAUGUUCAUCAGGGACUCGAGGAAAUGUCAGAACUACACUAGCAAUUCACAUCGUCAUCAUCGUCAUCAUCGGUUACUGCCUUCCCCAAGUUGAAAGCACUCAAAAUUAAUUAUUUGGAUGAACUGGAAGAGUGGAAUUACAGGAUUAGGAGGAAGGAAAACAUCUCCAUCAUGCCACGUCUUUCUUCCUUGUGGAUUCGGUAUUGCCCCAAACUAAAGGUGCUGCCGGAUUACCUUCUUCAAUUGACGACACUGCAGAAAUUAAGGAUUGAGCUAUGUCCUCUUCUGGAAAACCGUUAUAGGGAGGCGAAAGGAGAAGAUUGGCAUAAGAUAUCUCACAUUCCCCACAUCGAGAUAUCACCCGACGGUAAUUUCUUCUCCUCCUCUGAUUUACUCUGUUGUUGCUUGCAAUGAAAUUAAUAAAAAUAAUUAUAUUAUGAAUUAAAAUUCUGUAUAUUGCCAAUGUGUGACAGGAAUAUAUUAUAUAUUUCUAAUAUUUUGAUUUGCAUAUUGAAUUUAACUAUUUACUUCAGCCAUUAAUUUGCCAAUAAUUUAAUGGGUCACUCUAUGAUGCUGUUAUAAAAAUUAUAAAACCAAUCAUGGUAUAAAUAUGUACGGUUUGAUUUAAUCAAUAGUUCAUAAAUUUAAAAGUUAGUUAGGAUAAUAUUUUAAUUUUAUUUAUUUAAAAUUUAAACUUCUUAGUUAUCAAAUCUGUUAAACUAAUUUUCUAAAGAUUAAAUUAUUAAAAAAACUGUAAUCUGUUGAAAUUCCUAUAUUUUCUUUUAAAAAAUAAGUAGACUUUUAUAAAAUUUCAUACAACAUCAUGGAAAAUCCUAAUGUAAUUUAUUUUUUAAUGUACCAAAAUUUAUCAUGUGUAACUUCCUGAGAGACAAAAUCUCUGUGAUACAUUUGCGGUAACGUUGAAAACUAAAUUAUCAAUUUUAUCUUGUAUAAUGAUAAUCGUAUUUUUUUGUAUAUAAUUUAUGUGACAUUAAUUCUUUAAAGUAAUUGUGUAAUUUUUUUAGUAGUACAUGAGCCCACUUUGUUUUAUUUCAUACGAGUUUAAUUAUGUUCACCAGGGAUUCGAGGAAAUGUCCGGUCCAAUCUAAUUUCGUUUUAAUGAUGCAGGCAGGAGAGUAUGCUAAGAAAAUGAAAAGUUUAGCCAAAGGAUUGCUAAAAUGUUCUACAGGUAAUUCACUUGAUUUAUUUUAUAGAAUUUCAUUUCCAUCUUCUUCUAUUGAUAUCUUGUUGUGAAUAUACAAGAACAAAGAAGUAAAGAUAUAUCAAAAUUUACUAUUACGAUGAUGCUAAGGCAAGCUCAAGCUCAAGCAUUGCAUUUUAUAUUUUAUUUAGUUAAUAUAAUUUUCAUUUCCACCUGCAUUUCAUUUUUUGGUUGACUUUGAAGACUCUAUGGAGAACAUUGGGGUAACCAAGGAUUAUCACUGUGGUUAUUGUGCAACGUUUGGUUGCUGGACUUUGAAGAAGGAAGUGAUGGCCGGGUCUGCUCUGUUUCAAUUGAGGAUGGGUAGCUGCCUGAAAGACAUGAUGAUUAUUAUUGCGUGAUGUUAAGGUGCUGAGAUCAUCAUUGCUAUCUUGUUUCAUUCUUGGAAUCAUUUAUCCUGUAUAAACAUUUGUUUUAACAAAUGUUUCAAUGCCUGCUGUAGUAACAAUUUCAUAUCUUGCAUCUCUCGGGUGCAUCGUGAUCACGGGUUUGAGAAAGCAUUUGUGGUAAAGCUUCAAAGCUUGUACAAUGGCUGUGAAAAGGCACAUUCAAUUCGGUACGUUUGGUGCGGUCUCCUAAUGCUACUACCAUAUUUUGUAUAGCAAUUAAAAUUCAGGUAUACAAUCUUAAUAUGCAAUAAAUCAUUGAGUACAAAGUUAUCUAUUAAUUAUAUGGUAACUGAAAUUUUCAUUAUAAUUUUAAUUACAUAUUAAUAUUAAAAUUUUUUGUAACCCUCUUUUACUUUGCUUGUACAGAGUACCUGUUUUGGCUGAUAUGUCUAAUUCGUAGAAAUUCAUUUCCAUCGGUUUCCAUUGGUUUUAGCACAAACAGAAACAGAAAUCUGGGAAAAAGUUUUACUUCUUCUGGUAUUAUGCCUUUAUUUAUUCAUUCAUCAUAUUUGUUCGAAUUCAUGCUCUCAUUCAGAGAGCAGCCUUUUCCAGGCUACUUUGUAGCCAAAUUUUCAUGCCAUCGAUGCAUGAUUGUCAUUUAGAUUUUCCAAAUAAUUGUUAGAUUGAAGAAGAAUAAGAAGAUAUUGUUAAAAGGGUAUUUAAUUAGCACCCUCUGAAUUUAGUUGCCAAUAAUGCAUUGAAAUGGUUGGGGAAAGUUAUUGUCUCAAUUAAAUUACAGGUGACAAGAUGCUGCUCCAAUUUUGCAAGCAUCUCGUGUUUCGAGAUUUUGCCCACAUGAGAUGCUAUGAUUUUUGACAUCAGGGUAACAAAGGUCAAAUUUUAGCAUCAAUAGAUAUCAUCUUCUUUACUGUUCUGCUCGAAAUAUUAAACUUUAGGCAAGUUGUUUUUGUUUGUGUGAGUUAUCAGGUUAAGGAUACUAAGCAGCUUAUUAAGGCAAAUGUCAGAAUGAAGAUUUUUCACCGCACCUGGUAUGAAUGAUGGCGAGGAAGAUUAAUUGUUCACAAGCCAAUUUGAUCAGUGUUAGAUUCUUUUGCCUCCCUUCGAGAGAUAUCAUCAUCAAAUUUGAGAAGAGAGUUUUGUUUUGACAUUUCACUGUAGUGAAUUUUGGGAGCUUGAACCCACUUCAGUGAAAUAUUAGGGAAUACUGGGGAUAUGGGUUAUGAGUGAUCGUUAUCCUUCAAAUAUUUGUAAGCUCUCACUUGUUAGUAAAAUCAUCUUCGUAUAUUGACUUUGUUUCUUUGUUGUCAGGCCGAGUGUGAUCUUCAAGGUUUGAGAAAGUCUUCGCAGUAAAAUUUCCACCACGUGCAAUUGCUGUGAAGGGGCAUAUACAUUUGAGUAAUUCAGUUUCAGAUUUUCAAGGCGCGUUUGUUUAAUUAGUUUCGAUUAUAAUAUUUAGUCACUCAUUCUGAAUCUUUUCUAAUUUUCAAGUUCUUUAGGGCCGCCGACAGUUUUUUAAGUCUACAUGUGGUUGCAAAAAGAUUGAUGGUCAUCAAAUUAUCUUGAGCCUUGAGGCAUUGCGUUCGAGCACAAAAGGAAACAGAACUAAGGGAAAUGAAGACAGUAGGAGAUGCUCUGAAUAUAACAAAAGUAUAUUUCUACUUCUUGUGGUUAUUUUAAUUUUGUUUCUCCUGUCAUCAUAUUUAAUUAAUUCGUUUGAAUUCACACUCUCACACAUUAUUUAAAACCAUCUGCAGGUGGUUUGCAAGCUAGCUAAGUUAAUCCAAAAACAAUACUCUAGACAAAGAUGAGCAAAUUGAAGGCGACAAAUGCAAAUUGGAUUUCCAUGAAUAAUUGUUAGGCUGGUGGAGAUAUUCUUAAAAGGGCAUUAAGCUAUCUUAUGGAAUUGGAAAGUUAUUAUUGCUUGAAAGCAAGCAGCAUCUUCGUUGCGAAGGCUUUCCCCACCUGAUAAAAUGCUGAGAUUGUUACCGGCCCCUUAAUUAUUUAUUAACUCAGGUAUUUAUUAUCAAUACAUCAUCUUAUUCACCAUUUUGGCUAUAUAUAAAGAUUAAAAUUUCUAACAGUUGUUUCGGAUUCUUGUGUACUCAGGUUAAUAGGGCAAAUAUCAGAAUGAAGAUUGCUCAGUGCAACCGAUAGAGCAAGGAUGAUAGUUGUGAGAAAGAUUGUUGGCAAGACAAAUAGAGUCCUCCAUUUGGAGAAAUAUCAUCCUCAAAUUUGAAUUGUCGAGCAUGUGAGGUGAAGCUAAAGCCUUAAUAAUGAGACCUUCCUGUGGAAGUUUCAUUUGAAUGAAUUGAACGUUCUUAGUGAGUGAGAAAUUAAGUAUAUAUCAGCGAUUUUGGUCGUCUGUGAAUGUUUCCCUUCAAUAUUAAUACACUGGCAUUUCUUAGUAAAUUCGCUUCACGUCACUUCCUCCUUGUUGGUGGGACUAGUAAACAAAUGUCAUUUCUUAGUACAUUUUGAGAAUUUUGAUUCCCAAAUAAGCCUGCAGAACGGUGUAUGGUGGGAUUAGCUGCAGGAUUCUUUGCCAAAAUUCCUUUUUAUUCCUUUGUUCACUUAUUCGUUAUAAAUAAAGUAAAAUUAGAAUAUUGUUCCGUUUACUGUCUAAGCUGGUCUAACAUUUGUUUAAUUUGGGCAAUUUUUAAUGCCUAACAGGUUAUCUGUGACAAACCCAUCGGUCACUAACAAUUUUGAAGUUAUUGGAGUAGCACGGCUUUGAGGUCUCUCCCUCCCUCUUUUACGUAUUUGUCUAUCGAUCGACAUGUCUAUAUAUACAUUGAUAGACCAACUUACUCUUGUUUUAAUGUUUUGUUUGUUAAACUUGACUGGGGAAUGUUUAUUUGUCUCAUAUGAUGUCAAUGUGGUUCCAAUUGAAGUGUAUAGAUCUGUCACCUCAAAGUCUGAUUUCAAUUUUCCUUUACUUCAUCAACUAGCAUCCUUUCCAAGUCCAGAUACUUACCAAUAGUGAGACUUUGCUACGGAAGUACAAUUUCUCUUGUUUUACAGUUAAUUAUGUAAGAAUAGUUUUAAAUUUACAGAAUUUUGAAAUAGCUCUCUUAAGGAAAUGCGAGUGGUGAAUAUGGUUCCAACUUUUAAUAGGCUUAAUAGGCCCAUUUGUUAAGCCACAGUGAUUGCGGUCUAAAUUCUUCUUUACUGUCUAUAUGUGUUGGAGUUUGUCUAUUGUCCAACUUCUCAAAUCGAUUCCAUGCAGGGUUUUGAAUGUCUAAUUAGGAGAAAGAUUAACGGAUGACCUUUUGAAGAAGGCUUACACAACAGGCCAUCUCAGGAUGUCAUGGCUCAGCUCAAAAGUCCCCAGGUGGUUAAUGACAAUGUGCCAUUGUUUCUGGGCUUGGUCUCCUUGGCAUCAAACAAGAUAAUGUUGACUCUAUUAAAGGGGAAAUAAGGGCGACUAAAGCGCGAAGAAAGAGGAUAGUCCGGAGGAAGGUGACUGCAUAAAUUUGUUGGAGUUAAUGUAGUCAAUUGCCUAAUUUUGCUGCCUGUCGAAGAGACACAUCAUGGAAGUCCUCAUCAAACUCUGAGACACCUAAGAAAUAGUAUGAGGUGGUGGUAUUCCCCUGGUGUUAAUUUCCUGGCAAGUGUGGUUCACAGAUAGAGGGAUUCUUUUCUUGAUGUCUAAAUACCGUAUGUGAUACAACGUCGUAUAUUCUAAUUUUCCUUGAGUUAAAUUCUAGUCAGUUAGGAAAGUUAAUUUUGUUUUCGCUAUGGAUUGUUUCCUAGAUAAAAAUAGUUUCCAUGUUUCUUUGGGGUCUUAUUAACUCUCUGUAACCCAGUUCAAGUUUGCAAAUUCUAUUUCAGAUUUCUCAUAUAGUGUGCCUUUGUCACUUCUGUGAUACACUUUUGAUCACAAGUUUCCAUUUGAAGUAACCAAUAUUCUUUAUAGACUAAUUAUCUAAGGAUUAUUUUAUACAAAAAAUCAAAACUUUAAUUAAUUGAUCAUACUUAACUUGGCUUUUGUUUGAUAUUACUAGCUGUUGUGAGAACCAAAAAAAUAGCAGAAAGUUGACAAUGUGCAGUAAAUGUAUGACUUUUAAAUAAUAAUUUAAUAAAAUUAAUAAAGAUAUUAUAAAUUUUUUAAUAAUAAAGUAUGAGAUCAAAUCAAAUUAAUUUUUAAGUCAAAAUUGUUUAAUUAUGUAGUUUAAAAGUAUAGUAUCCAACCUCAACACAAUAGAGAGAUUUCUAUUUACCAAACUCUACCCAACUUUGGUUGUACUGACUCGAUCAUGCAAGUCCAUACUCGACGCGUUGACCAUACAAGAUGUUACUCAACUUUAACAAAUCUUACUCAAACUUUGCACGUUUAGCAUGCCGAAUGGAAUAUGAUAGUAGAUGAUGUGAUAGAUAUUAUAGGAAUAGUCGUAACAAAAUUAUAUUUAGUACUUUUUUAUAUUUUAUGUGAUGAACAGAUGUAGUAUAUGAAUGGAUUAUAUUACAAAUUUUAGUGUUAUCAUAAUUAAAAAAUUGAAUUAUUUUUUAUUAUUGAAAAACUGUAAUAUGUUAAAUAACAGUUAUUUUUAUUAAUUUUUUUUAAUGAAUUAUACUUUUAAAUUAUAAUCGAAAAUUCUUAUUACUGAACUAAUAAAAAAUUAAUUAGCUCAAGAGAUAAAUUCACUUAGUGUAGAACGAAAUGGUGUGUUAUUUUUAUGUGGGAUCCACAUCCUUUCCACAUCAACCUCAACAUCCAAACAUGAAAUUGGACUAAAAAUAGUUCUUUCCCAUGUAUUUACGUAACCUCCUCCCACUAAACGCAAAUAUUUAUUCUUGAUUUUACUAACAUAAUUUUCUCCCAUUUCCAUAUUGUCCGCGUUGAGUGCAUGUAAUCCACAAGUUUAAUUAAUUUUUUUUUUUUUGAGAGAGGUAUGUUAAAAUGAAUAUAUCACAUUUUUUUCUUUUUUCCUUUUUUUUGCGUGAGUGAUGGCUUCGUUGAAUGACAGUUGGCUGAUAAUAAGUUAUCUUUUAAUUUUGUUUUUGAUUUAAUAGAAACUAUUAAUUUUUGUAGUUUCGGUAGAUGAAAUUUCGAAUCAAAUAUUAAUAUUGUUAAAGUACGCAACCCAAUAUUUACUUAAAUUACAAAAAAGAUUAAUUGCUUUGCAUAAAAAAGAAGUGAUCACUUGAUUUAACUUCCUUUACUAAAUUUACGAUUUAAAAUCCAAAAUAAAAAAAAGAGUUUAUUAUUGAUUAUCUUUUUCCCAAAUUUAAGCUAAGACAGUAAUAUGUCCAAAAUACCCUCCACGUUAUCCUAAAACUUUAUGAAUUCCCCCGUUCCUCUCAACAUCAUCUCUUCCAAAUCUUUCUUCCCCAAAAAACCAGCCAUGGCUUCAUAUUUAGUUACCUCAACACUCCAAUAUUGGCUUGUAAACAGCAGCGGUUCAACCUCUAGGCAACUUAGGUGGUUGCAUAGGACUCCGCUUUAUAUGAAAGCCCUACAAGAUGAUUAUUUUGUAUAUAAAAGAGGAAAAUGAAUUUAAAAGUCAUUAUUAUUCAUUUAAUUUAUUAUUAUUUUGUAAUUAUCUUUUUCUAAAUAAACUAUCAAAUUCUUAUCAAGUUUAUUUAAUGUAGUACUUAAUUGUUUUAAUUUCUACAAAACCAAUAAAUUAAUAGUUUCAAUCCUAAAAAUUCUCUAUUUCAUUGUUAGAAUUAAUAAGUUAUAUUUCAAAAGUUUUAUAUUUAUUUUAAACCUCUAUAAAAACCCCACAUUUUAUUACUUAUCCAUUAAAUUUUUCGUUCAACAAUCAAGACAUCUUGGUGUUUGAGAGAAAGAAAGAGAGAGGGAAAAAAAUCUUGCUUCCUCUACUUUCUACUCUAGAAGAAAAAGAAAAAAUCAAAUAUUUUUCUCUAUUUUCUAUGACUAUUGGUUGCUACUCAAAUUUUCAAACAACAGCCUUAAUAUAAACAUAAGUUAAUUUAUGAUUUCAUCUCAAAUUUCUGAUUUUAUCUUUUUAUUAUUCUCUUAAUUAAUUGUGUUGUUAUUUGUUCUUAUUUCUUUUUAUAUAUUCUUUUCUUCAUCUACUUUUUUUGUGCUUGUUUUAUCUAUUUUGAAAUAAAACUAUAUCAAAAAAUUUUAGACAAUAGGAGAAUAAAAAAAUUAGAUUAAUUUAAAAAAAUAGUAAAAAAGAUAUAAUUUAACUUAAAAAAAAGUGAAAAUGUUAUAAUUGAAUUAAAAUUUUAUGACUUAACAACAAUAGAAUAAAUUUGUAUUUAAUAAUUUUAUAUUUUAAAGUAUUUAAAGAAUUAAUUUUUAAUAAAUAAUAUUAAUAUAUAUAUAUAUAUAUAUAUAUAUAUAUAUAAGUUACUUAUCUCUCCAUCCGCACUUACCUCUCCCUCACAUUCAUCCUCAACCACACAUCAACAUCAACAUCAACAUCACCUCUCAUUGGACCCCACAUCCUCAAGCCCAUCACAGCCGUCCAUAACCUCACCCUCCUCCUCCUCUCCCUCAUCAUGGCCGUUGUUUGCCCUCUCUCCAUCAUCCUCCAUUUACCGCACCUCCGUUACACCCUCUGUUUCCUCCUUACCAUUUCUCCGUCUGGCACGGCCUAAUUCCGACGGAAUCAACGACGGUCGUGAUGGGUUUUGGCUGCGACUAUUCGCGCUUCAAACGGCGGCGUUUCGGUUGGUUUUUGGCGACAGUGACGGUGGGAAAGUGAUGGCUGGCUCAGGAGCUUUCGUUGCUACCAUCCAUGGCCGGUGAGGUGGCCGAAAAUCGGAUAUAUGUCUGCGUCGGGUUCGCAGUUUUGGGUCGGGUUUUCCGGGUCAGUUUGACAGCUUCCUCUAUCCCUCUCCCCCAUAAAACAUUACCCAGCUUCCUCUUAUUAUUAUUUUUUUUUUCACAUACGUUACAGAACAUUAAUGAGAGAUGUUUAGUAGUAAGGACUAUUUUGAUAUUUCGAUGAGUAGUAAAAACUAAUGUUAAAAUUUUAUAGACGAAUGUAGAGUAAGAUGCUCAAAGUACUAGAACAUAUAUAAAUAAUCCCAGCUCUUAUAAAAUUUUGCCACAUAAUGAGUUUUAUCCCUUAAGCAAAACAUAUCGAUAAAGUAUACAAAAGCACAAUGCAUGAAUGAUGGUCUUACAAAGUUCGAAUAUAAAGUUUAUAAUCUAAAAUUAAUGAUGUGACAAUUAACCUAAUGGAGUAAGAAGGCCCAAAUAGAUUAUAUUUUGCUAAAGAAGUAAAUUCUACCAAGAAUACCUCUUUCUAUUGAAUUUAAAUGAUGAUUAUUUGUUUAUAUCAUAAAAACUAAAAUAACUGUGUGAGUAAUUUGAUUCUUUUACAGUAUAAAAAUAAAUUCAGAAAAUGUUAGGGCAUGUUCUGUGUUUUAUUUUUAAAUUUAUAUUAUGAGAAUGAAAAUGGUGUUUUCAAGUUGAUAAAUUUUCAAUUGAAAUAUGUGUUUGUUAUUAUUUCAUUUAUCCUAUAUUUUCAAAAUGAAAAUAACCGAUAGAUAAAGUUAAAAAUGAUAAAAUAAUGGAUAUAUUAAGCAAUUUUACUACAUGCAAAUUAUUUUCUGUGUUUAAAGUUCAUAUAAAGCUUGUUUAUUUUUCAACAUACCAACUUACAACAAUAAUAAUAAAAUUUUUGUGAUAUCCAAUAUUAACUUUUUAAAGUAAUUAUUUUUUGUUAAUGUGUCCGCUGUUCAAUCGAUCUUCCUACUUUCUAUGCUUGAGAUUAGAUCAUUUGCUUCAAAGAUUCGAACUGGACUUAUAGUAGGAAAAAGAAUUUUCUUCAAUAUGAACUCUAAUUCUCUUUUAUAUAUAUAUAUAAAAAAAUCUAAUUCUCCUUUCAACAUUUUAACAUUUUGAUGAAAUAAAAAAUUAUUGGCGAAAGAUUACAUGCUUCCUUACUUUAGAGAACCAAAUACUCAGAUAGGUAGUGUAAAUCUCUACUGAUCGUUGGUGAUUUUAUCAAAAUAAAAUUCAAUAAAAUGUAUAAGAACACUUAAAUCCGUCCAAAAAAAAAAAUGACCCAGCAAAUAAAGAAAAGUACUGUGAAGUAAAAAUUGAACAAACCUAGAAAGAAGAGAAGAAGAAGAAUGGAAGAAGGAGAUUCGGUUCAUAAAUCAUGGAGGGAGAUGAGACUUAAGAGAUAGGGUUAGUGAGACAGACGAGGUCCUAGAGUCUUAAAGAUGAAGACUAUCUAUUAUUAGUUACUUAUUAUAAUGAUGUUUAUUAUUAUAAUUUAUUUUACAAUUUUUUUUUAUGAAACAAGUAAAACAUGUUUAAGUUGUUUUGUAAUUUAUAACUGUUAGAGGCAAGUCAGAUUCUGUGUUUUACAAUUAAAUUUUAUGAGGACUACUGAACGCUUAUUUUACUUAGAUUUAUAAAACGAAAAUGAGAAUGGCCAGUAAAAAACAAUACCGAAUGCCCACUUACUUCAUCUCAUACUCUUAGGUCACAAAAAUAGCAAUAACUCUAACAAAUUUAUUAUUGAAUGUGAAUGGUUAUAUAUCGAUCAUUUGAUACGUAUUUUUCAAGACAGAACCUCAAUUCAAUGGACAAAAGCUCCUCUUAAUUUUUCUUUUCUAUUUAAAUAAAAGAACAAAAGAAAUUGAUUACAGAGCCAUUACUUUUCCAAGAAUUAAUAAACGAAAAGGCCCAUAAUUUUUGUAAACCCACCCCACUCUCAAGAAAUAAUUACAAUAAGUUCAAAUUAUUUUUUAAAAAUUGAAAUAAAGAAGAUGUAAUUACAAUAAUUUGGAGAUUGAAUCAAAUAAAAUAAAAGGGUUAUUUUUACAUACCUCCCCUGAGGUUUCACCUAAUAUCAGUUUAAUAGAAAGUAUCUCCGUAUUUUUACAUCCCUCCCCUACAGUUAGUAUAAAGUUAUGUAUAUCAUCAGUACACAAGGCUAAAAUCGUAAAAGCUCAUUUAAAAUUCGUUUUAAUCGUAUCAAGUGGCAUCGUAAUCAAAGCCAAUAAACCACCAGCCAUGGCUGCACUCACUCCCUGAAACGCCAUCACAGUUUUUGAAUCCGGCCUAAUCAUCAUCAUAUCACCCUCACGGUCACCAUAUUUCCUGCGCAAGAAACACCCAACUCCACCCCAAACAAGCCUUUGAGCAACGGAAUAAGACGCCCACCAAACUGCAUUUGAUGGUGCAUUUGUCAAGAUUGAAAUCCCGGAGCCCAUAUACAAUCCUCUAACCCCAUCAUUUCUAACAAUCUUCCUAAACAUAUCAACCCCAUUUACGUAUCUAGCAUCGGCCCCAUUAGCCACCAUAAGCCUCUGAGUCAAAACAUCAACUGGGGUCCAGACAAGCUGAGCAGCCAUGGCAGCACUCAAUCCACCAACAGCACUAGCGACCGCCGCCGCCGCAGUAAACCCUAAGUCACUAACAGCAAAGCUGCCAACUUUAGUUAAAUAAAAUUAAUUUAUUUGCUUUGAUUACGAUUAACAGAUGCAUAUCUUUGUGAAAACUUUGACCGGCAAGACCAUCACUCUCGAGGUGGAGAGCUCCGACACGAUCGACAAUGUCAAGGCUAAGAUCCAGGACAAGGAAGGGAUUCCACCGGACCAGCAGCGGCUGAUCUUCGCCGGAAAGCUCAUCUUUUAAUAAACUUUAGGAAAAGACCCCAUCACCAUCAUCGUGACCAUCUGCUUCCCUCCUUGUUUGUUGUUCCUUCAUUUUCUUUUUAUUUCUUCUUCGUGGAAUCGGUCUUAUUUUCUUCUUCUCUCACUAUUGUAGGUUGUUGUUGGCAGAGGGACGAAUUGUGUUUAUUUGCUUUUAGAAUUGGCUAAUUUAAUUGAUAUAAAUUGUUUUGGUUGUGCCGCGGACAUAAAUUGAAGUUUAGUCGACGGUGCUUUCAUAGCAACAUUUGGUGCUGUUAUUAUGGAUACCAAGCUAAAGUAAGAUGACGUUGGACAUGUUAUGAGGUUUAGUUUUUUUGAAUUGAUUUUUUAUUUGAAUUUUUGGGGAAAAAUAUCAAAAAUGGAAAGCUUGAUUUUAAGAAAACAAGGAUGUGGUUUUGUUGGCGAGGUGGUACAGGGGAUUUUAGUUUUUGUUGGAUGAAAGAAGACUGUCAACCUUGAAAGGGUAUUUUCAUCCUCUUGUUAGUCCACUAACGGUCAACUGACGGAAAUACUAACUGCAGGGGAGGGAUGUAAAAAUACGGAGAUACUUUCUAUUAAACUGAUAUUAGGUGAAACCUCAGGGGAGGUAUGUAAAAAUAACCCUAAAAUAAAAUACCCAAACUAUUAUAUACAAGAACUCUUGAUUUUUGGGGUAUUUUAGUCAUUUUAUAUUAUCAUGGUAAAUUAGUCAAAUAAAACUUAUCUUAAAGCAACCUAAACGGUCAAAGACACCUAAGUUAAAAAAAAAAUUAUACGAAUGAUUUAAUUUAUUGAUUGUCUAUACGUUUUAUUGAUUUAUAUAUUUUAAAAAUAGUAUGAACGUAUUACAAUUAUUUUCUGACAGCAAGGUAGAUUUGUAAAAUAAGUGGGUAGAAAAUAUCCCCGUCCUCAAACAAAUAAAUGAAUUAUCGGUGAUGCAUGCUUUUUUCCAACUUUUUUUUUUUUUCUUUUGGUUUUUUGUUUUUGUUUUAAAUGGCACUGGCCCGACCACUACAAAUUAAUUAGAGAAUAUUUACAAUUAUGUAUCACAGCUGUGGAGUAGAAUUGGGGAAAUUAAAAAUGCUAAAAUUAUUGACACGUAGGGUGGGCGACAAUAACCACAAACAUUUUUCGUGUAGUGUAAGAAGAAUGCAACAACUCGUUUCUUUCAGUAUUUUCGCAACAAAAGCACGUUGAACAACUUAUGAAAUUAUUUCUCUUUUUCUUUGCCAGAAUGGAUGUGAUCGCUUCCCCUCUCCCGGAGCAGCUGAACUCCUUUGCUGCUUGUGACUUACCAUAAAUCUUCAAGCCAUUCAAGCUGUGCUUGAAGAUGCAGAGAAGGCAAGUUGAUAUAAGAUUGUUGCAUGGAAUAAGCAGGGCAUCUUCCGAGGCUAGAAGUUGGGCUACGAGUAUUCGUUUUGGACAUAUAAUAUAGUUUCCAAGCUUGCGAUGAGUCGAACCAAAUGCAGAACAACCUAGGCUGUUAUGCUCUGCGAUUGAACUAAAAAUUUCACUUCUUUUAUAGUCGUUUUUUAGUUUUAAGAUAUUUUUCUAUUUUUCUUGAUUCUUCUAGGAUUUUUAUCAUUUUUUCUAGAUGUUGGAUUUAAGUGCCAUCUGUUUUCUUUCUCUUAUUUAGAUUCGAAGAAUUUUAUUAUCAUAUAAUAUUUUGAAUUUGCUUAGUUUGUUAAAUUUGCUAUAUUUAGGCUCCUAUAAAUGGGAUUAAAAACCCUAAUUUUGUUCAUUCAAAUUAUUCUCAAUAAAACUUAUUAUUCAAAUACUAGUUUAUAUUAUCUAAUAGCUUUUUAGUGUUUCUGCAUCAUCAGCUGGUAUCAGAGCAAGUUCACUUGUCAUCAUGGUGCGACCACACAAUCAAAGGAGCAACCAUCCCGGAGACGAUGUUCAAAUAUUAGGUUAUCUCUUGUAAGCCAUAUUCAUAAAUGUAUUGAAGGAAAGAUACUUUUUUCUUGUCUUAAAUGAUGUGUGGGAUGGACGUUACAAUUAAUGGGAACCAUUCUUUUGUUGUUUAAAGAAUAGUCUCUACGAUAGUCAAAUUUUGAUUACUACACGUAAUCAGUUAGUAGCAAGCAUGAUGAGAUCAACAAAUCUUACCUUUCUUAAGGAAUUAAUUGAAGAAGAAUGUUGGUCAUUGUUUAAGCAGGUAGCAUUUUUGGGUCAAUUCUUCAAGGAUCGUGAUCAAUCGAUCAAAAAAUUGCAUUUAAGUGCAAAGGCUUGCCUUUUGUUGCAAAGAUAAUAGGGAAAUUCUUACACUAUAAAUGACCAAUAGAAGAAUAGAAAAUAAUUUUAGAUAGUGGAAUGUGGAAGGUAGAAGAGUUUGGGAAAGGUCUUCUGGCUCCUUUGUCGUUAAGUUAUAAUGAUUUGUCGUCCAUAGUAAAACAAUAUUUCUCACAUUGUGCUAUCUUUUCAAAAGGUUACAAUAUGUGUAAAGAGGAACUAAUUACACUAUGGAUGGCUCAAAAUUACCUUAAAUGUAGAAAAAGGAAGAGAUGGAGAUCCAAUCCAAUCUGAUAGUAGUAGAUUAUUUUAAUUUUUAUUAAUUUGAUUUCAUAGGAGUAGUUUUCAUUGUUUUGUUGAAAGUUGGUAAAAAAAAAACUGAAAUGAGAUGAUUACUUUAAAACAAUCUUCAAGAACUAAAAUAAUUAAAAAAACUCAAAAUAAACAAAAAGGCUUAAAAAUAACCGUAAUCCGAACAUUGUUUGAAUCCAUCCUAACUAGCCCGAAUAUGAUUUUAACCCAAACCCAACCUAACUCGCUUAUAAUUAUAACCCAAUGCGAUCCAAAUUCAACUUGAAUAUUUGAUCCGAUCUAAUCCAAUUUGAAUAUUUUAACCCUAUCAACCAGAAACCCAAUUAGGUUGAUCUGAACCCACGUUUGUCCACUCCCAGAGGGGAUCAUGACCCCACAAGCUUUGAAAGUUUUUUGGAAUUUCUAAGUGAAUAUUAAAAAUUAUGUAUAAAAAGACUGAUUUGACCCCUAAACACUUGAUAUAGAAACUUUAUACAUACAAUAGAAAUUUAAUUUUAUAUUUUGUGAAAUAAAGUCAAAGUAACUGAAUUUUUUUUUAUUUUGUUAAUUAUUUUUCUACUAUGACAAAAUGACAAAUAGCCUUGUGCCUAGCUCUUUGACUUUUAUUUUGCUAAUUAUUUUUUUCAUUUCUCUUGCAACAGUAACUUCAAUUAUCAAUCAAAGUCGCCAAAUCAAAAUCUCUGCAGCCUGCAGCUACAAGCAAACUUCUCAAAUUUCGAAAUUCCUUAUGACUACAUAAUAGCUAUAAAUAGAAAAAGCGUCUAAAAUAACUAUGUUUUUCUAAGUUUGAGCUUGAACCCCCUGAAGAUUUACUCCAUACGUAACAAAAUAUUAGUUUUGCUAGUAAAAUUGCUAACUAUGUUUUUCUUUGUAUUUCCGCUCAAGGAUAAAGAAAUUUCCCUAGACUUUUGUGGUGAAUAUCUUACGAACAUAUGACAAUUUAAUCUUUGGCUGAGACUUGUUUAACAUAAGAGAUGACACUUUAAAGCAAUAGGAGAGAGAGAUAAUAAGCUUUGUUCCCCAAAAAAAUCUAUCAGAUAUAUUAUGCCCCCGGUUGCUAUUUCUAAAAAUAGUCAUAAUUACUAAAAAAUAAGUAAUUCUUUUUUCAUAUAUUAAAAUGGUAAACUGGUGGAUAAAAUUUAAAAUAACUUUUUAUCUGUUUUGACAUUCGAAUUUUAAGCUCGAGAAGUCAAGCAAUAAAUAAACCUUUUUGAGAGGCUAACUAAAUUCUUAGUAAUUUCAUAUAAUUUCAUUUCAUCAGAACAGUUUUAUCAAAAGCAAUUUUCUAAAUCUUUGUGGAAAGCUUUAAUCCUUAAUUAUCUUUCACAUAUUUUCUUUGUAAUAUGAGGUAAGCCAUGGACCAUAGUAUGGUAUUUAUUGUAAAUAAAAUCACUAUGAAACUGAUUUUAUUAUUAUUUUUUUCACAAACAAAGUAUCUAGCUAACUGCAGAUGUAAUGAAUUACUAAUUACCAUUAUUUGAUUCGCUCUCUAAAAUAGUGUUGUGUGUUGAUUCUGUUAUGCAUCUAGGAAUUUCAAAUGUUAUGACAUAAGUUGCAUUGGAUAUAUGUAUAUCAUAGAUUACAUUAUGAAGAAGACAAGAAAUGGAUCCAUACGUUAAAGCAAAAUUGAAAAAAAAAAAUUGCUAGGAGAUGAUUUUAUCUGAAAUUUCACCUGCACGGUAUUGGCCACAUAUAAAUUUGUGAUGAAAUUCAUAACGGAUUAAUAUAAUUGAACGAAAUUACUCUAUACAAUUUCAUAAGUAUGUAUUAUACAAUUAAAAAUCUAUUGAUAUUUUCAAUAAAAUAAUAUCUCUACUAUAAGUGAUGGGAUAUAUAUUUGUGGGGAAUGACAAAUGUAGAAAAUUGCAGUAAUAAAGGUGGAAGUGGAACUUUGUAAUAAUUAAUUAAUGUGUUUACAAUUCUGUAAGUAUAAUAAAAUAAUAGUAAUAGGUAAAUUGUAGAAAAUUAAUGUGUACUUUAAGGCACAUUACAAAUGUCUCUUUCCUAAAGAUAUUAUUUUUCCCACCAAUUCAGUGAUGCAUAUAGGCUAAACAAAUAUACCUCCGGGAUACAACGAAUCACUUAUUUGUUUGCUUGUGUUUUUCAUCGAUGAAAGCAAACUUGAAUACUUUUGAAUGUUGCAAGCUUGCCGAGAAUCAAUAUAUUAUUCCCGUAGUAAACAAUAUAUUAGAUAUUUGAUGCAUAUAGUAUAGAUGUUAUACAAUAAAAUUUGUUUCAGCAAAGAGGGUUGAGAAGAGAGUGAUGUAGUAUCAUUAUUUCCAUGUUUAAAAAUUAAUUCUAAAUUAACUACAACAUGCAAUCUUUUAAUAUUCACAUGUCCUAAAUGAAUAUGCUACAAAAAUAAUGAGUCAAUCAUGUAAGCAGAAGAAACAUUAAUUUUAUUAAUAUUGGGCUUGAACAUUCCCAAAUACAUGUAUCCUUUCCCAAUAAAGGUACCACCCUUAGACAAUGCAAAUUUGCUUUGACUCAAAUAAGGUACCACCCUAAUAUAGAUACAAGAUUUUUCCUACCUUUAGAUACAUGAUAAACAUCAAUAUGAGUUAAAGUUUUUCCACAAGUGAACUCUAGUUGCACAUUCCCUCUAAUUGUUGCAAUGGAGGAAUUUCCCAUCUAAAGAACACUUCAAUCAUCCAUUGCUUUGUAAGAUGUGAAAAGGCUACGAUUCUUGUACACAUACUUGAUUGCACCGGAAUCUAUUCACCAUGCAUUAUCAUGUUCAAGAAUAUUAAUUUAAGAUAUUAUGGCCAUAAAUUUUGUCCACAAAAUUUGUGUUCGAACACUUCUUUUCUUUCUUAAGAAGUUGAUAGUCUUUUUUAAAGUGGCUAGGCUUUUCACAUUGGUCACAUGUACACUUUUUUUUUUUUUGUUGGUUUGAUUUUAUUUGGAAUCAAAGUUUUGCUUUGACAGUCUUUUUAAAGUGGCUAGGCUUUUCACAUUGGUCACAUGUACACUUCUUUUUUUUAUUUUGUUGGUUUGAUUUUAUUUGGAAUCAAACUUUGGCUUUUGGUUAUUAAUGUGGUCAUUAGACUGCUUAAGCUUCUUCUCCUCCUCCACAACAUUAAUUUCACAGGACAUAGCAGUCUGUUCCUCAAGACUAUUAAGUCUAAGUUUCUAUUCAAUAUGAAGACUUUGCCAAGCCUUCCAGGCUAAUUUCCUCUUUGUUAUAUUUAAGACUUUUUUCAUAGUCUUUUCAAGAGGGGGGAAGUUUAUCAAUAAUUGAAGAAAUAAUAGUAAACUUAUUACUUUUCAUGUUGUGUUGGUUGAAUUGAUCAAGAAUGCAAAAAUUCUCAUUAUAUUGUUCAAUCACAAGUCUAUUAUCAAUCUUUUUAUAACUAAAAAAAAUUAGAAGUCAAGAAUUUCUUACUUGUGGUGUCUUCCAUUAGGGGUGGGCAAAAUCGGGUUCGGGUCGGGUUCGGGUCAAUCCGAUCGGGUUUCGGGUUGUUCGGGUUAGACAAAAAUUAAUCCGAACGUAACCCGAAUUAUGAACCCGACCCGAACUGACCCGAACUAAGUUCGGGUCAGGUCAAUUGUUAAAUGGAAUUGGAAUUCGUAUAUUUAAUCAAAAACUCCAAAUUAGAACCGUUAGAGAACCGAACUGAAAAAACUUGAAAAGAAUGAAUCUGGCUAUAUUUGUGAACCAGAAACAAGCCAGCGUUAUGCUUACGCCAUUUCAUUCUAUCCUGUCACCCAUAGACAAAAUGAAUCUAGAUGCAUUAUGGCUUUUCUCCUUAAACCUCAAGAGCAUUUUCGUCCUCUCAGUCAAGCGUGAAACUGCAUGUACGAACUGCUUCGCUUUCACGCACCGGUAGCUACAGCGGCAAGAGCAUUUUCGUCCUCUCAGUCAAGGGUGAAACUGCAUGUACGAACUGCUUCGCUUUCACGCACCGGUAGCUACAGCGGAAGACCCAGGCCGAGAUAAUUUAUUUCUUCCAACCACAAACUAUGUUUUGUUCACGAAUUACAAACUGUGCAGCUUGUGAUUUCUGCCGUUCUGCGUAUGUGAGUGCAGCAGCGAUAUGUGUAGUGUUAGGCUGUUAGCUUAGGUUUUUUUUUUUUUGGGAACCCGAUCAGGUAUUCGGAUCGGGUCGGGUUUGAUCCGAACCGAUCACAACCCGAUCGGGUUUGUAAAUUUCAAUCCGAUCGGGUUUCAAUCCCAACCCGAUCCGACCCGAACCCGAAAUUUAUCGGGUCGGGUCGGGUCGGAUCGGGUAAAAUGCCCACCCCUAUCUUCCAUCAUGUACUUAGACUCCAAUAAGUCCUAUAUUUCUUUUGCUGUGGAUUUUGUUGUGGUACUUAUCAAAACAAAGUACUAGACAUGGCAUUGUAAAUGUGUCCUAUGCACACGUAGACAUCUUGCUUCCACUUUUGCCACACUCGAGUUUCUCAUCCUCACGUUCUUCAGGCUUUGAUAUUGUAAGAACAUAAACAACAUUGAGGCUUGUCAACAAGAAAUGUAAUAUUUUUUGCCAACGUAUAAAAGUUGUGACCAUCAACUGCUCUAAUUUGAUAAAAUCUACCAUUGAAUUGCGGAUGAGAUGAGCACAGUGUCAUUGUUACAGAAAGAAUGUCUUAAGAAUGUUGGGAAUAUAUAUUUUUAGGGAAUGACAAACGUAAUAAUGGCAAAUGUAGAGAGUUGCAGUAAUAAUGAUUAUGCCACAAAGAUAAUGAGUCAAUCAUGUAAUAAUGGCAAACAUAGAGGGUUGCAGUAAUAAUGGUGGAAUUUUAUUCUAAUAAAAUAAUGAGUUUACUACUCUAUAGGUACAACGAAAAAAAUAGUAAUAAGUAAAUUGUAGAAAUUAAUGUGUAUUUCAAGGCACUUUACAAAUAUUACUUUCCUUAGACGUUAUUCGCCCCCACUAAUUGAGUGAUGAAUAUGGGUUAAACAAAUACGCAUCGACGAUACAAUGAAGUACUUAUUUGUUUGUUUGCAUUGUGUAUCGACGAAAGCAAACCUAAACACUCUUAAAUGUUGCAAGCUUGUCAAGAAUCAAUAUAUUAUUUGCUGAUAUAUUGUUCCCGCAGUAAACAAUAUGUUGGAUAUUUAAUGCAUAAAAUAUAGAUGUUAUAUGAUAAAAUUCGUUUUAGAAAGGAGAGUUUAGAAACGAUUGUUAUAGGAAUGUUAUGUUCAUGUCUAAAUGGCCUAAACAUGGCCUCUAUUUAUAAAUAUACUUGUGCCCUCCAUUUGGAUUGUCAUUUUUCAUGAUACCCAUUCAUUUAUGGUCAUUGGAUCAAGAUAUGAUUUUAAUCAAUUGUCUAAAUUGGUCCAUCACCAUUUCAAGUGAAAUUACAAUAUGAAAUGAUACAUUCUUAAGUGGAAAGAUACCUUUUAUAUGGGACAAUUACUUGGACAUGUUUUUAUAAUAAAACAUCAUUUAUUUUGAAAUUGUUACAGCACUAAGAUUAUUCUAGGUUAAGUUAAUCUAUUAUAUAUAACUUCAGAAGGUUCAUCGGUAGAUUGUUUUAAGUUUUUGUCGUAGUUUACAAAGAUUUUGUUACUUGUAAUGUAAGAAAUUUUAGAAAUGUUGGUGCUGAGUAAUCUGCAAAAUUAUUAUGAAUCAGAGAAACAGGGCAGAUGUUGUACAAUUAUUGUUGUGGUGGAGCGGAAAGGUAGCCCGAGAUGGUGACUGCUAUUGGGAUUUCUUUAAUUUGCAGCAUAAAAGCAUUUACAUUGACAUCGACUCAAGGGUAAAAAUUAAAUAUCUCAUGUAGCAUAAGAAGAAUGCAAAAAUGCUUGAAUGAGCAUUCUGACUCAAUACACAAAAGCUACUUUCCCUUGAGCACUUUCGCAACAAAAGCAAAUGUAAAAUUUAGCAUUUAAAUCUAACAUCAAAUGGCUGAUGCCAUCGUUUCCAUCCCUUGGGGAAACUGAAUUCCUCUACAUGAUAUUACAGUCUGGAGCGGCUCUUACCUUAGGCAACUUAGGAUAAUUUAGGCGGUUGCUCAGGACCCCACAUUUAACCUAGGACCCCAUUAUAAAUGAAGGUUUCUAAUUUAAUUCCUAAAUUAUAGUUAUUAAUUAUUGAUUUAUAUUUAUUAUUUAUAACUAUAUUUUCCAUAAACAAACUACUAGAUUCUUACAAAAUCCCCUUUUAACAUUAUAAUUAACAAUUUUAAUCCACUUAUUUCCUCCAUAUAUUUCAUUUAAAACUCUAUAAAGGCCACACCUUUUUUAAAUUAUUAUCCAUUAAUAUCUUUUUCCAAUAAAAAAAAACACAAAACCUUCAUUACUUUGGUGAAAAAACUACUUUCUCUACCUUACUUUUUGCAUAAGGAAGAAAAGAAAAUCAAUUGUUUUACUUUCUUUUGAUCAUUGUUGCUCAAAGUCUCAAUCCAUCAAAGUUAAAUUUCUCAAAUUUUCAAGUUUUAUCUUCCGAUUCUCUUAUUAAUUAAUUGUGUUAUUUAGGUGUUUUUGUUUCUUUGUAAAAAUAUUAUUCUGCUCAUAGGUUGUUUUCUUUUAAUUAUCUAGCAUAAUUGUUUGCAUGAUUACUCUUGUUUCCUUAGAAAAAAAAUGUCUACUAAAAACUAUGCAUCAUGAUACAAAAAACUUCAUAAAAGGAGAAGAAUACAAAAGUUAGCUUAAUCUAAAAACGUGCUAUUGAUAAAAAAUUAUUUAAGAUCAACCAUGUCAUAGGAAAGAUUAAAUAGGUUAACUAUAUUAUCUAUUGAGAAAGAUAUAUUAGCAAAAUUAGAAUAUAAAAAGUUGAUUAAUAAUUUUGCAUCUCAGAAAGUUAGAGAAAUUUAUUUUAAAUAAAUAAAACUUUAAUAAAAUUAAUACACAUAUUUCACCUCAAAUUUUUUGAAAGGUCUAAUUAAAUCAAUUUAUUUAAGACCUAAAAUAUGAUUGAGCCGCCUUGAAAUUGCAGUAAGAUAGAAAUGUGAAAUAGACAGAACACUUGCUCAUACGUUAAAGAUGCGACGAAUUUGAGAAUAUUUAUGUUUAUGUGCCAAAUUCCUAAUGUAUGGGAAUUUAAAAAUGUUAGUGCAGAACAUGUGUUCAUCGGUGGAGUAGAAUCAGGGAAAUUAAAGAUAAGCAUAAUUUUUGCAUCCAAUGCCAAAUUCCCCCAGGUAGAAAGUGGGGACUCCUUUGCAUAAAAGUUGAUAAAAGUUUGACUAAGAUCUUAUUAGAAAUUAAUAUAUUCUCUCUCCACAUAUUUCUGCACGAAAUAACAUGCAGAUAUAGUAUUUUAGGUUAUUGUUAAUAGUUUUACAAUAAUAAAAAUCAUUUUGUUAGAUCUUAAAAUGUACUCACACUCUAUUUUGUGCAAAAGUCUGCGAGAAAGGAUUUCAGAUUUACCUAACGGUGAAGUUGGGAACUUGCUUUUUUACCUAGGCUAAAAAUAUUUCAAUAAAUUCUGAUCGUGGAGACUAACAAGAGUUUUUUUAGUCAUAUAUAUAUUUAUUUUUUAGGGACUAAUAUGAAUAUUACUAAUUUCAUCGAGAUUAUUAAAAAAACAAUGUGCUAAUUUGCCAAUAUGAUUUCUCCAAUCUUUUUUCUUUUCGUCAUUUAUUCCUUUGUGAAUUUGAGUUAAUGCUUGAUAUUAUUUUUCUGCUCAUUUUUUAAAGUAGAAGAUUAAGAAGUCUACUGCUGUUUAGCUUGGUAGGCUAUAAAUAAAGAGGCGCAUAUAUAGAAGGCUUAGAAAUAACUCUCAUUCUCAUCAUUGCAAAAUGGCUUCUCUUCGUUUUCUCCUUGCAGCUGCUCUUGUAGUUGCAUUUGUGCUUGAGGGAUCAUAACCAGAUCAAGCUCAACUUUCUCCCUCUUUUUAUUCUUCCACAUGCCCUAAUGUAACCAACAUAAUUCGGGAGGUGCUUCAGAAUGCUUUCUUGUCCGAUAUUCGCAUCGGUGCCAGCCUCGUCAGGCUUCAUUUCCAUGACUGUUUUGUUAAUGGCUGUGAUGCAUCGAUUUUUCUGGACAAUACUACUACCAUAGAAAGCGAGAAAUUUGCUGGGCCAAAUAAUAAUUCAGCGAGGGGUUUUGAAGUUGUUGAUGACAUGAAAGCUGCCGUUGAAAGGGCCUGUCCAGGCGUUGUUUCCUGUGCUGAUAUUCUUACUAUUGCAGCUGAACAAUCUGUUGCUCUGUCAGGGGGUCCUUCAUGGACAAAUCUAUUGGGAAGAAGAGACAGCAGAACAGCAAACAGGACUCUUGCAAAUGAAAAUCUUCCAGUACCGAACAAUAGUCUUGAGAGGCUCAAAGAUAGAUUCAGAAAUGUUGGCCUCAACGAUAAUUUUGAUCUUGUUGCACUCUCCGGAGCUCACACAUUUGGAAGGGCUCAGUGCCGAACUUUUAGCGAUAGAUUAUUCAAUUUCAACAACACUGGCAAUCCAGACCCAACACUUAACACAACCCUCUUACAGCAACUUAGGCAACUAUGCCCACAAGGUGGAAACGGCAGCGUUCUAACUAAUCUUGAUGUCACAACACCUGAUGUGUUUGACAACAAAUACUUCUUCAAUCUUCAAAUACACAAGGGCCUUCUGCAGAGUGAUCAAGAGUUGUUUUCGACUCCCGGUGCCGAUACCGCUGCCAUUGUCAAUAACUUUGGCAGGAACCAGACUGCUUUCUUUGUAAACUUUGUGACUUCAAUGAUUAGAAUGGGCAAUUUGAAACCACUGACGGGAAAUCAAGGGGAGAUUAGAUUGAACUGCAGGAGGGUCAACGGAAACAGCAAUAUCGCAACAAGAUCAUCAUCAUCGGAGGGUGAUUUGAUCAGCUCUUUCUGAAUAAGCUAGUUUGCAGCUAACGCGAGAGAAAGAGUUUGUGGGUAACAAACUCAUGAAUUUACUCCUAUGUUUUGCCUGAAACAUGCUUUGUAUUUUCAAUAAACUAAAGUUGUGGUUGUGUAUUCACGUCCUGCUUUCUAUGUAUCAGAAAUCCUUGUCAUAUUGUAUGUGUUUCUUUUUCUUUUCUUUUUUUUCUCCCAAAGUCAUCGAUAUGUAUUUUCAUUUGAGUCACAAGUUUUUAAUACCCCACUUUAUCCUCUAGCUUUUAAAAAAAAAAAAGUAGAAGAUUAUGAAAAAGUGAACACACAAAAAGCAUAAAAAUCAUUAUUAGAUCCAAAUUUGUGCUAUUUUCAUACAUAACUUGAGAAUAUUUAUAAUUACGCAUCAGAACUAGUGGAGUAGAAUCAGGGAAAUUAAACAUUCUACAAUCAUUGACGUGUGGGGUUGGGAUAAGCAUAAGCUUUUUCUAUGCAGUAUAAAAGAAUGCAAUAACUCCUUUUCUUUCAGUAUCAUCGCAACAAAAGCACAUCUAAUAACUCUUCAGAAUUCUCGUCUUCUUUGUCAGAAUGGUUGAUGCGAUCGUUUCCUCUCUCCUGGAGCAGCUGAUCUCUGUUGCGGCUGAUGAAGCGAAACAACAGGUGAGGCUUGUGACUAGUGUCCGAGAAGAAGUGAAAAAGCUUACCAGCAAUCUUCAAGCCAUUCGAGCUGUGCUGGAGGAUGCCGAGCAAAGGCAAAUGCAGCAAGACAAAGUUGUUACUUUUUGGCUGGAUCAGCUCAAAGACGCGUCCUACGACAUGGAAGAUGUGUUGGACGAGUGGGUCUUUACAAGGCUCAAAUUGCAAAUUGAGGGCGUUGAUGAUGACAAUGCUUUUUCCCUUGCUCCUCACAAGAAGAAGGUACGUUCCUUCUUUCGUGCUGUAUCAAACUGCUUUGGUAGUUUCAAACAACUCGGUCUUCGUCAGGACAUUGCUGUCAAGAUUAGGGAAAUCAAUGAAAAGCCAGAUGAUAUUGCCUCCCAAAAAGAUAGGUUUAAAUUUGUUGAGAAUGUGAGUAACCAUGUUAAAAAACCGAAACAAGCGCGAACCACCUCCUUGAUUGAUGAGGGAGAGGUCUGCGGUAGAGUUGACGAGAAAAACGAGCUCUUAAGCAAGUUGUUGUUUGAAAGUAGUGAACAACAAAAAGGCCUUCAUGUCAUCUCACUAGUUGGGUUAGGGGGCAUGGGUAAAACACUCUUGCACAACUGGCCUAUAAUAAUGAUGAGGUGAAAAGAAAUUUUGAAAAAGUUAUAUGGGUGUGUGUAUCAGACACUUUUGAGGAGAUUAGGGUUGCCAAUGCAAUUAUUGAAGGUCUAGGUGAGUCAGCUUCUAGUUUAAGCGAAUUCCAAUCUCUUCUAAGCCAUAUCCAUAGAUCAAUUGAAGGAAAAAAAAAAUUUCUUGUCUUAGAUGAUGUAUGGGAUGGGGAUUAUAAUAAAUGGGAACCAUUCUUCCAUUGUCUAAAGCAUGGUCUCCACGGAAGUAAAAUUUUGCUUACCACACGUAAUGAGUCAGUUGCAUGUAUGAUGGGAUCAACAAAUAUUAUCUUCAUUGAGCAAUUGACUGAAGAGGAAUGUUGGUUGUUGUUCUAGCAGUUAGCAUUUUCCGGUCGCUCUUUCGAGGAUUGUGAAAAAUUAGAACCAAUCGGGCGAAAAAUUGCACGCAAGUGCAAAGGCCUGCCUCUUGCUGCAAAGGCAACAUGGAAUCUCUUACGCUCUAAAAGUACAAUAAAAGAGUGGCAAAAAACUUUAGAUAGUGAAAUGUGGAAAGUAGAAGAGAUUGGGCAAGGCCUUUUUGCUCCAUUGUUGUUGAGUUAUAAUGAUUUGCCCUCCAAUUCUAUGGUAAAACGAUGUUUUUCAUAUUGUGCUGUCUUUCCGAAAGAGUACAAUAUAAAAAAAAAGGAACUAAUUUCACUAUGGAUGGUUCAAGGUUACCUUAAUGCAGAAGAAGAUGAAGAGAUAGAGAUGACUGGGGAAGAGUAUUUCAACAUUAGCAGCACGCUCUUUCUUUCAAGAGUUUAAAAAAGAUGAUGAUGAUGAUGAUAUUAUGAGCUGUAAGAUGCAUGACAUAGUACAUGAUUUUGCCCAAUUUGUAAGUAGAAAAGAAUGUUGGUGGGUAGAAAUUAAUGGUACCAAAGAAUCAGUCAUAAACUCUUUUGGUGAUAAAGUCCGUCACUUAGGGUUAAAUUUUGAAGGAGGAGCUUCAUUUCCUAUGUCCAUUCAUGGACUUAAUAGAUUGCGGACCCUCCUAAUUUAUUUCCAAAGUCCUUCCAAUCCGUCUCUUAAUAGUAGCAUCCUUUCGGAGUUAUUUAGUAAAUUGGCGUGUUUCAGGGCAUUAGUUAUAGGGCAACAGAACUUUAUAUUUGAUCCUUACCCAAAUUUGAUUAGAGAAAUUCCAGAAAAUGUCAGAAAAUUAAUACAUUUAAAAUAUCUUAAUUUGUCUGAAUUAUGUAUAGAGAGACUGCCUAAGACUUUGUGUGAAUUAUAUAAUUUACAAAAGCUAGAUAUUAGGUGGUGCGAAGAUCUUAGAGAAUUGCCGGCGGGGAUUGGGAAGUUAAAGAACAUGAGGAGUUUACUGAAUGGUGGCACUCCUUCGCUGAAGUACAUGCCAAUAGGGAUUUCCAAAUUAACCAGUCUUCGAACAUUAGAAAAGUUUGCUAUGGGCGGAGGUGUUAAUGAUAUCAGUACGUGUAGGCUUGAAUCUCUAAAAAAUCUUCAGCUCCUUCGAGAAUGUGGAAUAGAAGGGCUGAGUAAUGUGUCACAUUUAGAUGAGGAUGAGAGAUUAGGACUUCACAAUAUGAAAAACCUCCUUCGUUUAUCUCUUGAGUUUGAUGAGGAAGGUGAAGAAGGGAGGAGGAAGAAUCAACAACUUCUGGAAGCCUUACAACCGCCUUUGAAUGUAAAAGAAUUAGGGAUUGUAUCCCACGGAGGCAACAUAUUUCCCAAAUGGUUGACUUCACUAACCAAUCUAAGGGAUUUAAGACUUAAAUCGUGCGUUAUCUGUGAGCAUUUUCCUCCCUUGGGAAAAUUACCGUUGGAAAAACUCACCCUUUAUGGCCUGUACGGUGUGAAAAGAGUGGGUAAUGAGUUUUUGGGAAUCGAAGGAAGCAGUGAGGAUGACCCAUCUUCAUCUUCAUCAUCAUCAUCAGUCAUUGCCUUCCCCAAAUUGAAAUCACUCCACAUUGGGGCAAUGGAAGAAUUGGAAGAGUGGAAUUAUAGGAUUACAAGAAAGGAAAACAUCUCCAUCAUGCCGCGUCUUUCUUCCUUGACGAUUUGGUAUUGCCCCAGAUUAAGGGUGUUGCUGGAUUACCUUUUUCAAUCGACGACAUUGCAGAAAUUGAGUAUUUCUUAUUGUCCAAUUAUGGAAGAACUGCGCAUUCUAGAAGAUCACAGGACAACAGACAUACCACGUCUUUCUUCCUUGGAAAUUGAGUAUUGCCCCAAAUUAAAGGUGCUGCCGGAUUACCUUCUUCGGCGACGACGCUGCAGCAAUUGAGUAUUCAGGGAUGUCCUCUUCUGGAAAACCGUUAUAGAGUGGAGAAAGGAGAAGACUAGCAUAAGAUAUCUCACAUUCCCUACAUCGAGUCCGAGUGGUAAAUUCUCGAAUGGUUGCAAUUACUAUCACCCACCGGUAAUUUCUCUCCCCUAUUUUACUUUGUUGUUACUUCAAACAACGACACUGCAAACAUUGACAAUUUGGGGUUACAGAGAAGGGGAAGGAGAAGACUGGCAUAAGAUAUCUCACCCUCCCCACAUCAUGCGGUCGGCGUAAGAUAUCACUCGCCGGUAAUUUCUCCUCCUCCUCUGAUUUACUCUGUUGUUGCUUGCAAUAAAAUUAAUAAAAAUAAUUAUAUUUUGAAUUAAAAUUCUAUAUAUUGCCCAAUGUCUGACAGGAAUAUACAAUAUUUUCUAAUAUUUUGAUUUGCAUAUCGAAUUUAACUAUUUACUUCAACCAUUAAUUUAUUGGGUCACUUUAUGAUGCUAUUAUAAAAAUUACAGAAUCAAUCAUAGUAUAAAUAUGUAGUGUUAAAUUUAAUCAAUAGUUCAUAAAGGUUAGUAAGAAUAAUACUUUAAUUUUAAUUAUUUAAAAUUUAAACUUCCUAGUCAUCAAAUUUGUUAAACUUGUUUUCUAAAGCUAAAAUAAUAAUAAAAUAAAGUAAAAAAAACAAGUGCAGUCUGUUGAAAUUUCUAUAAUUUCUUUUAAAAAAUAUGUAGUCUUUUGUAAAAUUUCAUACAACAUCAUAGAAAUAAUUUAUGUGUAAGUUCCUGAGAGACAAAAUCUCUGUGAUACAUUUGCAGUAAUGUUGAAAACUAACUUAUCAAUGUUAUCUUGUAUAAUGAUAAUCGUAUUUUUUUAUAUAUAAUUUAUGUGACAUUAAUUCUUUAAAGUAAUUGUGUGAUUGUUUUUAGUAGUACAUGAGCCCACUUUGUUUUAUUUCAUACGAGUUUAAUUAUGUUCACCAGGGAUUCGAGGAAAUGUCAGAACUACACUAGCAAUUCGCAGGUCCACGCUAAUUUGGUUCUAAUGAUGCACGCAGGAGAGCAAGAUUAUGAAAAUGAAUAGUUUAGCCAAAGGAUUGCUAAAAUGUUUUGCUGGUAAUUCACUUGCUUUUUUUUAUAGAAUUUCAUUUCCAUCUUCUUCUAUUGAUAUCUUGUUGUGAAUAAACAAGAACAGAGAAGUAACUAUAUAUAUAAAAAGUCCCUAUUAUGAUGAUGUUAAAGCAAGCUCAAGCUCAAACAUUGCAUUUUUAUUUUAUUUUAUUUAUAGAAUUUUCAUUUCUACCUGGAUUGCAUUUCUAUUUCAUUUUCAGGUUGACUUUGAAAACUCUAUGGAGCACAUUGGGGGGGUAACCAAGGAUUAUCAUUGUGGUUAUUGUGCAACGUUUGGUUGCUGGACUUUGAAGAAGGAAGUGAUGGCCGGGUCUGCUCUGUUUCAAUUGAGGAUGGAUAGCUGCCUGAAAGACAUGAUGAUUAUUAUUGCAUGAUGUUUAGGUGCUAAGAUCAUCAUUUCUGUCUUGUUUCAUUCUUUGAUCGGUUUAUCCUAUAUAAACAUAUGGAAUUAUGCUAAUAUUAUCAAUUUUUUCACCUAAUUUUCACUGUUGUUGUGAAAACAAUUUCAGGCUCUCAAAAGCUACAAAGCAAAGCAUUUGUAGGCUGAUCAUAUGUUUCAAUUGAGGAAGGAGCUUGGUGUUGGCAAUAUUGUCCAGGUAACCACAGCUGAUAAUUUCCACAAAUUUGCAUUAAACUUAGUUGUCACCAUCUCCUGCAAUUUCUCAUUCAUUCAAGAGUACUUCAAAAUUAGAUUUUCAGGGUUUGAAUGUUUAGUUGCGAUCAAAAUAUUUAGUCACUCAUUCGUAAUCUUUUCCGAUUUUCAAGUUCUUUAGGGCCAUAAACAGUUUUCCAACUCAUUCUUAAUUUUUAGGUUGAUUUCGAGUACCCUGUUGAGGACAUUCCUGAGACUAAGGAUUAGGCUGGCGAAGGAACUACUACCUCUGUUGUUAUUGUGCAAGGUUUGAUCAUUGGACCUUGAAUAAGAAUCCCUUACACGCAUUCUGUACUUCAAGCAUUCUCUAAAGGAAAAGAGCAGUAGAAGGGAUAGUGAUGGCCGGAUCCGCUCUAUUUUAGUUGAAGAUCUCUGUGAUGUCGAUGAACUUAAAGCAGUUGAUACUUCUUGAAAAUUGUUGUUACGGAUGAAUUGAUUCCUGAAGAUGGGUAUCCAAAGGCAUAUUUUCAUAAACUUCCUUUUUUUAACAAAUGCUCCAAUGCUUGCUGUAGUAACAAUUUCAUAGCUUGCAUCUCUCGGGUGCAUCAUGUUCACGGGUUGGAAAAAGCAUUUGUGGUAAACCUUCAAAGCUUGUAAAAUGGCUGUGAAAAGGCACAUUCAAUUCGGUAUGCUUUGGUGCGGUCUCCUAAUGCUAAUAUUAUGUUUCAAUGCUGGCUGUAGUAACAAUUUCAUAUCUUGCAUCUCUUGGGUGCAUCAUGUUCAAGGGUUUGAAAAAGCAUUUGUGGUAAUGCUUCAAAGCUUGUACAACGGCUGUGAAAAGGCACAUUCAAUUAGGUACGUUUUGGUGCGGUCUCCCAAUGCUAAUAUCAUAUUUUGUAUAGCAAUUAAAAUUUAGCUAUACAAUCUUAAUAUGCAAUAAAUCAUUGUAUACAAAGUUUUCUAUUGAUUAUAUGGUGACUGAAAUUUUAAUUAUCAUAUCAAUUUAAAGUUUUGGCUGAUAUGUCUAAUUCGUAGAAAUUCACUUCCAUCGGUUUCCAUUGGCUUUAGCACAAACAGAAACAGAGCUCUGGGGAAAAGUUUUACUUCUUGUGGUAUUAUGCCUUUGUUUCUUCAUUCAUCAUAUUUUUCGAAUUCAUGCUCUCAUUCAGAGGGUAAAGCCUUUUCCAGGCUGCUUUGUAGCCAAACUUUGACGCCUUUGAUGCAUGACUGUCAUUUAGAUUUCCCAAAUAACUGUUAGAUUGGAGAAGAAUAAAAAGAUACUGUUAAAAGGGUAUUUAAUUAGCGCCCUCUGAAUUUCUUGGAGUUAAUGUAGUCAAUUGCCCAAUUUUGCUGCCUGUCGAAGAUACACAGCAUGGAAGUCCUCAUCAAACUCUGAGACACCUAAUAAAUAGUAGGAUAGUAGGAGGGGGUGGUAUUCGCCUGGUGUUAAUUUCCUGGCAAGUAUAGUUCACAGAUAGAGGGGUUCUUUUCUUGAUGUCUAAAUACCGUAUGAGAUACAACAUCGUGUAUUCCAAUUUUUCUCUAGUUAAAUUUUAAUAAGUUAGAAAAGUUAAUUUUGUUUUAGCAAUGAAUUGUUUUCUUAAUAAUAAUAAUUGCCAUGUUCCUCUGAAGUCUUAUUAAUGCCAGACCAACAACUACUAGGUUCAUCUCUCGUUCACUUCCUCAGGGAAUCUCGAGGGCAUUCAUUGGCAGGUAGCCUUUCUUGUUGAGCUCCUGGAAUUACUUUUAAUUUAUCAUUUGUUGGGUUUUGCUUUUUGAUUGCUUUGGGAUUUGUGUUAUUAUCGCUUUGUCACUCAUUAAUCUUGGCUGUUUUGAAUCUGUGUUGGAUUUAGAAGUUUGGAGUUGAAAACAGUUAAAGCUUAGACUAGUAGAAGAGAUUUAUACAUUCAUUUAUCUUGGACAAAGUUUUUGGGGGAAAAAAAAAUUAUAAGUAUACACUUUCCAAUGGUUCGGUGAUGUUUGAUUGGUUUAAAGAUGUUGGAUCUCUCAUCAGAUUUCUUAUGUAUCGACUGUUGUUGCCACAGGAUGCUCGCAGAUCCUGCUUUUUUGUAUAAACUUCUACUAGAGCAGGCUGCAACAAUUGGUUGCACUGUUUUGUGGGAGUUGGAGAAUCAUAAGGAGAGGUGUGUUUUUUCUCUCAUAACAAAGGAACUCUCCCCUUCCUUUUUAUUUUCAUCUUAUAUAUUAAGCUAAUAAAUGUUUGUUUCUGUCGUGAUGGGAUAAAGCAAGAAUGGGAUCAGCUUGGUUUUGGUGCUUUCCUCGGACUAUAUGCAAACAUGAGAUAUCAACUAUUGUGUGGAUUUGAUAGAGCGGUCAUCAACCAUUUUGAUGUUACCAGGUUAUCUCUCCCUCUCCCUCUUCUACGUAUUUGUUUAUUGAUCUACAUCUCUAUAUAUAUUGAUAGACUAUUCUGGACGUACCAAAUUACCCUUGUUUUAAUGUUUUGUUUGUUAAACUUUGACUGGGGAAUCUGUUUAUUUGGCUGAUAAGAGGUUAGUGUGGUUUCUAUUGAAGUGUGUAGAUCUAUCACCAAGUAUUAUUUCAAUUUUUCUUUACUGAAUCAACUUGCAUCCUUUCCAAGUCCAGAUCCUUAACAAUAGUGCGACAUUGCUACCGAAGUACAAUUUCUCUAGUUUGACAGUUAAAUACGUAAGAAUGGUUUUAAAUUAACUGAACUCUGAGAUAGUUCUCUAAGGAAGUACAAGUGGUGAAUACGGUUCCAACUUUUAAGUGCCUUAAUAUAUCCAUUUGUUCAGCCCUGUGCAUAAAAAAUCAGUAAUUGCCGUCCAAAUUCUUCUUUACUGCCUAUAUGUGUUGGACUUUGUCUAUUCUUCAACUUCUCAAAUGGAUUUUUUGAAUGUCCAAUUAGGAGAAAGAUCAAGGCUUGCUUGGCUAGGAGUGGAAGCGGAUCCGCUACUUCAAUCAUAUGACCUUUUGAAGAAGGCUUACAACGGGGCGGCUCAGGAUGUCAAUGGCUCAACUCAAAAGUCCCCAAAGUGGUUGAUAUCAAAGAAUGCCAUUGUCUCUGGGCUUGGGCUCCUUGGGAUCAAACAAGGGAAUGCGACUCUGUUGAAGGGGAAGCACGGGCCCCUAAAGUGCGAAGAAAGAGGAUAGUCCGGAAGAAGGUGACCGCAUAAAUUUCUUGGGAGUUAAUCCUAGUCAAUAGCCCAAUUUUGCUGCCUGUCGAAGAGAUACAACACGGAAGUCCUCAUCAAACUCUUUGGGACAUCUAAGAACUAGUAGGGAGGUGGUGGUAUUCACUGUGUUUCCUGGCAAGUAUAGUUCACUGAUGGAUGGAUUCUUUUCUUGAUGUCUAAAUAUCAUAUGUGAUACAACGUCGUAUAUUCCAAUUUUUCUCCAGUAAAAUUCUAGUAAGUUAGAAAAGUUAAUUUUGUUCUAGCGAUGAAUUGUUUUCUUAGUAAUAAUAAUGGCCUGUUGCUUUGGAAUCUUAUUCACUCUCUGUAACCCAAUUAAAUUGUGCAAAUUCUACUGCGGAUUUGUCAAACAGAGCGUCUUUGUGAUUUCUUUGAUAGACUUUUGAUCGCUAGUUUAAGUUUGAAUCAUCUUGUAAUGCCAAAACAGAGCGCUUUUAAUUACUAGAUCGUACUCGAGUUUUUAUUCAGCUUUUAAUUACGAGAUCAGCUUUUAGUAUUAGCGAUAAUUAUAAUAUAAACGUUAAUUAUGAAACUCUUACCAAACAAGAUGUUACUCAAUUUUACUUAAUCUCACUCGUCUUUGAUUUGUAAAUUUUAUGCCUAAAUUUUUGUCAACAAAUUGGUCCCAGUUCCACGUUGAGUGCACGAGAUCCACAAGUUUGAUUGGGCAGAACGCAGAAGCAGCUAAAAAAAACUGAUGAAACCCACGUCCAAAGAUGCUGUUGUCGCGGAGGCCUAGACACGACUCCCCAUCCCCUUUUACCAUAUUUUAUAAUUGAAGAGGCCAUUAUUGAAUUGAAAAAUUAUGAUUCAACCGUUGGAAACCAACUCGGAAUUUUAAGUUGAUAUGAGAAAAGAUUUUUUCAUCAUCAUCAUCAUCAUUAUUAUUUCUUUUUAACAAAAAUUUAAGCUAAGACAACAAUAUAUGCCCAAAAUACCCCUCACAUUAUCCCAAACUUUCUAAACUCCCCCAUUCCUCUCAACAUCAUCUCUUCCAAAUCUUUCUUCCUCCAAAAAGCAGCCAUGGCUUCAAAUUCAAUCACCUCAACACUCCAAUAUUGGCUUGUAAACCACCCCCAAAUCCUCAACUUCACAUGGACUCAAAACCAAACCCCAGCUUCCUCCCCACACUUCCUCAUUCUCUCCAUCCUCACUUACCUCUCCCUCACAUUCAUCCUCUACCACAAAUUAACGCCAACGUCACCAUCAUCAUCACCUCUCAUUGGACCCCACAUCCUCAAGCCCAUCACAACCGUCCAUAACCUCACCCUCCUCCUCCUCUCCCUCGUCAUGGCCUUUGGUUGCACUCUCUCCAUCGUCCUCCAUUCACCCGACCUCCGUCACACCCUCUGUUUCCCCCCCACCAUUUCUGCCUCCGGUCCCCUCUUCUUCUACGCUUACAUCUUCUACCUCUCCAAAAUACUCGAAUUCCUAGACACCCUUUCGAUCAUUUUGUCAAACUCCAUCCAACGGCUUACAUUCCUCCACGUCUACCACCAUGCAACCGUCGUCGUAAUGUGCUACCUUUGGUUACAGACGAAGCAGUCUUUGUUUCCUAUCGCACUUGUCACCAAUGCAAGUGUGCACGUGAUCAUGUACGGGUACUAUCUAUUGUGUGUGAUGGGGUUGCGGCCAAAGUGGAAGAGAUUGGUCACUGACUGUCAGAUUGUUCAGUUCGUGUUUAGUUUUGUUGUUUCAGUUUUGAUGCUGUAUUAUCAUUUUGCGGGAUUUGGAUGCUCUGGGAUCUUGGGUUGGUGCUUCAAUGCUGUGUUUAAUGCUUCCCUCUUGACACUUUUUAUUAAUUUUCAUUCCAAGAGCUAUGCUAAGAAAAAGCAGGGAUGAUCAAAACAAAUCGUCGUUGUGAUUGUUCUCUGUGUGUGUGUGUUUUUUUUUUUUUGGUUAAUUAUGAAGGGUUGUGAUCGGUUCAUUGCAUUUGACAGAGAUGUUGAAGGGUUAUGUACUGGAAAAUAGAAAUUAAACCAACAUUAUCACUAUAACUGGUACAUUAUUACCAUCACAGAUCAAGAUCUGAAUGGACGCAUAGCAGCCAUCCUCAAAACCAAAGGAGGAGAAAAUUGAAAUAGAACAACCACCUUAAGGUGAAUAAGGCCAGAACAAGACACACAUCCUCAAAUCAUAAGGAAGAGGUGGGUGCAACCGAAAAAAAAAAGAAAAAAAGAAAUCAAGAAUCCACUGGAGAAGGCAAGAAAGAUAUUUGCCUCCGAAGAUUUGGUGAGGAAGAGAUGAGGAGUUAGAAAAGUUUUCGGAGAGAUCUACAGAUUAGCUUUAAAAGUGUGUUUUAAAGAAAAAGUUGUUGAGAACUUGAGAGGAUACAUGCGCAAUCAAUCCUUUACUCUUCAUGUUUGUGGAAUGUUUAUCCACUGAGUGUAAUCGUAAUCACACGGUUGAUAUUAGUUGGUUCUAUGUUGGAGUUGAUCCAUCAUAGCCGGAGCCUUUAAAUAAAAAACAUUACAACUAGAGAUGGCAAUGGGGCGGGGUGGGAGUGGGGAUGCCUACCUCAUUCCCCACCCCAUUAAAAAUUUUUGUCUCCAUUCCCCACCCUAUUCCCCAAUAAAUUUAGUGGGUUGAGGAUGAGGAAUCCCUACGUGGGGAAUGAUUCUCCCAUUCCCACCUCAUUCCCCAUUUACUUAUUUUAUAGUAGAUAUAAAAAUAUAAUUUUAGUAAAUUUAAAAUUAAAGACUUAAAAUAAAAACAUCAACAUAUUAUAAAGUAUUUAAAUUUUUUUGAAAAUCUCUAAAAGUUUGAAAUAAUAUCUUAAACUGAUAUUAAAAGUGAAAAAUAUUUAAAGAUAUUUAAAGAGAGCAGCACCUUAAAAGAGAAAAGAAAAUAUAAUAAUAUUUUUAAGUUAAAAAAUAUUGUAGGGUUUUCUUUUACUUAUAUCAUAUUUAUAUUACAUAAAAAUUAAAAAAUUAUUAAUUGACAUUAUAGUCGAUAAAAUAAAAAUUAAAAACAUAUUUAUAUAUAAUGGGGAUUGGGGUGGGGAUGGGGCGGGGAGUGCAAUACCAAACCCAACCCCAUUAACAAUUUGGGGAUUACUUUUCCCCCAAAAUUAUUAAAAAUUUUUUUCAUUUAGGGUGGGGCUCCAUGGGGCCCCAAACCCGUGGAGAAUUUUGUCAUCCCUAAUUACUUUGUCAUCCCUAAUUACAACUCAUGCAUCUAAGUACUUAAAGUUGGCUUGAGUGCAUGGGUUAUUGUCAGUUUUCUUCCUAAUUAAAUUAGGUUGGGAUAAAAUUAUCUCUUUAUUAAUAAGAAUAAAGUAGAUAUCUCUCUCGAUUUUCCUCUUAAUUAAACUGGAUAGGAGUAAAAUUAUCUUUUGAUUAAUAAGGAUGUAAUAUAUAUCUCUCUAAUAUUAUGUGAUGGUAGAAAUUUGGGUUGUACCGUAAUAGAAUUAUCAAGGAUAGUCUUGAUAGAAUUAAUGUAAAGAAUUAAGAUAAAGCCUCAAAGAUGGAACAGAGGUUAAAAAAAAAAAAGAGUACAAGACAAAGAAAUAAGGAAACAAAAGAAGACCAAGAAUAAAAGAAAAAAUAAUUUGGAAAACAAAAAAAUGGAUUGCAAUUUUAAAUUUUGAUUAAGGAUAAAUUGUAGUGGAUGCCAUUGUUGGUAAUUUAUUAUAUUUCAAAGCUCAAAUAAGGAAUAAAAUUAUUAUUAUUAUUAUUAUUAUUUUGCAAUAACUCGUUUCAAAUUUUAAAAGAUUAUAACUUUUUGUUUUUUAACAUUUUAAUCAUAAAUUAAAAAGGAGUUACUAUUCAAGAUUCCUAAGAAUACUGAAAAAAAUGAUAAAUAUUAUUCUAAGAAAAUGAUAUAUAUUGGAUAUACUAAAUAUUAUAAAUUAUUAAAUAUUUUACUAUUUUACCCCUUAGUUUGAUGUUUGGGGAAAAAAAAUACUAAAAUGGCUUUCAAUAAAAAGAAUUAUUAUUAAAAAAAUAAGAUUAAAAUUAUAACAAAUGAUAUUAAUAAGAAAGAAACUGAUAAAAAUUUGGGAUUAGAAAUAGGGGUUAAGGCUUCAGUCCUUGAAUUUCUCUAAAUUUUAUAUAUUUUUAAUUUUUAACCCGUCAAAUUACAUUAUUAAUGGAAUGUCAAUAAAUUUUGUGCGUUAAUUUUUGUUUUAGAUACUUUGAAAGGUAAAAUGGUAUUUUGGAUGGUAAAAGUCAACUAAUUAAUUAAAUAUUUAUAUUCUUCGCUCACCGGAUUUCUUAAAAAGUUUUCUGAACCUCCUAGCCAGCAUAUCCAUCUCUUCCUCAUCCAGCUCGCUUUCCUCAUCACUUUCAUGUUUCGAGGCUUUGAGAGCAAUGUUUUUCUUCUUCUCCUCAUUGCCUCUUUCGGCUUCUAAGUCUUCCUCAUAAGAAAUAAGAGAGCCAAUUAAAUCAUCAAUAGGUAAGAUAUUUAAAUCCUUGGCUUCUUCAAUGACAGUCCUUUUUGGUCUCCAUUCCUUAGGUAGCGACCUAAUAGUUUUCUUAACUUUCUCGCUAUUUGAAAAAGUAUUUCCUAGGGCUCCUAGAGUGUUCACUAUGUCCGUAAAUCUAGUAUACAUAGCAUACACACUCUCAUUUUGUUCCAUUUGGAACAAUUCAUAUUGCCGAGUGUACCUACUAAUUUUAGACUCUUUCACUUGAUUUGUGGCUUCAUAAACAACUUCAAGUUUGUGCCAAAUUUCAUUAGCACUCUCACAACUAGAUACUCUAUGGAAUUCUUUCUUAUCUAGUGCACAAAAUAAGGCAUUCAUAGCUUUGGAAUUUAGAGUAGCUUUUCUCUUUUCCAAUUCAUUCCAUUCCCGUGAAGGUUUUGGAAUAUCUUCCCCGACUUCGUUUCUAGUCAAAGGCAUAAAUGGACCAUCACAAACAAUUUCCCAAAUUUCAUAAUCUAAAGCUUGUAAAUAAAUUCUCAUCCUAGUUUUCCAAUAUGGGUAGUCAUUACCGUCAAAGAACGGUGGUCUAAUUGUGGAUUGUCCUUCCCUAAAGGUUGAAUCACUAUAGGUUGCCAUGGAUCUUUAACUCUACACGGUUAAGUCUACACAAGAGCACCUCGCUCUGAUACCAAAUGAAAUACUAACUAGGCAACCUAAGAGGGGGAGUGAAUUGGGUUUUUAAAAUUUAAGCUAAACAAACCACACAACAAUUUAAUCUAUUACCUUGAUCAAAUUGAAAACAAUAAAUUCAAUCAUGCACAAUAUUAAAAGAGUAAGGGAAGAGAAAACAAACACAAUGAUUUUUAUGUGGUUCGGCAAUCCCCGCUUACGUCCACGCUUCCAAGCUCACCGGGCUUGAGGAUUUCACUAAGCUAGCCUCCCAAGGCUUCAAAAGCUUACAAUUGACUUCCAAGGUGUCAAUGGACCUUUACAACAAGAGAUUAUCCCCAAUCUCUUAACCCAAGUGUAUCCCAACACUUACAAUCUUUUAACUUGAUUUUACAAAAAAAAGAUUACAAAUGAAUCUCUCUCACACAAUAUGUUUGAUCACAAGUGAAAGCUCAAUGUGUGAAUGAAUGAGAUGAAUACAAGAAUUUAAAGCUCAAUGAAAGUUGUAUUCUCAAUAUUUUGCUCAAUGAUGAUUGUUGGAAUCCUUCUUGUUUGAAUUGGAUUGAGCUUAUUUAUAGUUGGAGCUGAAAAACUAGCCGUUACAAACUGUCUGCCCGAAAACGGCUCGCCGUUAACCAUUAACGGUUAACCGUUUACGCUGGUCAAAAGUUACCGUUGGGCCAAAUUUCAAACAAACGGUUAACCGUUUAGGCUUACCCUUUUGCCGUUAAAUUCCAGAGACCAGCAAAACAAAUUUGAUUUAACCGUUCUUACUAAACGGUUCAAGGUUAGCAAUCUAGAAAUAAUCAGUUAACCGUUUUCAGUAAACGGUUCACCGUUAUUUUCCAGAAUCAUCAUUUUAACAAUACUUUGCAGAACAUGCUUUCUGGAAAUUAUCGGUUAGCCGUUUGCUACAGUGUAAUUACUACAGUGAAAUUAUUUUCCAAAAUUACAAUUUGACCCCAAAACUUUAUAAACUAUAGUAUGGCCCAACACGUUAUGAAACAUUGCACAUAGGUCCAAUUUCAUAAUUUCUAAGUAAUGCUUUGUUAAUCCCAAAACUUUUUGAAAUUAUGGUAUAGCCCAAAAUGCUAUGACACUUUUCAAAUAAGUCAUUCUCCAAAAUUUCAAGCAAUAUUUGUUUAUUUCAAAGUUUUCAAAAUUCUUUCAAUUAAACCAUAAACUUUGAAAAACAACCAAUUUCAUAAAAUCAUUUUUCCAUUAAAUAUGAAACAUUUAUAAUGUGAAAAUAAUGAUUUAUUUAAAAAGAAUAAAAACAAUCAAUUUCUUGAAAUCAUUUUUCCAUUAAAUAUAAAACCUUUAUAAUGUAAAAGUAAUGAUUUAUUUUAAAAUGUAUAAAAAAUAAUUUGAUCUUAAAAGAUUAAUCAUUCUUAAUCUUGUUUGUUAUCAUCAAAAUCAAUAUUAUGGAAACAUAUAUGUUAACAACAUAUACAUCCUUUACUUUAUAAUCUUUUACUUUUGCUCUUAAGCUAAAGCAUUAAAAGGCCCCAUAUCCACUCUUUAUAUAUAUAUAUAGGGAGAAUGACAAUUUUCUCCCAUACUGUAAUCAAUAUAUAUCAUUUACGUCCUACUUUUUUAUAAUAACCAAUAAUCCUUGGAUAGCAUAAUUUAACAAUAUUAUUUUUGGUUUAUUUUAAUUUUUGUUCAUUUGAUUUCAUAGUAGUAGUUUUCAUUUUUUUAGUUUAAAAUUUGUAAAAAUGAACUAAAAUGAGAUAAUUUUGAAUAAGAAUCAAAACAAAAAAAGGCCCAAAAUUACCCCUAUUCCGAACAUUAUCUGAAUCCAUCAUAAUUGACCCAAAUUCAAAUUUAACUCAAACCCAACCUCGGCCUCAUAUAAUUAUAACCUGAUCCGAUCUAGACUCAACCCCAAAGUUUUGAUUUGAUCUAAUCAAAUUCGAAUAUUCCAAGCCAAUCAACCUAAAACCCAAUCAAGUUCAUCCAAACCCAAAUUUGCGUACUCCUAGAGGGGACCAUCACCCUAUAAGCUUUGAAUUUUUUUUUGAGGUUUUUAAAUGAAAUAUUCAAAAUUAGGUAUAAAAUGACUGAUUUGCCCUUGAAUACUUGAUACAUAAACUUGAUACAUAUAAUGAAACUUUAAUUGUAUAUUUUGUGAAAUAAAAUCAAUUAAACCUGAUUUUUUUUAUUUGUUAAUUAUUUUUCAUAGCCUUUUUUAAAAGUUUGUAAGUUUGGGCCUACCUCUUUGAUUGUAUGUUGUUCAUUUUGCUUUCUCUUGCAACAAUAGUUUCAAAUAUCAGUCACAAAAUUCUCAAAUUUUGGAAUACCCUACAUACUAGCUAUAAAUAGAAAAAACUGAAUAAAAUUAAUCCCCAACUAACACUUGAAAUUUGAACUUGGGCCUCAUGAAGAUUUACUCUGAGCUCCGCCCCUGAUAUGCAAUAAAAUAUUAGUUUUGCUAGUGAAAUUUUCAAUUAUGUUUUUUUUUUUGUAUUUUCCGCUUAGGGAAGAAGAAAUUUCCUACAACUAUUGUGGUGAAUAUCUUGUGAAUUUAUGACAGUUUAAUCUUUAGUUUGCCACUUGCUUAAAAUGAAAAAGGGAAAAGGGUAUUUAUAUCUCUAAGGUUUGGAGAAAUAGUCACCAACACUACAAGUUUUCUAAAAAGGACAUCAAGACUCCUUUUUUACCAUAAUACCCUUUACUUUUAGUACCUCGAAAAAUUUAACUUGCAAAUGAAUAAAUACAAAUAUUAUAUAAAUAAUGUAAUCUACUUUGUAGAUUAAUAAUAUAAUCUACUUUGUAGAUUAAUAAUAUUUAAAUAUUUAAAUAAAUUUAAAUAUGUAAAUUAAUAAAUUUAUUUAAUAAUAUAUUUGUAUUUAUUGCAUUUUACAAUUAAAAAAGUCUCACAUACUAAUAAUGUUAAAAUUAUUAUUUUACAUAAUAAUUUAAAUUUUAAUACAUUUAUUUUAAUAUUAUGUUUACAUUUAUCAUAAAAUUUACUUUAACAUAAUAAAAUAUAUUAAUAGAUUGUAAAAUAUUAAAAUAUUUUUAAAUAUUGAAAUUAUUUUAAAAUGUAUAAAUUAUUACAUUUAUUUUAAUAUUAUAUUUCUCUUUACUAUAAAAAAUUAAAGUUAAUUUUUGGGAUAAUAAAGGUAAAGGGUAUUGCAGUAAGAAAGAAGUUUUAGUAUCUUUUAUUGAAAACUUAGGAGCAUUGGUAACCAUUUCUCCAAACUUUGGGGAUAUAAGUGUCUUUUUCCUAACAAAAAAUGACAUUUUUAAUAGGAGAUAUAAUAAGCUUUGUUCUAUAGAAAAAUCCAUCAGAUAUAUUAUGCCCCCGGUUGCUAUGUUAAAAAUAAGUAAUUCUUCUUUUUGUAUAUUAAAAUAGUAAAAGGGUGGAUAAUAUUUAAAUUUUCUUUUAACCUUUUAUCUUUUUUGACAUUCGAAUUUUAAACUCGAGAAAUAGACUUCCUGAGAGGUUAACUAAAUUCUUAGUAAUUUGAUAUAAUUUCAUAACCGUUCUCCAAAAGCAUUACGAUAUUUAUUAAAAUCAUUAUGGGACUGAUUUUAUUCUCUUUUUUUUUCUCAACAAAAUAUCCGACUGCAGAUGUAAUAAAUUACUCAUUACAAUUAUUUGAGUCCCCACUCUAAAUUAGAUUUUGAAGUUUGUCCUGACAUAAUAAAGUUACAUUUUCAAAUGACCAAAUCAAUUAAUGAGUCUGACAAAAAGAUGUUGUCGGCCAAGUUGAAAAAUAUAAUAAAUAAAUUGUCAGGAGAUGAUUUUUUCUGAAAUUUCAUUUUCAAGGUCCAGAACACAUUCAAAUUUCCGCUGAAAUUCAUAAUGGAUUCAUAUGAUCGGGCGAAAUUACACUAUACAAUUUCAUCAAUACCUAUUAAACGAUAAAAAGUUUAUUGAUUAUUUAUAAUUAAAAAAAAUCUAUCUACUAAGACUAUUCUAGAUCAAUAAUUAAUAUAUUAUAUAUAACUUCAGAAGGUUCAUCGGCGUAUUGAUCUAAGCCUUUUGUAGUAGUUUAUAAAUAUUUUGUUGCUUAUAAUGUAAGAAAUUUUACAGGAGUUGAUGCUGAGUAGUCUGAAUAAGAAAAUUAAUUAUAUUGUAAGUUAUUGGGUAUUUAUAAUAAAAUAAACAAUAAAAAAUGAAUAAAAAUUUAAAUACUUAAUUAAUUUUUAUCAAAUUCUUAUCAAAUAUUUAAAAUAUAUAUAAAAUCAAUUAAUUGAUGAUGUUGUUAAUUUUCAUGAUAUUUUUAAUAUUAUAUUAGUGAUUAUUAAAUUUAAUACAAUCAAUAAUGCUAUAAAUUAUUAAAUGGUUAAUUUUAUUGACAAAUUAUCAAAUAUGCAAAUAAUGAAAAAUUAAUCUCAAGAGUUGGUAGAAGUAAAGUUCCAAUUUAAUCAGAUAAUAAAUAAAAAUAAUUUUUAAGUAAAUUAUAAAUAAAAAAUAAUUAAUAUUAAGUAUAAAUAAACAAUAAUGAUAGAAAUUAAAGUCUCAUAAGAGCAUCUCCAAAAGACUCUUCAAAUAAGAUUCUACUUCUUAUUUGAAGAGCCAUGUCAAUAUUUUACACUCCAAAAGACACGUUAAUUUAAAUUCUUCAAAUAAAAUUUAUUUUUCACUCUUCAAUAUUGCCGAGUGAGUUUCUCCCUCUUCUAUUAAUAUUUUAUUAUUAUUUAUUGAAAAGAUAAGACUGCAAUAAUUAUUAUUUAUGUUUCUUUUAAAAAAUAUAAUAACAAUACAAUUUGAUAGUGGAAAAAUUUGAUUAAAAUAAUAUUAAUUUAUUCUUAUUUGGUGAGUCUUUUGGAGGGGAUUAUAUUUUUUUAUACACUUAUUUGCCACAUCAGUAAGCAAAUUGAAAUUUAAAGAGUAAAAUUUAAAGAUCCUUUUGGAGAUACUCUAAAUAGAUAACUUUUUUUCUUUAAUUUUAUCCCAACUAAAAUCAUGUGUAAAUUACAAUGAUUAAUCCCAUAAUUUUAGGAUGAAACUUAAAUUUAGUCCCCGAGUCCAAUUCAAUUAAUUUAACAAACAGGAGAUAAAUAUUUAAUAACAAAAUUAGUCCAAUUUCGUACUUAAUACUAGUAUAUGAACAUGGCCUGAUAAAAUAAUUUAGGUAAUAUGCUUCUAUGACUCACAAUUUAAAUAAAUUUGAGAAUUUAUAUAAGGGAUGGAAAAUUCAUAAUAAUCAUAACAUGUGCUAUCUUUUCUUCCUUUUCUUAAUUAAAUAAAAGAAAAAUAUUAAUCACAGAACCACUGCUGUUUAAAAUGACCCGAUGAUCGAUGAAGUCGCAUUCGCCUAUCUAAUAUUGCGCAAUCAGAUAAAUUCUCAAAUUUUAAAUGAAUUUAAUCUGCAAUUAGAUCAAUAACUACACAAUAAAGAUUAAAAAAUUUCAAAUUAUACUUGAGUUAAAAUUUGAUUCUUUUUUAUUAUUUAAAGUGAUUUAUUUAUAAUUAUUUUAACCCAAUUAGAUUUUUUUUUUUAAUGCUUGGUCUAUGACAGAAUUGAUCCUCAAAGUUUAAUUAAGCCUGAGAUGGAUACUCUCAGCAAUUUAUUAGAAUCUAACAGGAAAAGAGAGUUGCGAUUUGUAUGUGUAGAAAGAAAAUGUCAAAACGAAAUGUUAAUGUCACUUGUAGAGAGAGAGUUGGGACUGAUGAUCUGCAAUUUAGUCAUGAAAAAUUAGUGAUUAAAUACAACUAAAUUUCAGUUCUUUCUUUGGGAUCCAGAAAAAAAAUAAAAUUCCCCCUCAAUUUUCUGUUUGCAAGGGGGUAACUGUAAGCACAGUCUGAUUUUAUUUUCAGGGAAUAAUAUCGGUGAACCACCGUCGGGGAAAAUUUGAAGUCUAAACAGGUCAUUCACAGAUAAGGCCAAAGAGUAAAACAGGUCGUUCAUCGUGCAUUUGGAUUCCUUUCAUCUGGUUAAUUAUUGAAGACAAGAUGAAAACGCAACUAAUGUCAAUAUUUUAAUUUGGAAUGGGGGCCGUGUAUGGUGUAUAAAAUAGCAUUAAUUGUUGUCUGUGUUUGUUGUUUAAUAUAUAUAUAUAUAUAUAUAGGUCUAAACAGGUCAUUCACAGAUAAGUCUAAACAGGUCAUUCACAAACAGGUCAUCUUAUGAAUUAUUGAAGACAAGUAGCUGUUCGACGCCAGCACUUUUCAAAUCUGAAGAGCAAUUAGACAAUAUUUCUAUUUCAAAUUGGGGCCACACUCCAAAAAAAUUGCAAUAAUUCUCUGUUUUAUACCAAAUAUUGCGCAAUCAGAUAAAAAAAGGGUCGGCUGCAUGAUUUUUCCAACUUUUGUUUUAUUUUUUCUCUUUUCCACGGGCAUGUUAUAUUUAACAAUUCUCUUUUUGUCGUGACAUAAUGGACUAAAACGGAAUCACAACUUUUUCAAAUGACCAAAUGGCUUCGCCCUACCUGAUAAUAAAAGGCCAUAUAGAUGAGAAAUGGAUCCAUACGUUAAAGCUAUAUUAAAACAUAUAAUAAAUAAAUAGUCAGGAGAUGAUUUUUAUCAAAAAUUUCACUCGCACGGUCCCGACCAAAUACAAAUUUGUGAUGAUAUUCAUAAUGAAUUUAUACAAUUAGGCGAAAUUACUCUAUAUAGUUCCAUCGAUAUAUAUUAUACCAUUAAAAAUAUACUAAUAUUUAUAAUAAAAAAAAUUUAUGACUAUUCUAAAUCGACUGUAUUAUAUGUGAACUCACAAGAUUCAUCGAUAGAUUGCACUGAGCUUUUUGUUGCAGUUUACAAAUAUUUUGUUACUAAUUAUCUUAAGAGCGGCAAGUAACUAAAUACAAAUGUAAGAAAUUUUACAAGUGCUGAUGCUGUGUACUCCGCAGAAAGCUAGCCCACGACGGUGACUCCUGUUGGGACUCCUUCAAUUUGCAGCACAAAAGAACGUUCACAUUGACAUUGACUUGAGGGUAAAAAUUAAAAUAUCUCCAAUUAGUAUAAGAAGAAUCCAAACAUGCUUGAAUGAACAUUCUCUCAGAAUACAUAAAAGCUACUUUCCUCUGAGCAUUUUAGCAGCACGAAAAGCAAUUGCAGCAUUUACCAUUUGAUCUAAUAUCAGAAUGGCUCAUGCGAUCGUUUCCUCUCUCCUGGACCAGCUGAAUUCCAUUGCUCAAGAUCAGGUGAAAGAAAAGUGGAGGCUUGUGACGGGUGUCGAACAAGAAGUGGGAAAGCUUACCACCAAUCUUCAAGCCAUUCAAUCUGUGCUGGAAGAUGCAGAGCAGAGGCAAAUGAAGCAGGACAAAGCUGUUACUUUUUGGCUGGAUCAGCUCAGAGACACAUCCUACGACAUGGAAGAUGUGUUGGAAGAGUGGUUCACUGAAACACGGAAAUUGCAGCUUGAUGAGGGACGCGAUGAUGAUGAUGAUGAUAACGACGGUGCUUUUGUUACUUUUUUGACGAAGGUAUGUUCCUUCUUUCCUGCUGCCUCAAACUGCUUCGGUGGUUUCAAACAACUCAGUCUUCGUCAUCAUAUUGCUGUCAAGAUUAGAGAAAUCAGUGAAAAGCUAGAUGAUAUUGCCACUCGAAAAGAUAGGUUUAAUUUUGUUGAGAAUGUGAGUAACAAUGUUAGGAAUCCAGAGCGAGUGCGAACCAUCUCCUUGAUUGAUGAGGGAGAGGUUUGCGGUAGAGUUGAUGAGAAAAGUGAGCUCUUAAGCAAGUUGUUGGGUGAAAGUAGUGAACAACAAGAAGGCCUUCAUAUCAUCUCACUAGUUGGGUUAGGGGGUAUAGGUAAAACCACUCUUGCACAACUAGCCUAUAAUAAUGAUGAGGUGAAAAGAAAUUUUGACAAAGUUAUAUGGGUAUGUGUAUCAGACACUUUUGAGGAGAUUAGGGUCGCCAAAGCAAUCAUUGAAGGUUUAGGUGUGUCAGCUUCUGGUUUAAGCGAAUUCGAAUCUCUUAUGAAACAGAUUCAGGAAUAUAUUACAGGGAAGAAAUUUUUUCUUGUUUUAGAUGAUGUGUGGGAUGGAGAUUACAAAAAAUGGGACCUAUUCUUUUCUUGUCUAAAGAAUGGCCACCAUGAAAGUAAAAUUCUAAUUACCACACGUGAUAGGUCAGUUGCACUACAGUUGGGAUCAAUAGAUAUUAUCCCUGUCAAGGAGUUGGGUGAAGGGGAAUGUUGGUUACUGUUUAAGCAUAUAGCAUUUCUACGUAGGUCCUUUGAGGAUUGUGAAAAAUUAGAACCAAUCGGGAGAAAAAUAGCAUGUAAGUGCAAAGGCCUGCCUCUUGCUGCAAAGGUAAUAGGGAAUCUCUUGCGCUCUAAAAGUACAGAAAAAGAGUGGCAAAGAAUUUUAGAUAGUGAAAUGUGGAAAGUAGAAGAGAUUGGGCAAGGUCUUUUAGCUCCUUUGUUGUUGAGUUAUAACGAUUUGCCCUCCAAUUCUAUGGUAAAACGGUGUUUCUCAUAUUGUGCUGUCUUUCCAAAAGACUACGAGAUGGAUAAAGAGGAGUUGAUUGAUCUGUGGAUGGCUCAAGGUUACCUUAAUGCAGAAGAAGACGAAGAAAUGGAGAUGAUUGGAGAAGAGUAUUUCAACAUCUUAGCAACACGCUCUUUCUUUCAAGAGUUUAAAAUAUAUGAUGACGAUGAUGAUUUUACGAGUUGUAAGAUGCAUGACAUAGUACAUGAUUUUGCCCAAUUUGUAAGUAGCAAAGAAUGUUUGUGGCUAGAAAUUAAUGGUACCAAGGAAUCAGUCAUAAACUUUUUUGGUGACAAAGUCCGUCACUUAGGGUUAAAUUUUGGAGGAGGAGCUUCAUUUCCUAUGACCAUUUAUGGACUUAAUAGAUUGCGUACCCUCCUAAUUUAUGACCAAAGUUUUGUCAAUUUAUCUCUUAACAGUAGCAUCCUUCGGGAGUUAUUUAGUAAAUUGGCAUGUUUAAGGGCAUUAGUUAUAAGGCAAUCGACCAAGCUUUUGUAUGAAGACACAAAUUGGAUUACGGAAAUUCCAGAUAAUGUUGGAAAAUUGAUACAUUUAAAAUAUCUUAAGUUGUCUAAAUUGUAUAUAGCGAGACUACCUGAGACUUUGUGUGAAUUAUAUAAUUUACAAAAACUAGAUAUUAGGCGGUGCAAAUAUCUUAGAGAAUUGCCUGCGGGGAUUGGGAAGUUAAAGAACAUGAGGAGUUUACUGAAUGAUCAAACUGAAAAGCUGAAGUACCUGCCAAUAGGGAUUUCCAGAUUGACCAGCCUUCGAACAUUAGAAAAGUUUGUUGUGGGUGGAGGUGUUGAUGGUGGCAGCACGUGUAGGCUUGAAUCUCUGAAAAAUCUUCAACUCCUUCGAGAAUGUGGAAUAGAAGGGCUGAGUAAUGUAUCGCAUGUAGAUGAGGCUGAGAGGUUACAACUUUACAAUAAGAAAAACCUCCUUCGUUUGCGUCUUGAGUUUGGUGUAGUCGUAGAUGGGGAAGGCGAAGAAAGGAGGAGGAAGAACGAGAAAGAUAAACAACUUCUUGAAGCCUUACAACCGCCUUUGAAUGUAGAGGAAUUAUGGAUUGAAUCCUAUGGAGGCGUCAUUUUUCCCAAAUGGUUGACUUCACUAACCAAUCUAAGGAAUUUAUAUCUUUCCUUGUGUUUUAACUGUGAGCAUUUGCCUCCUUUGGGAAAAUUGCCUCUGGAAAAACUCAUCCUAUGCAAUUUGAUUGGUGUAAAAAGAGUGGGUAAUGAGUUUUUAGGAAUAGAAGAAAGCAGUUAUUGGGACGACCCAUCUUCAUCUUCAUCGUCAUCAUCAGUUAUUGCCUUCCCCAAAUUGAAAUCUCUCAAAAUUUGGUUCUUGGAUGAAUUGGAAGAGUGGAAUUACAGGAUUACGAGGAAGGAAAACAUCUCCAUCAUGCCACGUCUUUCUUCCUUGAAAAUUAAGCAUUGCCCCAAAUUAAAGGUGCUGCCGGAUUACCUUCUUCAAACGACGACGCUGCAGCACUUGAGUAUUCAGGGAUGUCCUCUUCUGGAAAACCGUUAUCGAGAGGGGAAAGGAGAAGACUGGCAUAAGAUAUCUCACAUUCCCCACAUCAAGUGGCGGUAAAUUCUCGAAUGGUUGCAAUUACUAUCACCCACCGGUAAUUGCUCUCCUCUAUUUUACUUUGUUGUUACUUCAAACAACGACACUGCAAACAUUGACAAUUUUAUAGAACGCAUUAGUACAUGUCAAUAACAAGACCAAUUAGAUUAUGGCAUUGCUUUAUUUUAUUUAUUUAUUUUUUUGAUUCUUUUGAAAUAAGAUCAAUUAAUUAGAUCAUGCUAGAAGUUAAUUUUUUUUUUUCAAAUGAAAAAGGAGCAGUCAUACAAAGUUUGAAUAUAAAAUUUAUAAUCUAAAACUAAUGAUGUGACAAUUAACAUGUUAUUAACCUAGCUAAUAGAGUUGGAAGUCCCAAAUACAUCAUAUUCUGCUCCAGAAAUCAAUUCCACCUAGAAUACUUCUUUCUAUUGAAAUUAAUGAUGAUUUGUUUGUUUGCAUCAUGAAAGUCAAAAAUAAUUUUAUGAGUAAUUUGAUUCUUUACGGUACAAAAAAUAAAUUUGGAAAGUACUAAUUUCUCUCAUACUUUUUGGGCUAAAAAAUAAAUGUAAGUCUAACAUAUUUAUUAUAUAAUGGUUCUAUAUAGAAUCAAUCAUGGUAUAAAUAUGUAAAACUUCCUAGUUAUCAAUUUUGUCUUGCAUAAUGAUAAUCGUUUUUUUUUAUAUAUAAUUUAUGUAACAUUAAUUCUUUAAAGUAAUUGUGGAAUUGUUUUUACUACAUUAGCCCUCUUUGUUUUAUUUCAUACGAGUUUAAUUAUGUUCACCAGGGAUUCGAGGAAAUGUCAGAACUACACUAGCAAUUCACAGGUCCAAUCUAAUUUGGUUUUAAUGAUGCAUGCAGGAGAGCAAGAUUAUGAAAAUGAAAAGUUUAGCCAAAGGAUUGCUAAACUGUUCUGCUGGUAAUUCACUUGCUUUAUUUUAUAGAAUUUCAUUUCCAUCUUCUUCUAUUGAUAUCUUGUUGUGAAUAAACAAGCACAGAGAAGUAAAUGAUUGAACCACGGAGAAGUAAAGAUAUAUCCAAAUUCGAUUAUUAUGAUGAUUAAAGCAAGCUCAAGCUCAAGCACUGCAUUUUUUUAUUUUAUUUAGUUUAUAGAAUUUUCAUUUCCACCUGCAUUGCAUUUUUACUUCAUUUUUAGGUUGACGUUGAAGACUCUUAUGGAGAACAUUGGGGUAACCAAGGAUUAUCACUGUGGUUAUUGUGCAACGUUUGGUUGCUGGACUUUGAAGAAGGAAGUGAUGGCCGGGUCUGCUCUGUUUCAAUUGAGGAUGGAUAGCUGCCUGAAAGAUAUGAUGAUUAUUAUUGCAUGAUAUUAAGGUGCUAAGAUCAUCAUUUCUAUCUUGUUUCAUUCUUGGAAUCAUUUAUCCUAUAUAAACAUAUUGAAUUGUGCUAAUAUUAUCAUAUGCGUCAAUGGAGGCAGGAAUUUGGUGUUGACACUAUUAUGCAGGUAACCACACUUCAUAGUUUGCACAAAUUUGCGUUGUCAGAAUAUCCUUUAAUAUUCAUUGUGUUUCUGUGUGUUAUCAGGUUAUCAUCUCCAAGGGUUUGAAAGAGCCUUUGCAGUAAAGUCAGUUUUCACCAGCUCGUGCAAUUGCAAAUUCAUUCAGAGUACUUCAAUAUUGGGUUUUCAAGUUUUGUAUGUUUAGUCGAUUAAAAUGUUUAGUCACUCAUUCUUAAUCAUUUCUGAUUUUCAAGUUCUUUAGGGCCAUAAACAGUUUUUCAAACUCAUUCUUAUUUUUUAGGUUGAUUUCCUACUCGUGGAGAACGUUGGGAAGUCCAAGGAUUAGGCUGGCGAUGGAACUACUACCUCUGUUGUUAUUGUACAAGGUUUGAUCGCUGGACCUUGAACAAGAAAGCCUUACACGCAUUCUGUAAUUGAAGCGUUCUCUAAAGCAAAAGAGCAGUAGAAGGAAUAGUGUUGGCCGGAUCUGUUCUAUCUUAAUUGAAGAUCUCUGUGAUGUUGAGGAGCUAAUGAUUGUUAAGGCAUAUUUUCAUGAACUUCCUUUCUUAACAAAUGUUUCAAUGCUGGCUGUAGUAACAAUUUCAUAUCUUGCAUCUCUCGGGUGCAUCAUGUUCUCGGGUUUGAAAAAGCAUUUGUGGUAAUGCUUCAAAGCUUGUACAAUGGCUGUGAAAAGGCACAUUCAAUUAGGUACGUUUUGGUGCGGUCUCUCAAUGCUAAUAUUAUAUUUUGUAUAGCAAUUAAAAUUUAGCUAUACAAUCUUAAUAUGCAAUAAAUCAUUGUAUACAAAGUUUUCCAUUAAUUAUGUGGUGACAGAAAUUUUAAUUAUCAUAUAUCAAUUUAAAUUUUUUUGUAACUCUCUCUUACUUUGCUUGUACAGAGUACCUGUUUUGGCUGAUAUGUCUAAUUCGUAGAAAUUCAUUUCCAUCGGUUUCCAUUGGCUUUAGCACAAACCGAAACAGAUCUCUGGGGAAAAGUUUUACUUCUUGUGAUAUUAUGCCUCUGUUUCUUCAUUCAUCAUAUUUUUCGAAUUCAUGCUCUCAUUCAGAGGGUAAAGCCUUUUCCAGGCUUCUUUGUAGCCAAACUUUGACGCCUUUGAUGCAUGACUGUCAUUUAGAUUUUCCAAAUAACUGUUAGAUUGGAGAAGAAUAAGAAGAUACUGUUAAAAGGGUAUUUAAUUAAUGUAGUCAAUUACCCUCUGAAUUUCUUGGAGUUAAUGUAGUCAAUUACCCAAUCUUGCUUCAAACUCUGACAUACCUAAUAAAUAGUAGGAGGGGGUGGUAUUCGCCUGGUGUUAAUUUCCUGGCAAGUAUAGUUCACAGAUAGAGGGGUUCUUUUCUUGAUGUCUAAAUACCGUAUGUGAUACAACAUCGUGUAUUCCAAUUUUUCUCCAGUUAAAUUUUAAUACGUUAGUAAAGUUAAUUUUGUUUUAGCGAUGAAUUGUUUUCUUAAUAAUAAUAAUUGCCAUGUUCCUCUGAAGUCUUAUUAAUGCCACGUCAUCGAUCCGUCUAUGCGAACAGUGUCGUGAACAGUACCAUACAUGUGAAUAGUACCGUACAUGUGAAUAGUGCCAUUUUUCCGUUUAUGCUCCUCCUAAGGUUUUCGACCGUCUUGAGUUCAAAAGUGAUGUCCGUUUUGCCGUCUGAUCUCUCGUUUAUUGUGAAAUGACCAUGAUACCCCUAAAAUACAUAAAAUACUUAAUUAAAAAUCAAACACACAUAAUUAAAUUGCAAGAAGCUUAAAUACAUAAAAGUAAGGGUUGUUAGUAAAACUUGAAAUGUAAAAUGAUGAUUUUCUCCUUUAUAAAUAUACAUUUUCUAACACUCAACACCGGCUUCUUAAUUAUUUGUUAAAUCAGGUUUUUCUUAUCAAGUACAUCAUCUUAUUCACCAUUUUGGCUAUAUCAGAAUUUGCUAUUACCAUGAUGUCAAAGCAAGCUCAAGCACUAGAUCCCUAAUAAUAAUGCAUUGCAUUUUCAUUUUAUUUUUAGGUUGGUUUGAAGACCCUAUGGAGAACAUUGGGGUAAUCAAGGAUUAGGCUGGUGAUCGAACUACUUCCACUGUGGUGUUGUGUGCAACGUUCAGUUGCUGGACUUUGAAGAAGAAAGUGAUGGCCAGGUCUGCUCUGUUUCAAUUGAGGAUGGAUAGCUGCCUGGAAGGCAUGAUGAUUUUUGUUGCAUGAUAUUAAGGUACUAAGAUCAUCAUUUCUAUCUUGUUUUUUUCUUUGAUUGGUUUAUCCUCUAUAAGCAAAUUCAAUUAUGGUAAUAUUACCAUUUUUUCACCCAAUUUUCACCGUUGGUUGUAAUAACAAUUUCACGUACUCAAAAGCUACAGAGCAAAGCACAUGUGGGCUGAUCAUAUGCUUCCAUGGAGGAAGGAAUUCGGUAUUAACACUAUUAUGCAGGUAACCACAGUUGUUAAUUUGCACAAAUUUUGCAUUGUCAGAAUGCCCUUUAAUAUUCACAGUGUUUCUUUUUGUUAUUCAGGUUACCAUGGCAUGUAGAGUAUCAUCUUUGAGGGUUUGUGAGAGCCUUUGCAGUAAAGUUACCGGCUCGAACAAUUGCACAUUCAUCGAGAACAAUUUUAGAUUUGCAAGGUUGCGAUUAGCAGGCUUAGUCACUCAUUCCUAAUCUUUUUUGAUUUUCAAGUUAUUUAGGUCCAUUAACCGUUUUCGCACAUGUUUCAAUGCUAGUUGUAAUAACAAUUUCUUAUCCUGCAUCUCUAAGGUGCAUCACGUUUGAAACAGCUUUUGCGGCAAAGUUUCAAUGCUUGUACAAUGGCCGUGAAGAGGUACAUUCAAUUCGGUACAUGUUGGUGCAGUCUUCUAAUGCUAAUAUCAUGUUGUGUAUAUUUAAUUUGCAAUUAAAACAUAGGUAUACAUUCUUAAUCUCCAAUAAAUCAUUGUGUACAAAGUUUUCUAUUAAUUAUAUGGUGACUAAAAGUUUAAUUAUCUUAAAAUUUUUUGUAACUCUCUUUUACUUUGCUUGUACAGAGUACCUGUUUUGGCUGACAUGUCUAAUUCGUAGAAAUUCAUUUCCAUCAGUUUCCAUUGGUGCUAGCACAUACAGAAACAGAGCUCUACUUCUUAUGGUAUUAUGCCUUUGUUUCUUCAUUCACCAUAUUUGUUCGUGUAAAAAACACAGAUUAGAAUGAAUAAUUUCUAUAUUUUAUUGAUGAUAAUUACUCCUCUUUAAAUAGAUUACAGGGGCAUAAAUCAAAUCCCACAAAAUCAGAGCUAUGACAUCUAGAAAUCUAAUUCUAAGGAAACAAAUCAAUAAACCUAUUUAAGGAAACAAAUCUUGCCAAAUAACAUAGAUCCUAAUAUAUACAAUUCUAAUUAUGUAUAAUUUUGAUUUCAUCCACACUCCCCCUCAAGCUUGGCUAUAGAUGUUGAUGAGACCAAGCCUGCCUUCAAGAAACUCAUGAGUAUGUUCUCAGAGUCCUUUGGUGAGGAUAUCAGCCAGUUGGUGAGAUGUAGGCACAUAUUCAAGCUUGAUAAUGUUUCCAUCAAGCUUUUCUUUAAUAAAAUGUCGAUCAACCUCCACAUGUUUAGUCUUAUCAUGAUGAACAGGAUUGUGAGAUAUACUAAUUGCUGACUUAUUAUCACAAUAGAGCAGCAUAGGUUCUUCAAAUCCAAUCUUUAAUUCCUUCAACACCCUUCUUAUCCAGAUAAACUCACACACUCCAUGUGCCAUUGCUCUAAACUCAGCUUCCGCACUACUUCUAGCAACCACUGACUGUUUUUUGCUACGCCAAGUCACCAGAUUUCCCCAUAGCAACGUGCAAUAACCAGAUGUUGAUUUAUGAUCAUUAAUUGAUCUAGCCCAAUCAGCAUCUGUGAAUGCUUUCACCUUUCGAUCAUUGGUCUUUGCAAAAAUAAGCCUUUUUCGGGUGUUCGCUUCAAGUAUCUCAGGAUUCUAUCUACUGCAUUCAAAUGACCUUGACAUGGUGCAUGCAUAUGUUGACUUACUAAACUCACUGCAAAGGCAAUAUCCGGUCUUGUAUGUGAGAGAUAGAUGAGCUUUCCAACUACAGGUGAUAAGAUGUUGCUUGAAUUCAGCAUCUUGUAUUGCGAUGAUUUUGCCCACAUGAGGUUCUGUGAUUCUUGACAUCAGGAUAACUCAGGUCAAUUUUUUGUAUCAGCAUAUAUCAUCUUGUUUACUGUUUUGCCUUCAAAGAAUAAACUUUAGUGAAGUUGUUUUUGUUUGUGUAAGUUAUCAGGUUAAGGAUACUAAGCAGCUUAUUAAGGCAAAUGUCAUAAUGAAGAUUGUUCACCACACCUGGCAUUUAUGAUGGCAAGGAAGAUUAAUUGUUCACAAGCCAAUUUGAUGAGUGUUAGAUUUUUGGCUUUAUAUAUUAUUAGAGCUCUCCCUUCUGAGAGAUAUCUCAUUAAAUUGAGUAGAGCUCUCCCAAUAAUCGCAAGCUUUCAUUUGUUUGUAAAAUCAUCUUCUUAUAUUGAUUGUGUUUCCUUGUGUUAUCAAGUAGAGUAUCAUCUUCAAGGGUUUAAAAAAGUCUUUGCAGUAAAGUUUCAACCAGUUGCUGUGAAGAGGCAUAUUCAUUUGAGUAAUUCAGUUUCAGAUUUUCAGGGCAUGUAUGUUUAAUUAGUUUUGAUUAUGCUCUAAAUCUAACAAAAGUAUAUUUCUACUUCUUGUGGUUAUUUUACUUUUGUAUUUUCUGUCAUCAUUUUGAUUAAUUCAUUCGAAUUCAGACUCUCAUUAUUUAAAACCAUUUUCAGGUGGCUUGCACGCUAAUUAAGAAAUUGGAAAGUUAUCAUUGCUUGAAUGAAAGCACCAUCUUCUUUUGUCAAGGCUUUCCCCACACGAUGAGAUUAUGUGCUUGUUAUCGGCCGCUUAAUUAUUUAUUAAAUCAGGUUUUUGUUAUCAAGUACAUCAUCUUAUUCACCAUUUUGGCUAUAUAUAAAGAUUAAAAUUUCUAACAGUUGUUUCAGAUUCUUGUGCACUCAGGUUAAUAGUGCAAAUGUCAGAAUGAAGAUUGUUCAGUGCAACCGGUAUAGCAAGGAUGAUAGUGGUGAGGAAGAUUGUAACACCCCAGUUCGAAAUCCAAGGGCAAAUAUGUCCACAACUCACAUAUGAUUUAAAUAACUCUUUACAAACAAUAAAAUUCGAGCCUCAAAUACAAAAGCCAGCAGAAUAACUUAAAAAUUUAGCCAAACCAUCUACUAUCUUCAACUUGUCACUCAUCACGAAAUAAUCCUGACUUCUGGAAACUGAAUCACAAUAAACUAUAAUGAGUACAAAACUCAGUAAGAAACUAGUUUUUCUUAUAGAAAAUACAUACAUACUUAUACAUAAUGCAAUGGAUGAUAUGCCAUGAUCUUUUGGAAAUAUUGUAAAAUAAAUUCAUAAAAAUCUCUUUCUGUCGCCUUCAAACUUUCUCAUUUUCUUUCGAUGAAAUACGUAUCCUGCAAUGUCGCACUUUGUGCUGUGCGUGGCACUUUGCGGCACUCUGGCCCUCAAGAGGUGGCCCCUGCAUAGUCUCAAGAGGUGGCCCCCCCACAACUUCAAGAGGUGGCCCCCAAUGUAAAAAUCUCAUAAAACAGAAAUUCCGUUUGCUAAAAUCCACUUUCUCAUUCAUAGAAAAUUCAAUGCAUUUUCGUGCUCAUGCCAAUGAACCAUCACACAUACAUAUGCCCAUGUACAUAAUCACGCCCAUUACAUAACAACACAUCACAUAAACACAUGAGCAGAGACAUAUAAAUCCAUAUUCGUACAUAUCAAAAUAGGCUUUUCAUACAAGUCAAACAUAUAUAUUAUUUAUUGUGAUUCGUUUUAAAGUCUAGUUCACUUACCUCUUGGCAUCCUCAUGUAACAAAUGUGUACUGAUACCAUCAACCUAAAAUCAUCAAUAAAUUCUCAUAAGAUAUAAUCAAAUCUCAAUCAUAAACUCUAAUGUCCUCAAAUAUCUCAAUUUAAACAACUCUUAAGCUCAACCUCAAAUGUCCUCAAUAAUCGGCCCUCAAAACAUAACAGUCCAUACUUCUCCGAUUUUUAAUAAAUUAUUCUCUUAUUGGAAGAAUCUCAAAUUUUACAGACCAUAUGCUGACACAUUGAAAGUUCAUUGAUAAAAAUUUCAUAACAUAAUUCCUUCCAAAACGAUUGAAAAUAAUUCACGUUUCAGACAUCAUCAAUACUGUCAAACAGUUUUCUGUUUUGAACACACUUGCUUUAAAAAUACAAAACAAUUUAUUUCUUUAUCAUAAAAUCAUGAAAAUUUCCAGAAUCAUACUAGACUUAUAUAAAACUCAUUGGUCCAAAUUUCAUAAGUUUGAAGAAGUCUAGAUAUGGUAGAAAUAAUUUCGUAAUUCACUGAAAUCAUAAAUUUCCAGGUUUUCAGACUUGACUUUGAAAAAUCAUAAUUAAUUGAAAUCUUAUCUGAUUAACUUGAAACAAGUUUCAAAACAUAUUAGACGAUGUCUAGUUUAACAUACCCAAAAAUCAGAAUCAAAAUCAAUUUUUACAAAUUACUAUGAUUUUCGUAAUAAUUCACUGUCAGCAUAUUUAUGUAAAAUCUUUGAUUUCUACUUCUAUUGCAAUCAUGCUUCUCCACAACAAUUUAAUAGAAACCAAUAAUUAAAACAUACCUCCAAAAAUUCUCCCAACAAUAACAACUUGAUCCAAUGUGUUGUCUAUGGCAAAACUAAGAAGAAGAAGAAGAGCUUCUUUUUUUUUUCUUUUCUCUCUUGUCUCUCCAUCUCUCUUUUUUAACCGAUCCCUCUUUUUCUCUCUCUUAUAAUGAAAAAGACAUCUUGUUCUAUUUAUACUAGGGUAAAAAGGAUCACUAAAAAUUAAAAAGACUUAAAUACCCUUAGGAGAUUUGGGGUAUUACAAAGAUUGUUGGCAAGCCAAAUAGAUCCCUCCAUUUUGAGAAAUAUCAUCCUCAAAUUUGAAUUGCUGAGCAUGUGAAGUGAAGCUAAAGCCUUAAUAAUGAGACCUUCCUGUGAAAGUUUCAUUUGAGUGAAUUGAACGUUCUUGGAGUGAGUGAGAAAUUAAGCAUAUAUCAGCGAUUAGUGAAUUUUUUUCUUUAACAUUAGUACACUCUUAUUUCUUAGUAAAAUUCUCUUCCCGUCUCUGACUGUGACGUAGACCAAAAGCUUAACAAUGUAAAAUUAUAUUGUUAUUUCCUUAUGCUUGUUUUGCUAUAUAUCAUUUCUGUGCAAUCAAGAAUGUAAUUUUGUAAUUAUUUAAUUCUGCUUCCGCAAACAUGCCGUAUUACAAGUGAUAUCUUGCAGAAUUUUCCCCCCCUUUUUUCUUUCUGCAUUAAAACUGCAACAAAUGGAAGUGACUGGCUUGAUUUUAGCUCCUGUAAAAAAGUGCUUGCGGCAAUGUCUUUUGUAUCAGCAAGUCAUCAAACAUCAUUUUACGCUUGAAGUUGGGCCUUCUGAAGAUUUACCCCAUAUGGAACAAAAUAUUGGUUUCGCUACUAAAAUUGCGAACUAUGUUUUUCUUUGUAUUUUCCGCUCAACUGUUGUGCUGAAUAUGUUGCGAACAUAUGACAAUUUAAUCUUUGGCUGAGACUUGUUUAAAAUAAAAAAUGACACUUUAAAGCAAUAGGAGACUUUUAUAUAUUAAAAUGGUAAACGGGUGGAUAAAACUCAAAAUAAAUUUUUGACAUUUUAUCUAUUUUGACAUUCGAAUUUUAAACUUUAGAAGUCAAGCAAUGAAUAAACCUUUUUGAGAGGCUAAUUAAAUUCUUAGUAAUUUCACAUAAUUUCAUUUCAUCAGAACAGUUUUAUCAAAAGCAAUUUUAUAAAUCGUUGUUGAAAGCUUUAUUCCUUAAUUAUCUUUCACAUAGUUUCUUUGUAAUGUGGGUAAGUCAUAGACCAUGGUAUGAUAUUUAUUAAAUAUCAAAAGAUACCUCUUCUAUGGCAAAGUUAAUUAGACAUGUCUUUAUAAUAAAACAUCAUUUAUUUUGAAAUUGAUCCAACACUAAGAUUAUUGUAGAUCAAAUUAGUCUAUUACAGAUAACUUCAGAAGGUUCAUCAGUAGAUUGUUCCAACCUUUUUGUCGUAGUUUACAAGUAUUUUGUUACUUAUAAUACAAGAAAUUUUACAAGUGCUGAUGCUGAGUAGUCUGAAUAAUUAUUAUGAAUCAUAAAAACAGGGCAGAUGCUGUACAAAUUUUACAAAUAUUUUGUUACUUAUAAUGUAAGAAAUUUUACAAGUGCUGAUGCUGAGUAGUCUGCAUAAUUAUUGAGGUGGUGGAGCAAAUGCUCAGUAGUCUGAAUAAUAAUUAUGAAUCGGAAAAAUAGGGCAGAUGCUGUACAAUUAUUGAGGUGGUGGAGCAGAUGCUCAGUAGUUUGAAUAAUUAUUAUGAAUCGGACAAACAGGGCAGAUGCUGUACAAUUAUUGACGUGGUUGAACAGAAAGCUAGCCCCAGACGGUGACUCCUGUGGGGACUCCUUUAAUUUGCAGCACAAAAGAACGCUCACAUUGACAUUGACUCACGGGUAAAAAUUAAAUAUCUCAUAUGGUAUAAGAAGAAUGCAAACAUGCUUGAAUCAACAUUCUCUCAGAAUACAUAAAAGCUACUUUCCUCUGAGCAUUUUAUCAAGAAAAGCAAUUGCUGCAUUUACCAUUUGAUCUGAUAUCAGAAUGGCUCAUGCGAUCGUUUCCUCUCUCUUAGACCAGCUGAUCUCUGUUGCGGCUGAUGAAGUGAAACAGCAGGUGAGGCUUGUGACGGGUGUCGAACAUGAAGUGGGAAAGCUUACCACCAACCUUCAAGCCUUUCAAGCUGUACUGGAAGAUGCAGAGCAGAGGCAACUGGAGAAGGAAAAGGCUGUUACUAUUUGGCUGGAUCAGCUCAGAGACGCAUCCUACGACAUGGAAGAUGUGUUGGAUGAGUGGAUCACUGCAAGGCUCAAAUUGCAGAUUGAGGGCAUUGAUGAUGACAAUGCUCUUGCUCUUGCUCCUCAUAAGAAGAAGGUACGCUCCUUCUUUUGUGCUGUAUCAAAUUGUUUUGGUAGUUUCAAACAACUUAGUCUUCGUCAUGACAUUGCCGUCAAGAUUAGGGAAAUCAAUGGAAAGCUAGAUGAUAUUGCCUCCCAAAAAGAUACGUUUAAAUUUGUUGAGAAUGUGAGUAACAAUGUUAAGAAACCAGAGCGAGUGCGAACCACCUCCUUGAUUGAUGAGGGAGGGGUUUGUGGUAGAGUUGAUGAGAAAAAUGAGCUCUUAAGCAAGUUGCUGUGUGGAAGUAGUGAACAACAAAAAGGCCUUCAUGUCAUUUCACUAGUUGGGUUAGGGGGUAUAGGUAAAACCACUCUUGCACAACUGGCGUAUAAUAAUGAUGAGGUGAAAAGAAAUUUUGAAAAAGUUAUAUGGGUGUGUGUAUCAGACACUUUUGAGGAGAUUAGGGUCGCCAAAGCAAUCAUUGAAGGUCUAGGCGUGUCAGCUUCUGGUUUAAGCGAAUUCGAAUCUCUUAUGAAACAGAUUCAGGAAUAUAUUACGGGGAAUAAAUUUUUUCUUGUUUUAGAUGAUGUGUGGGAUGGAGAUUACAAAAAAUGGGACCUAUUCUUUUCUUGUCUAAAGAAUGGCCACCAUGAAAGUAAAAUUCUAAUUACCACACGUGAUAGGUCAGUUGCACUACAGUUGGGAUCAAUAGAUAUUAUCCCUGUCAAGGAGUUGGGUGAAGGGGAAUGUUGGUUACUGUUUAAGCAUAUAGCAUUUCUACGUAGGUCCUUUGAGGAUUGUGAAAAAUUAGAACCAAUCGGGAGAAAAAUAGCAUGUAAGUGCAAAGGCCUGCCUCUUGCUGCAAAGGUAAUAGGGAAUCUCUUGCGCUCUAAAAGUACAGAAAAAGAGUGGCAAAGAAUUUUAGAUAGUGAAAUGUGGAAAGUAGAAGAGAUUGGGCAAGGUCUUUUAGCUCCUUUGUUGUUGAGUUAUAACGAUUUGCCCUCCAAUUCUAUGGUAAAACGGUGUUUCUCAUAUUGUGCUGUCUUUCCAAAAGACUACGAGAUGGAUAAAGAGGAGUUGAUUGAUCUGUGGAUGGCUCAAGGUUACCUUAAUGCAGAAGAAGACGAAGAAAUGGAGAUGAUUGGAGAAGAGUAUUUCAACAUCUUAGCAACACGCUCUUUCUUUCAAGAAUUUCAGAAAAAUGAUGAUGAUGAUUUUACGAGUUGUAAGAUGCAUGACAUAGUACAUGAUUUUGCCCAAUUUGUAAGUAGCAAAGAAUGUUUGUGGCUAGAAAUUAAUGGUACCAAGGAAUCAGUCAUAAACUUUUUUGGUGACAAAGUCCGUCACUUAGGGUUAAAUUUUGGAGGAGGAGCUUCAUUUCCUAUGACCAUUUAUGGACUUAAUAGAUUGCGUACCCUCCUAAUUUAUGACCAAAGUUUUGUCAAUUUAUCUCUUAACAGUAGCAUCCUUCGGGAGUUAUUUAGUAAAUUGGCAUGUUUAAGGGCAUUAGUUAUAAGCCAAUCGACCAAGCUUUUGUAUGAAGACACAAAUUGGAUUACGGAAAUUCCAGAUAAUGUUGGAAAAUUGAUACAUUUAAAAUAUCUUAAGUUGUCUGAAUUACACAUAGAGAGACUGCCUGAGACUUUGUGUGAAUUAUAUAAUUUACAAAAGCUAGAUAUUAGGCGGUGCCCAAAUCUUAGGGAAUUACCUGCGGGGAUUGGGAAGUUAAUGAACAUGAGGAGUUUACUGAAUGGUAAAACUUAUUCGUUGAAAUACAUGCCAGUAGGGAUUUCCAAAUUAACCAGUCUUCGAACAUUAGAAAAGUUUGUUGUGGGUGGAGGUGUUGAUGGUAGCAAUACGUGUAGGCUUGAAUCUCUGAAAAAUCUUCAACUCCUUCGAGAAUGUGGAAUAGAAGGGCUGGGUAAUGUGUCCCAUUUAGAUGAGGCCGAGAGAUUACAACUUUACAAUCAGCAAAACCUCCUUCGUUUGCGUCUUCGGUUUGGUGGAGUCGUAGAUGGGGAAGAUGAAGAAAGGAGGAGGAAGAAUGAUAAAGACAAACAACUUCUUGAAGCUUUACAACCGCCUUUGAGUGUAGAGGAAUUAGGGAUUGAAUCCUAUGGAGGCGACAUUUUUCCCAAAUGGUUGACUUCACUAACCAAUCUAAGGAAUUUAACACUUUCCUCGUGCGCUAACUGUGAGCAUUUGCCUCCUUUGGGAAAAUUGCCUCUGAAAAAACUCGAACUACUCGACUUGGAAAGUGUAAAAAGAGUGGGUAAUGAGUUUUUGGGAAUAGAAGAAAGCAGUGAGGAUGACCCAUCUUCAUCUUCAUCGUCACCAUCAGUUAUUGCCUUCCCCAAAUUGAAAUCACUCGAAAUUGACGGAAUGAAAGAACUGGAAGAGUGGAAUUACAGGAUUACGAGGAAGGAAAACAUCUCCAUCAUGCCCCGUCUUUCUUCCUUGCAAAUUAUGAAUUGCCGCAAAUUAAAGGCGCUGCCGGAUUACCUUCUUCAAACGAUAGCACUGCAGAAACUGGGUAUUUAUUAUUGUGAUCUUCUAGAAGAACUGCCCAUUCUAGAAGAUCGCAGGACAACAGACAUACCACGUCUUUCUUCCUUGGCGAUUUGGUAUUGCCCCAAAUUAAAGGUGCUGCCGGAUUACCUCCUUCGAACGACGACGCUGCAGGUAUUGAGUAUUAUGGAAUGUCCUCUUCUAGAAGGACAUUAUAGAGAGGGCAAAGGAGAAGACUGGCAUAAGGUAUCUCACAUUCCCUGCAUCAUGUGGUUGCCGUCGUUGUAAGAUAUCACUCGCUGGUAAUUUCUCCUCCUCCUCUGAUUUACUUCGUUGUUGCUUGCAAUGAAAUUAAUAAAAAUAAUUAUAUUUUGAAUUAAAAUUCUAUAUAGAAUCAAUCAUGGUAUAAAUAUGUAAAACUUCCUAGUUAUUAAAUCUGUUUAACUUGUUUUCUAAAGAUUAAAUUAAAAAAAAGUGUAGUCUGUUGAAAUUUCUAUAUUUACUUCUAAAAAAUAUGUGCUCUUUUGUAAAAUUUCAUACCACAUCAUAGAAAAUCCCAAUGUAAUUUAUUUUUUAAUGUACAAAAAUUUGUUAUGUGUAACUUCCUGAGAGGCAAAAUCUCUGGGAUACAUUUGCAAUAAUGUUGAAAAAUAAAUUAUCAAUUUUAUCUUGUAUAAUGAUAAUCAUAUUUUUUUAUAUAUAAUUUAUGUGACAUUAAUUCUUUAAAGUAAUUGUGUAAUUGUUUUUAGUAGUACAUUAGCCCACUUUAUUUUAUUUCAUAUGAGUUUAAUUAUGUUCACCAGGGAUUCGAGGAAAUGUCAGAACUACACUAGCAAUUCACAGGUCCAAUCUAAUUUGGUUUUAAUGAUGCAGGCAGGAGAGCAAGACUAUGAAAAUGAAAAGUUUAGCCAAAGGAUUGCUAAAAUGUUCUGCUGGUAAUUCACUUGCUUUAUUUUAUAGAAUUUCAUUUCCAUCUUCUUCUAUUGAUAUCUUGUUGUGAAUAAACAAGAACAGAGAAGUAAAUGAUUGAACCACAGAGAAGUAAAGAUAUAUCCAAAUUCGAUUAUUAUGAUGAUUAAAGCAAGCUCAAGCUCAAGCAUUGCAUUUUUUAUUUUAUUUAGUUUAUAGAAUUUUCAUUUCCACCUGCAUUUCAUUUUUAUUUCAUUUUUAGGUUGACGUUGAAGACUCUAUGGAGAACAUUGGGGUAACCAAGGAUUAUCACUGUGGUUAUUGUGCAACGUUUGGUUGCGGGACUUUGGAGAAGGAAGUGAUGGCCGGGUCUGCUCUGUUUCAAUUGAGGAUGGACAGCUGCCUGAAAGACAUGAUGAUUAUUAUUGCACGAUGUUAAGGUGCUAAGAUCAUCAUUUCUAUCUUGCUUCAUUCUUGGAAUCAUUUAUCCUAUAUAAACAUAUUGAAUUGUGCUAAUAUUAUCAUAUGCGUCAAUGGAGGCAGGAAUUUGGUGUUGACACUAUUAUACAGGUAACCACACUUCAUAGUUUGCACAAAUUUGCGUUGUCAGAAUAUCCUUUAAUAUUCAUUGUGUUUCUGUGUGUUAUCAGGUUAUCAUCUCCAAGGGUUUGAAAGAGCCUUUGCAGUAAAGUCAGUUGUCACCAGCUCGUGCAAUUGCGCAUUCAUUCAUAGUACUUCAAUAUUGGGUUUUCAAGUUUUGUAUGUUUAGUCGAUUAAAAUGUUUAGUCAAUCAUUCUUAAUCAUUUCUGAUUUUCAAGUUCUUUAGGGCCAUAAACAGUUUUUCAAACUCAUUCUUAUUUUUUAGGUUGAUUUCCUACUCGUGGAAGUCCAAGGAUUAGGCUGGCGAUGGAACUACUACCUCUGUUGUUAUUGUGCAAGGUUUGAUCGCUGGACCUUGAACAAGAAAGCCUUACAUGCAUUCUGUAAUUGAAGCGUUCUCUAAAGCAAAAGAGCAGUAGAAGGAAUAGUGAUGGCCGGAUAUGCUCUAUCUUAAUUGAAGAUCUCUGUGAUGUUGAGGAGCUAAUGAUUGUUAAGGCGUAUUUUCAUGAACUUCCUUUCUUAACAAAUGUUUCAAUGCUGGCUGUAGUAACAAUUUCAUAUCUUGCAUCUCUCGGGUGCAUCAUGUUCACAGGUUUGAAAAAGCAUUUGUGGUAAUGCUUUAAAGCUUGUACAAUGGCUGUGAAAAGGCACAUUCAAUUAGGUACGUUUUGGUGCGGUCUCCCAAUGCUAAUAUUAUAUUUUGUAUAGCAAUUAAAAUUUAGCUAUACAAUUUUAAUAUGCAAUAAAUCAUUGUAUACAAAGUUUUCUAUUAAUUAUAUGGUGACUGAAAUUUUAAUUAUCAUAUCAAUUUAAAUUUUUUUGUAACUCUCUUUUACUUUGCUUGUACAGAGUACCUGUUUUGGUUGAUAUGUCUAAUUUGUAGAAAUUCAUUUCCAUCGGUUUCCAUUGGCUUUAGCACAAACCGAAACAGAGCUCUGGGGAAAAGUUUUACUUCUUGUGAUAUUAUGCCUUUGUUUCUUCAUUCAUCAUAUUUUUCGAAUUCAUGCUCUCAUUCAGAGGGUAAAGCCUUUUCCAGGCUGCUUUGUAGCCAAACUUUGACGCCUUUGAUGCAUGACUGUCAUUCUUUUUCUUGGUUAUUCAAACUUUCAGUUAUAUAUUAUGUGAAAGAUUCUUUUUCUUAUUAAAGUACAUUGUUGGUUUUUUCUUUUUCCUUCAUUUUGUCUGAAUUAAAGCUAAAAUUGUAAGUUUUUUUUUAAUUGGAAAAUAUUAAUAUUUCAUUAAACAAAUAACAACAAUACAACUACUUGCAGUACAUCACUAGUUCACAUUACAAAGAUUAAAAUACAGAGAUCUGUUUUAGUUACAGAGAUCUAUUACAGUAAUCAAUUGAAUUAACCCCUAAAAGUUUAUUAAAGAAUAGGAAGAAACACAUGUACACUAAAAGAAAAACUUCCAUUCGUAAUGCACAUAUAAUUCAAGCUCCAUUUGGGGUUCCAUGGCUCUUUCGAAAUUAUCUCCACCACCAUAUUUAUGCUUUCCAGCUAGUACCAAAAUAGAUUUACCGUAAAAAUUGAUUCACACCCUCUAACUUUACAAACAUGAGAAACAUAGACUCUAGAUCUAAAAGUUGAAGGGUUAUGUACUGGCAAAUAGAAAUUAAACCAACAUUAUCACUAUAACAGAUACAUUAUUACCAUCAAAGAUCAAGAUCUGAAUGGAUGCACAGCAGCCAUCGUCAAGACCAAAAGAGGAAGAAAUUGAAAUAGAACAACCACCUUAAGGUGGAGAAGGCCAGAACAAGACACCCAUCCUCAAAUCAUAUGGAAGAGGUGGGUGCAACCAAAAAAAAAAAAAAAGAGAGAAUCCACUGGAGAAGGCAAGAAAGAUUUCUGCCUCCAAAGAUUUGGUGAGGAAGAGAUGAGGAAUUUGGAGAGGAAAAGUUUCGGAGAGAUCUAGAGUUUGGCUUUAAAAAUGUGUUUUAAAGAAAAAGUUGUUGAGAGGAAACGAGACCAAUUAGAUCAUGCAAGAAGUUAAUUUUUUUUAAAUAAAAAAGGAGAAAUGAUGAUCUUACAAAGUUUGAAUAUAAAGUUUAAAAUCUAAAAUUAAUGACUUGACAAUCGAUGCAUUAUUAGCCUAAUAGAGUAAGAAGUCCCUGCUAAAGAAUUCAAUAUUCUACCCAGAAUACUUCUUUCUAUUGCAAUUAAAUGAUGAUUAUUUGUUUUUAUCAUGAAAGCUAAAAUAACUUUGUGAGUAAUUUGAUCCUUUUGCAGUAUAAAAAUAAAUUCAGAAAUGGGCACCAUUCUUCCUUUGUUUAAAUCAUGGUCUCCACGGAAGUAAAAUUUUGGUUACUACACGUAAUGAGUUAGUUGCACGUAUGAUGGGAUCAACAAAUAUUAUCUUCAUUGAGCAAUUGAUUGAAGAGGAUUGCUAGUCGGUUUUCAAGCGAUUAGCAUUUUUCGGUCACUCUUUCGAGGAUUGUGAAAGAUUAGAACCAAUCGGCCGAAAAAUUGCACGCAAGUGCAAAGGCCUGCCUCUUGCUGCAAAGGUAAUAAGGAAUCUCUCGCGUUCAAAAAGUGCAAUAAACGACUGGCAAAGAAUUUUAGAUAGUGAAAUGUGGAAGGCAGAAGAGAUUGGGAAAGGUCUUUUGACUCCUUUAUUGUUGAGUUAUAAUGAUUUGUCGUCCAAUUCUAUGGUAAAACAAUAUUUUUCAUUUUGUGCUGUCUUUCCGAAAGACUACAAUAUGUAUAAAGAGGAGCUAAUUUCACUAUGGAUGGCUCAAGGUUACCUUAAUGCAGAAGAAUAUGAAGAGAUGGAGAUGACUGGGGAAGAGUGUUUCAACAUUUUAGCAACACACUCUUUCUUUCAAGAGUUUGAGAAAAAUGAUGAUGAUGAUAUUAUGAGUUGCAAGAUGCAUGACAUAGUACAUGAUUUUGCUCAAUUUGUAAGUAGCAAAGAAUGUUUGUGGCUAGAAAUUAAUGGUACCAAAGAAUCAGUCAUAAACUCUUUUGGUGGGAAAGUCCGUCCCUUAGGUUAAAGUUUAAAGGAGGCGCUUUAUUUCCUAUGUCCAUUCAUGGACUUAAUAGAUCGCGUACCCUCCUAAUUGAUUAUGAAAGUCCUUCCAAUUCGUCUCUUGAUAGUAGCAUCCUUCCUGAGUUAUUUAGUAAAUUGGCAUGUUUAAGAGCAUUAGUUAUAAGGCAAUCAUUCUUGCUUUGUCGUCCUGACCCAAAUUUGAUUAGAGAAAUUCCAGAAGAUGUCGGGAAAUUGAUGCUUUUAAAAUAUCUUAAUUUGUCUGAAUUACACAUAGAGAGACUGCCUGAGACUUUGUGUGAAUUAUAUAAUUUACAAAAGCUAGAUAUUAGGGGGUGCCGAAAUCUAAGAGAAUUGCCUGCAGGGAUUGGGAAGUUAAAGAACAUGAGGAGUUUGCUAAAUGGUCUUACUUGUUCGUUGAAGUACAUGCCAAUAGGAUUUUCCAAAUUAACCAAUCUUCGAACAUUAGACAAGUUUGCUGUGGGUGGAGGUGUUGAUGGUGGCAGUACGUGGAGGCUUGAAUGUCUGAAAAAUCUUCAACUCCUUCGAGAAUGUGGAAUAGAAGGGCUGAGUAAUUUGUCACAUGUAGAUGAGGCUGAGAGAUUAGAACUCAAAAAUAUGGAAAACCUCCUUCGUUUGUAUCUUUUGUUUGAAGUUGUAGAUUGGGAAGAUAAAGAAGAGGAUGAAGAUGAAGGUGGGGAAGAUGAAGGUGAGGAUGGGGGAUAUGAAGAAGAAGAAGGAGGUGAAGUUGUAAAUGGGGAAGAUGAAGAAAGGAGCAGGAAGAAUGAGAAAGAUGAACAACUUCUUGAAGCCUUACAGCCGCCUUUGAAUGUAGAGGAAUUAUGGAUUUUAUUAUAUGGAGGCAACAUUUUUCCCAAAUGGUUGACUUCGCUAACCAAUAUAAGGAAUUUAUUUCUUCACAGGUGUCUUAACUGUGAGCAUUUGCCUCCUCUGGGAAAAUUGCCUCUGGAAAAACUCGCCCUGCAAAAUUUGAAUAGUGUAAAAAGAGUGGGUAAUGAGGUUUUGGGAAUAGAGGAAAGUAGUGAUGAUGACCCGUCUUCAUCUUCAUCAUCAUCAUCAGUUAUUGCCUUCCCCAAAUUGAAAUCACUCAAAAUUUGGGACAUGGAAGAAUUGGAAGAGUGGGAUUACACGGUUACGAGGAAGGAAAACAUCUCCAUCAUGCCACGUCUUUCUUCCUUGGAAAUUGAUUGUUGCCCCAAAUUAAAGGUGUUGCCAGAUGACCUUCUUCAAACGUCGACACUGCAGGAAUUGAGUAUUGGGGGAUGUCCUAUUCUAGAAGACUGGCAUAAGAUAUCUCACAUUCCCCACAUCGAGUUUUAAAUUCUCGAACGGUUGCAAUUACUAUAACCCGCCGGUAAUUUCUCCUCCUCCUCUGUUUUGCUUCAUUGUUACUUGUAAUGAAAUUAAUAAUAAUAAUGAUAAUAAUUAAAUUUUGAAUUAAAUUUCUAUAUUUUGCCAAUGUCUCAUAGGAAUGUGCAAUAUUUUCUAAUAUUUUGAUUUUUGUAUUGAAUAUAACUAUUUACUUCAGUGUACGAUAAUUUGUUACGUGAAACUUCUUGAGAGACUGAAUUUCUGGGGUACUUUGUAGUAAUGUUGAAAACUAAGUGAUGGCUGGGUCUGCUCUGUUUCAGUUGAGGAUGGAUUGCUGCCUGGAAGACAUGCUGAUUAUUAUUGCAUGAUAUUAAGGUGCUGAGAUCAUCAUUUCUAUCUUGUUUCUUUCUUUGAACGGUUUAUCCUCUAUAAGCAUAUGGAAUUAUGUUAGUAUUAUCACUUCUUCACCCAAUUUUCACUGUUGGUUGUAAUAACCAUUUCAGGUUCUCAAAAGCUACAAAGCAAAGCAUCUUUGGGCUGAUCAUAUAUUUCAAUUGACGAAGGAAUUCGAUGUUGGCACUAUUAUGCAGGUAACCAGAGUUGAUAAUUUGUACAAAUUUGCAUUGUCAGAAUACCCUUCAUAUUCACCGUGUUUCUUUGUGUAGGUAUGUAGAGUAUCAUCUUCAAGGGUUGUAAGAGCCUUUGCAGUAAAUUUAGCUGCUAGUGCAAUUGCUCAUUCAUCGAAGUACAAUUUUGGAUUUUCAAGGUUUGUAUGCUCAGUUGUAAUUAAAAUGCUUAGUCACUUAUUCCUAAUCUUUCUGAUUUUCAAGUUAUUUUAGGUCCAUAAACAGUUUUCACACAUGUUUCAAUGCUUCUUGUAAUGACAAUUUCAUAUCUUGCAUCUCUAAUGUGCAUCAUGUUUGAAACAGCUUUCGCGGUAAAGUCUUCGAUGCUUGUACAAUGGCUGUGAAGAGGCACACUAAAUUCGGUACAUUUUGGUACGGCCUCCUAAUGCUGGUAUAAUGUUGUGUAUAUUUAGUUUGCAAUUAAAACUUAGGUAUACAAAUCUUAAUCUGCAAUAGAUCAUAGUGUACAAAGUUUCUAUUAAUGAUAUGGUGACUGAAAGUUUAAUUAUCUUAAAAUUUUUCUAUGACUCUCUUUUACUUUCUUUGUACAGAGUACUUGUUUUGGCUGAUGUGUCUAAUUCAUAGAAAUUCAUUUCCAUCGGUUUCCAUUGGUUUGAGCACAAACAGAAACAGAGGUCUGAGGAGAAGUUUCACUUCUUGCGGUAUUAUGCCUUUGUUUCUUUAUUCACCAUAUUUGUUCGAAUUCAUGCCCUCAUUAAGAAUUUAAAGCCUUUUCCAGGCAGCUUUGUAGCCAAAUUUUGAUGCCAUAAAUGCAUGAUUGUCAUUUAGAUUUUCCGAAUAUUUGUUAUUUGGAGAAAUAUUGUUAAAAGGGCAUUUGAUUAGCUACUUACCCUAUGAAUUUAGUUGCCAAUAAUAGAUUGAAAUUGAGUAGGCUAAUGGUUGAGGAAAGUUAUUGUCUUAAUUAAAUUACAGGUGAUAAGAUGUUGCUUGUGUAAUCAGAUAAAUGGGGCAAAUGUCAGAACAAAGAUUGUUCAGUGCUGCUGGUAGGGCAAGGAUGAUGAUGGUGAGGAAGAUUGUUCACAAGCCAAGUAGAGCCCUCCAUUUUGAGAAAUAUCAUCCUCAAAUUUGAAUUGUUGAGCAUAUGAAGUGAUGCUAAAGCCUUAAUAUUAAGUCUUUCUGAAAGUUUCAUUUGAAUGAAUUUUCGGAGAUUGAAUGUUCUUAGCGUGAGUAAGAAAAUUAAGCACAUAUCUGCGAUUUGGAUCGUCGGUGAAUGUUUUCCUUUAAUAUUUGUACAAACCCGUUUCUUAGUAAAAUUUUCUUCAUGUCUUUUACUAUGACAUAGGCUAAUAGCCGUACCACAUAACAUUAUCUUCUUAUUUCUUUAUGCUUGGUUUUGCUACAUAUAAGAAUGCAAUUUUGUAACUACUUAACUCUGCUUCGGCAAAGUUAAGUAGUUACAAAAAUUUUUUUUUUUCGUUUUUCUUUCUCCGAUAAAAUUGCCACAAAUGGAAGCGAUUGGCUUGAUUUUUGCUUCUGUAAAAAGUGGUGGGAGCAAUGUCUUGUGUACCCGCAAGUUAUAAAUCGUCAUAGUUUAAAUGACGAAUCCCGAGUUGCCAUCCAAACUAAAGAAAUUGCAAAUUAAGUAGUUCAUUACAAAUGAUAUAUUUUGAGUUGCUAAUUAUUAAGUAUUUCAUUCAAAAAUGUUCUCGUUCCCACAGUUUCUAAUGUUUAAAGUGCAUCAUUGCUCUACUUCCGUCAUAACAGCAUAAGAGAAUUUAACAUAAUACUGAGAAAAUGAUUAUUUUACCCUAAAUGUAAAUGAUUAUUCUACCCUUAACAUAAAAUAACUAAUUUGCCCUAAUUUAAUAACGAAAAAAAUAGAUGACUGCAAUAUAGAUAUUAAAUAAUAAAUAAAAUAAAAAAUAAGAAUUAAAACUAAAAUAAUUAAAAGAGAGCUCAAGAGAAAACGCACUUUAAUCUGGUACCUGUACCCGUGGAUCGUGGCGAUGGCGGAUUGGGGCUUAUUACCAAGUCGUUUAAGAAUUUUAAACUUUCAAAUUUUUUUUAAACCUUGAAUUUUUUAGUUUAUUGGUUAAGUGAUAAAAUUUGGUGGUAGUUUGAUACUGUGUUGUAUGUUGUGUUAUUUUAGCUCAUUAACUUUGUUAUGUAAUUCUUCUUUAAAUACGACGUCGUUUUUGUCCAUUAAGAGUCCAAUGACAAGUUUAUCAUUCUGACAUGAGUAAAAUUCUAACGGCGUGAUGACAAUAGUGUAGAAAUGAUAGAUUUUGUAAACAUCAGGUGGAAUUGUUAAAAAAAAAAAUGUGGUCGUGUAUUUUUUAUAAAGUCUAAAACAUCAAGUGAUUAGAGAAUAUUUGUGCUUAAGUAUUUGAUUCAAAAAAAUUUCCACUCCUAGACUAUUUAAGUUGUAACCAAAACUGAGAAUUUUUUUUUUUUUUUGCAUGAUGAAUCUCGAUAUUUAGGAUGAAUAUUUUAAUAUUUAAGCUUAAUGGUCACCCACUAUUGGUAGAAGAAUUUUUAUUCUAACACUAUACAAUUUUCGUGUGAGGUGGUCUUGGGCUUAUCUCAACCUUAAAAGUCAAAAGCUAGCUCAAUAAGUGAGAUUUUUUUCUCACACUUAUGAAAUCACCACGAGCUCCUCCCACAACCAAUGUGGGAUAAUCCCAACAAUCUCCCCUCACUCAUCGAGCCUUGGGUUGGAAGCAUAAACAUCAAUUCUCCCUAUUAGAUUGUUGGUUGAGUUGUUGGUGAACCUGAGCUUUGAUACUAAUGUUAGAUGGUCUUGGGCUUCUCUCGACUUCAAAAGCUAGCUCAAAGAGAGAGAUAUUCCCUCACAUUUAUGAGGUCAUUAUCAGCCUCUUCCACAAUCGAUGUCGGCUAACCCGACAUUUCUCUCUCUAUAUAAUACAUAAGUUGGAUAAUAAAUUUAUAUCUCAAUCUAGGUAUAAACAUUAAUUUUAUUUCUUUUUAUCAAUCAUUAUCCUAUUGGGUCUAUCGACUCACCGUACAAAAUGUUGUAAAACUUCCCCGCCGAAGAGACUUUGGUAGCUUUGAGUUUGUAAAUCAAGUUCCUAUCCGUCGUCCCUCCUAAUCCAUUCUUCGGCCAAGUACGCCUGACAUUCUUGUACCUUACAACGUCAUAUUUGGCACAAAAUUCAUGAAACUUAAACCAAACACUAAACUAUUAUUAGUUCUCAACAUUUUAUAUCAUUCGACGUUUUGUGUCAGAAUAAAUAUUUUAUCUUUGAACUUCUCAAGCACUUAUUCAUGGCUUAUUUCUCAACUCACUAUGGAUUAAUGAUGCUGAUGAAAUUGUGGAUUAACCAGACAAUAUUGUAAUUAUUACACAUACACACAAGCACACGUACAUACGUACAAAAGCAUAUAGGAGUUGACCUUGCUCAGGAUUUAAAAAAAAUGAAUAAAAUUUUCCAAUAAUUAAUUAAGAUAAAAAAGAUCAUUAAAACCCGAGUACCCCUCGCAAUUGUGUCACUUGAAUUCUCUGUAUUUAUGCACAUAUAAUAUUUUGAAUGAAUCUAUAAUGAUGUUAAUUUUUUAAUGAACUUAAUCUUAAAUUAAAAUUUUCUUUUGAAAAAAAAGAAGAAAUCUUAAAUAUUAUAAAAUAUAGAUCAGUUGGAAAACUAUUCCUAGAAAUGCAUCUUAGUUUUAUUCUUGGAAAAUGUUUCCUUUCGCACUUGCGAGGAAUUAGAAAUUGAACAAUAAUUUUUAGACUUUUCAUUGUCUUUGUGGUUAUAUGGUUGUCUUUAAUAUAAAUAUAUGAUCCCGGAGGCCAAAUGUCUAAGUCACAUGCAUUUACCUAAUACUUUUUUCUUUUUUCUUUGUUUUUCGGAUAGGGCAAUUAUUUAAUACCUUGAAGAAAGAGAGAUAAAAUAUAAUGCAUGCCAAUUUGUUGCAACAAAGCUUUCAUAUCAAGCGUUGGCAUAAAUUAUUAUGCCAAUUUGUUCAAGACAAUAUCUUUAGUUGGCAUGUAAGUUUCAUUAGCCGGCGUCUACUCUUAAUUUAUGUCAAAUUAAGUAAUCGCUCCGCCCCAAUAAUGUUGCCUUUGAUCUCUCAGCCCCAGUAAAAGAAUUGGCUAAAAGAGAAUGUUGGUCACUGUUUAAGCAAGUAUGCUUUUGGCGGUCCUUUGAGGAUCUUCAAAAUUUAGAACUAAUAACCAAUCAAAUGAAAAAUUGCAUACAAGUGUAAAAGCUUACCCCUUAAUGCAUAGGUAAUAGGAAUUCUCUUGCUCAACAUAUACACCCUUUUCUUUAUAAUCUUUUACUUUUGCUCUUAAGCUAAAGCAUUAAAAGGCCCAAUAUCCACUCUUUAUAUAUAGUAGUUUCUGGUCCGGGAUCAUAAAGUGCGGGAAAUAUUCGGAAAAAUUUUAAAAUCGUGGGGUUUUAAAUGCUUAAAACUUAAAGUGCUUAAACUGAACGGUUAAUAUGUUUUCCUGGACGUUCCCGCAUUUUAAAAUUCCGGACUGUAACAUUUCUCUCUCUCUCUCUCUCUUUAUAUAUAUAUAUAUAUAUAUAUAUAUAUAUAUAUAUAUAGGGAGAAUGCCAAUUUCCCCCCAUAUUGUAAUCAAUUUAUAUCAUUUAUGUCCUACUCUUAUAUAAUAGCCAAUAACUCCUGGAUAGCAUAAUAUAACAAUAUUAUCUUUAAUUUUAAAUACACUUUUAUUUAUAUUUAUUAUAAAUUAAAUAAAACAUGUGAAUGAAAACUAAAAUAAAUAUUAAAUAUUAAAAACAAUAAAUAUAUGUUUUGAUGUGAAUAAAAAAUUAAUAGUAAAAUAUUUUUCUUGUACUUCUUUUAUUUACAAACAUUUUCUAAUAAUACAUAUAUAAGAAAAUUAUUAUAAAAUAAUUAUAAAUUAAUAUAAAUUAAUAAUAAAAUAGUAUAAAAUUAAUAAUAAAAUAUUUUUCUUGUACUUUUGUAUUUUAUAUAUUUAUUAUAAGAAAAUGUUUAUAAAACAAAAAUACAAAAAAAUUUAUUAUUAAUUUUUUUAUUCACAUCAAGACGUAUAUUUCUUGUUUUUAAUAAAUUUUUUUUUUACCAUUCAAUAUGAUUUGUUUAAUGUAUAAUAAAUAUGAAUAAAGGUGUAUUUGAAAAUAAAAAUAAUAUUGUAGGAAACAUUUACCAUUUUCUAAGAGAAGCUUAAGAGUGAGUAAAGGCUUGUUUAAACCAGAUAUUUUGAGCCAUAUAUUUUAAAAUACCUCAAGGCACCCUCAUUGUUAAAUAUGCUAUAUUUCUACUCUUACUUUUUCUUUCCUUUUAUAAUAUUACCCUUGCAACAAUAUUCUAACCUUUUUGAGGAUAUCAAUGAAAGAAAAAAAAUUAAUUUAUCAAAAUUUGCCUUAAAAGUAACAUAAAAAAUUCCACAAAUUUUUAUGUUAUUAUUUUACUUUUAGGAUUAAUUUGGUAAAUUAAUUUUUUAUAAAAUAACUAUUAGUAAAAUUGUUGCAAAUAUAUUAAACAUUUCUUUAAGUUGGAUAAUAUUGAUUUAUUUAUAAAUAAAUUAUUGGCAAUUAGUUCUUUCAUACUGAAAUUUAUUAGUUAAUUUGCUAAUCAAUAAUUAUUGGUUAAUACGCUAAUAAACUUUUAUAGAUAAAUUAAUUAAUGUCAAGAAUAUUAUUGCAAGGUAUUAUUAUAAAAGCAAAUAGAAAGUAAGUGCAAGAAUGUAAUAUAUUUAAUUAUAAAGGUAUUUUGAGAUAUUUUUGAAAUUAUAAGAACUAAACAAGCAUUUACCAGUUGAGAGAAGAUGAAAUGGGAAAAAUUCAAGGGUUAGGAUAUAUGAUGAGUUAAGGAUUAGGUCUUGUAAAAUCUUGAUUUGGGGAGAUGAUUUUGGAGUGUUUCAACCCUAAAUUCAUUUGGGAAGACUCAUUGACGUACACAUUAAAGGUGGAAAGUGUAGAGAGAGAGAGAAGGAGAAAGUGUGUGUUUAGAGUGAGAGAUGUGUAAUUCAAGUAAACAAGUUGGAUACUUGGAUUUCUCACUAAAUAGAGUAAGAUUUCCAUCAUUCUAUCAUUAUUUAUGCUAAAUUUAAUUUAAAGAUUUGUUUAUUUUAUUUAAAUUAAUGUUUCCAACAUAUGGUAAAGUGGUACGAAGAUAAAUUUUGUAAUUUGUGGAUUACUUUAGGUGCACACAGCACCAACAAGGCAUUGUAGAGCCAAAAAGACUUAGCACUUGAUGUUUCUGGUUCGAUAUAUAAAUAGCUAAUAAUUGUGUAUUAUGUUUAUGUAGUUUAUGGUUAGUAAUGAGAUUGGUGGUAAUGUAGCUCUAUAAUUAACUAUUUAUUUCCAAAACUAAGGAACUUCAUAUCGUAUUUUCUUCCAAAACUAAGGAGCUUCAUAUCAUGUAUUUCAUUAAAAAAUAGUCUCACUCUUAGACUUUAUGAGUUGCUGUGAAAAAUAAAUGAUGAUAAAUUUUCAUACAAAUUUAUUUUUAUAAAUUGAUACGACAUUAGUUCAUUGGUUGCAUGAAAUAUAAAAGCAGGUAGCAGUUGGUCCUUUGAGGAUCAUAAAAUUUAGAACCAAUCGGUCUAAAAAUUGCAUGCAAGUGCAAAGGUCUGCUCUUGUUGCAAAGGUAAUAGAGAAUCUCUUAUUCUCUAAAAGAGUAGUAGAAGAAUAGAAAAGAAUUCUAGAUGGUGAUAUGUGGAAGCUAGAAGAGAUAAGGAAAGGUCUUUUGGCUCCUUUAUUGUUGAGUUAUAUUGCUAUGCCAUCCAUGGUAAAAUGAUUUUUCUCAUAUUGUGCUGUCUUUUCAAAAGACUACAACAUGUAUAAAGAGGAACUAAUUACCCUAUGGAUGACUUAAAGUUACCUUAGUAUAACUAAUUACCCGGCGUCGGAGGGUUUACACCGGGAAAACACUCGGCGUGCUCUGACUUGUCUCUGUGUACGCAGGAGUUUGCGGAGAAGAAGCCUUACGAGGAGAGAUCCUGAUCGUGGUCGAGUUGGUUGAGGAGAGAGCUUGGUCGUGGUCGAGCAGGGAACCAAAAUCUCGCAUCAACACAGUUUCUGUUGCAAUUGUAUUGGCCUGGGUUUAGGGAACUGUCAACUUUCAGAAGAAGAUGGAGUUUCUCAAACCAAAUCUAAGAAGAUAUCUCACAUUCCCCACAUGGUCUCAACGCACAGGUAAGUUCUUCUCUAGCUCUGUUUUUCAUUGUUUGUUAUUUUUAAUGUAACUAAGAAGCAGAGUUAAUCUCUUAUCUUGUCCUUGCUUUGAGAAAACCUGCUUUUACAUCUAUUUUUAAUUCACAUGUCCACAGUAAUUUCAUUUUAGUUUGAGCUGAGUGAUAACUGUUCAAGGCUCACUUACUCAUUGGGAGAAGCUGCAUGACGCAGGCUGCAAGGAUUUAGAUUUUCAUUCGAAGGCUCACUUACUCAUAGUGUGCAUGUUUCGUUACGAUUAAAAUGAUUAGUCUCUUGUUCUUAAGUAUACAAUUUCCAAUGGAUUUGAUAGAGCGGUCAUCAACCAUAUUGAUGUUAUUGGAGUAGCACUGUUCUUAAGCACUGCUUUGAGGUCUCUCCCUCUCUAUAUACAUUGAUAGACUAUUCUGGUCGUACCAAAUUAUCCUUGUUUUAUUGUUUUGUUUGUUAAACUUUGACUGGGGGAAUCUGUUUAUUUGUCUGAUAUGAUGUUAGUGUGGUUUCGAUUGAAGUGUGUUGAUCUAUCACCAAGUAUUAUUUCAAUUUUUCUUUACCUAAUCAACUUGCAUACUUUCCAAGUCUAGAUCCUUAACAAUAGUGAGACUCCGCUACAGAAGUACGAUUUCUCUAGUUUUGUAGUUAAAUACGUAAGAAUAGUUUUAAAUUAACAGAACUCUGAGAUAGUUCUCUGAGGAAAUACAAGUGGUGAAUAUGGUUCCAACUUUUAAGUGCCUUAAGAUUCCCAUUUGUUCAGCCCUGUGCGUAAACAAUCAGUAAUUUCUGUCCAAAUUCUUCUUUAAUGCCUAUAUGUGUUGGACUUUGUCUACUGUUCAACUUCUCAAAUGGAUUCCAUGCAGGGUUUUGAAUGUCCAAUUAGGAGAAAGAUCAAGGCUUGCUUGGCUAGGAGUGGAAGCGGAUCCACUACUUCAGUCAGAUGACCUUUUGAAGAAGGCUUACAACAGGCCGUCUCAGGAUGUCAAUGGCUCAACUCAAAAGUCCCCAAAGUGGUUGAUAUCGAAGAAUGCCGUUGUCUCUGGGCUUGGGCUCCUUGGCAUCAAACAAGGGAAUGUCGACUCUGUUGAAGGGGAAGCAAGGGCUCCUAAAGUGCGAAGAAAGAGGAUAGGCCGGAAGAAGGUGACCGCAUAAAUUUCUUGGGAGUUGAUCCUAGUCAAUAGCCCAAUUUUUUUGUCAAAACAUUGGUCCCGAUUCCAGCAAAACAGUAACUUCCAUUCAAAAGGGUUCAGCGUUGAGUGCAUGUAAUCUGCACAAGUUUGACAAAAAAUAACCGAAAAAAAAAAAAGAAACCCACGUCCAAAGAUGCCGUUGAAAAAAGUUAUUGGGUAUUCAUAAUAAAAUAAACAAAUAAAAAAAUGAAUAAAAAUUUAAAUACUUAAUUAAUUUUUAUCAAAUUCUUAUCAAAUAUUUAAAAAAGUAUAUAAAAUGAAUUAAUUGAUGGUAUUAUUAAUUUUCAUGAUGAUUUUUAAUAUUAUAUUAGUGAUUAGUAAGUUUAAUACAAUCAAUAAUGCAAGAAAUUAUUAAAUGGUUAAUUUUAUUGGCAAAUUUUAUCAAAUACGCAAGUAAUGAAAAAUUAAUCUCAAGAGUUAGUAGAAGUAAAGUUCUAAUUUAACCAGAUGAUAGAUAAUAAAUACAAAUAAAUUUUAAGUAAAUCAUAAAUUAAAAAUAAAUAAAUUAAUUAAUAUUAAGUAUAAAUAAAAAAUAAUGACAUAAAUUAAAGUCUCAUAAAUGGAUAACUUUUUUUCUUUAAUCUUAUCCUAAGUCCCAACUAAAGGAAUGUGUAAAUUAGGAUUAUUAAUCCCAUAAUUUUAGGAUUAAACUUAAAUUUAGUCCCUUAGUCCAAUUCAAUUAAGCUUACCAAAUAUGAUAUAAAUAUAUAAUCACAAAAUUAGUCCAAUUCCAUACUUAAUCCUAGUAUUCGAACAUGGCCGGAUAAAAUAGUUUAGAUAAUAUACUUCUAUGGCUCACAAUUUAAAUAAAUUUGAGAAUUUAAAUAAGGGAUGGAAAAUUCACAAUAAUCAUACCAUGUACUGUCUUUUCUUCCUUUUCUUAAUUAAAUAAAAGAAAAAAAAUUAAUGACAGAACCACUGCUGUGUGAUAUCGAUGAAGUCGCAUUCGCCUACCUAAUAUUGCGCAAUCAGAUAGAAAAAAGGGUCGGCUGCAUGAUUUUUCCAACUUUUGUCUUAUUUUUCUCUUUUCCACUACAAAUUAAUUUGAGAAUGUUAUAUUUUCCAAUUCUCUUUUUGUCGUGACAUAAUAGACUAAAGCGGAAUCACAUACUUUUUCAAAUGACCAAAUGGCUUUGGCCUACCUGAUAAUAAAAGGAAUGGAUCCAUACGUUAAAGCUAAAUUGAAAAAUAUAAUAAAUAAAUUGUCAGGAGAUGAUUUUAUCAAAAAUUUCACUCGCACGGUCCCGACCAAAUACAAAUUUGUGAUGAUAUUCAUAAUGAAUUUAUACCAUUAGGCGAAAUUACUCUAUAUAGUUUCAUCGAUAUAUAUUAUACCAUUACAAAUAUACUAAUAUUUAUAAUAAAAAAAAUUUAUGACUAUUUUAAAUCGACUGUAUUAUAUGUGAAUUCACAAGAUUCAUAGAUAGAUUGCACUGAGCUUUUUGUUGCAGUUUACAAAUAUUUUGUUACUAAUUAUCUUAAGAGCAGCAAGUAACUAAAUACAAAUGUAAGAAAUUUCACAAGUGCUGAUGCUGUGUACUCUGCAGAAUUAAUAAUGGAUUAUUAUGAAUCAGAGAAACAGGGCAGACGCUGUACAAUUAUUGACGUGGUGGAGCAGAAAGCUAGCCCCACAUGGUGACUCCUUUAAUUUGCAGCACAAAAGAACGUUCACAUUGACAUUGACUCGAGGGUAAAAAGAAUGCAAACAUGCUUGAAUGAACAUUCUCACAGAAUACAUAAAAGCAAGAAAAGCAAUUGCAGCAUUUUCCAUUUGAUCUAAUAUCAGAAUGGCUCUUGCGAUCGUUUGCGCUCUCUUGGACCAGCUGAAUUCCAUUGCUCAAGAAAAGUGGAGGCUUUUGACGGGUGUCGAACAAGAAGUGGGAAAGCUUACUACCAAUCUUCAAGCCAUUCAAGCUGUGCUGGAAGAUGCAGAGCAGAGGCAAAUGAAGCAGGACAGAGCUGUUACUCUUUGGCUGGAUCAGCUCAGAGACGCAUCCUACGACAUGGAAGAUGUGUUGGAUAAGUGGAUCACUGAAACACGGAAAUCGCAGCUUGAUGAGGGCGGCGAUGAUGAAGAUGAUGAUAACGACAAUGCUUUUGUUACUCUUUUGACGAAGGUAUGUUCCUUCUUUCCUGCUGCCUCAAACUGCUUUGGUUGUUUCAAACAACUCAGUCUUCGUCAUCAUAUUACUGUCAAGAUUAGAGAAAUCAGUAAAAGGCUAGAUGAUAUUGCCAGACAAAAAGAUAGUUUCAAAUUUGUUGAGAAUGUGAGUAACAAUGUUAAGAAACCAGAGCGAGUGCGAACCACCUCCUUGAUUGAUAAGGGAGAGGUUUUUGGUAGAGUUGAUGAGAAAAAUGAGCUCUUAAGCAAGUUGUUGUGUGACAGUAGUGAACAACACCCUCAUAUCAUCUCAUUGGUUGGGUUCGGGGGUAUAGGCAAAACCACUCUUGCACAACUAGCCUAUAAUGAUGAUGAGGUGAAAAUAAAUUUUGAAAAAGUUAUAUGGGCGUGUGUAUCAGACACUUUUGAGGAGAUUAGGGUCGCCAAAGCAAUCAUUGAAGGUCUAGGCGAGUCAAAAAAAGCUUCUGGUUUAAGCGAAUUCCAAUCUCUUAUGAGCCAUAUCCAUAGAUCAAUUGGGGGAAAAAAAUUUUUUCUUGUCUUAGAUGAUGUAUGGGAUGGGGAUUCCAAUAAAUGGGAUCCAUUCUUCUUUUGUCUAAAGAAUGGUCUCCACGGAAGUAAAAUUUUGGUUACCACACGUAAUGAGUCAAUUGCACGUAUGAUGGGAACAACAGAGUCAGAUACUAUCUCCAUUGAACAACUGGCUGAAGAGGAAUGCUGGUUGUUUUCCAAGCAGUUAGCAUUUUUCGGUCGCUGUUUCGAGGAUUGUGAAAGAUUAGAACCAAUCGGGCGAAAAAUUGCACGCAAGUGCAAAGGCCUGCCUCUUGCUGCAAAGGUAAUAGGGAAUCUCUUGCGCUCUAAAAUUACAGUAAAAGAGUGGCAAAGAAUGUUAGAUAGUGAAAUGUGGAAAUUAGAAGAGAUUGGGCAAGGUCUUUUGGCUCCUUUGUUGUUGAGUUAUAACGAUUUGCCCUCCAAUUCGAUGGUAAAACGGUGUUUCUCAUAUUGUGUUGUCUUUCCAAAUGACUACAGUAUGAAUAAAGAAGAAUUGAUUAGUCUGUGGAUGGCUCAAGGCUACUUUAACGCAGAAGAAGACGAAGAAAUGGAGAUGAUUGGAGAAGAGUAUUUCAACAUAUUAGCAGCACGCUCUUUCUUUCAAGAGUUUAAAAAAGAUUAUUUCAAUGGUGAUUUUAUGUGGUGUAAGAUGCAUGACAUAGUACAUGAUUUUGCCCAAUUUAUAAGUAGAAAAGUAUGUCUGUGGCUAGAAAUUGAUGGUACCAAAGAAUCAGUCAUAAACUCUUUUGGUGACAAAGUCCGUCACUUAGGGUUAAAUUUUCAAGGAGGAGCUUCAUUUCCUAUGUCCAUUCAUGGACUUAAUAGAUUGCGUACCCUCUUAAUUUAUGAUAGAAGUCAUUUCAUUCCAUCUCUUAGUAGUAGCAUCCUUUCGGAGUUAUUUAAUAAAUUGGUGUGUUUAAGGGCAUUAGUUAUAAGGCAAUUUAACCUUUAAGUUUGCAUCCUGUGCCAGAUAGGAUUAGAGAAAUUCCAGAAAAUGUUGGAAAAUUGAUACAUUUAAAAUAUCUUAAUUUGAAUGGACUAUGUAUAAAGAGACUACCUGAGACUUUGUGUGAAUUAUAUAAUUUACAAAAGCUAGAUAUUAGGUGGUGCCGAAAUCUUAGAGAAUUGCCUGCGGGGAUUGGGAAGUUAAUGAACAUGAGGAGUUUACUGAAUUACGACACUCGUUCGUUGAAAUACAUGCCAAUAGGGAUUUCCAGAUUGACCAGCCUUCGAACAUUAGAAAAGUUUGUUGUGGGUGGAGGUGUUGAUGGCGGCAGCACGUGUAGGCUUGAAUCUUUGAAAAAUCUUCAACUCCUUCGUGAAUGUCGAGUAGAAGGGCUGAGUAAUGUAUCGCAUGUAGAUGAGGCUGAGAGGUUACAACUUUACAAUAAGAAAAACCUCCUUCGUUUGAAUCUCAAGUUUGGUAUAGCCGUAGAUGGGGAAGGCGAAGAAGGGAGGAGGAAGAAUGAGAAAGAUAAACAACUUCUUGAAGCCUUACAACCGCCUUUGAAUGUAGAGGAAUUACGGAUUUUGUCCUACGGAGGCAACAUGUUUCCCAAAUGGUUGACUUUGCUAACCAAUCGAAGGGAACUAAGGAUUGAUUUUUGUGAAAAUUUGCAAGAACUGCCAAUUCUAGAAGAUUGCAGGACAACAGACAUACCGCAUCUUUCUUUCUUGAUUAUUCAGAAUUGCCCCAAAUUAAAGGUGCUGCCGGAUUACCUUCUUCGGACGACGACGCUGCAGAAAUUGACAAUUUGGCGAUGUCCCCUUUUGGAAAACCGUUAUAGAGAGGGGAAAGGAGUAGACUGGCAUAAGAUAUCUCACAUUCCCCACAUCAAGUUGUCGCUGUGGAUGCCGUAAGAUAUCACUGGACGGUAAUUUCUCCUCCUCUGAUAUACUUCGUUGUUGCUUGCAAUGAAAUUAAUAAAAAUAAUUAUAUUUUGAAUUAAAAUUCUAUAUAGAAUCAAUCUUGGUAUAAAUAUGUAAAACUUCCUAGUUAUCAAAUCUGUUAGACUUGUUUUCUAUAUUUAUUUACUUUAAAAAAAUAUGUGCUCUUUUGUAAAAUUUGAUACAACAUCAUAGAAAAUCCCAAUGUAAUUUAUUUUUUAAUGUACGAAAAUUUGUUAUGUGUGACGUCCUGAGUGACAAAAUCUCCUUGAUACAUUUGCAGUAAUGUCGAAAACUAAAUUAUCAAUUUUAUCUUGUAUAAUGAUAAUCUUAUUUUUUUAUAUAUAAUUUACGUGACAUUAAUUCUUUAAAGUAAUUGUGUAAUUGUUUUUACUACAUUAGCCCACUUUGUUUUUUUUCAUACUUGUUUAAUUAUGUUCACCAGGGAUUCGAGGAAAUGUCAGAACUACACUAGCAAUUCACAGGUCCAAGCUAAUUUGGUUUUAAUGAUGCAGGCAGGAGAGCAAGACUAUGAAAAUGAAAAGUUUAGCCAAAGGAUUGCUAAAAUGUUCUGCUGGUAAUUCCCUUGCUUUAUUUUAUAGAAUUUCAUUUCUAUCUUCUUCUAUUGAUAUCUUGUUGUGAAUAAACAAGAACAGAGAGUAAAUGAUUGAACCACAGAGAAGUAAAGUAAUAUCAAAAUUCGCUAUUAUGAUGAUUUUAAAGCAAGCUCAAGCUCAAGCUUGCAUUUUUAUUUUAUUUUAUUUAUAGAACUUCCAUUUCCACCUGCAUUUCAUUUUUAUUAGACUCUAUGGAGCACAUUGGGGUAACCAAGGAUUAUCACUGUCGUUAUUGUGCAACGUUGGGUUGCUGGACUUUGAAGAAGGAAGCGAUGGCCGGGUCUGCUCUGUUUCAAUUGAGGAUGGAUAGCUGCCUGAAAGACAUGAUGAUUAUUAUUGCAUGAUGUUAAGGUGCUGAGAUCAUCAUUUCUAUCUUGUUUCAUUCUUGGAAUCGUUUAUCAUAUGCGUCAAUGGAGGCAGGUAUUUGGUGUUGACACUAUUAUGCAGGUAACCACACUUGAUAAUUUGCACAAAUUUGCGUUGUCAGAAUACCCUUUAAUAUUCAUUGUGUUUCUUUGUGUUAUCAGGUUAUCAUCUCCAAGGGUUUGAAAGAGCCUUUGCAGUUGUCAGAAUACCCUUUAAUAUUCAAUUAGGUACGUUUUGGUGCGGUCUCCCAAUGCUAAUAUCAUAUUUUGUAUAGCAAUUAAAAUUUAGCUAUACAAUUUUAAUAUGCAAUAAAUCAUUGUAUACAAAGUUUUUUAUUAAUUAUAUGGUGACUGAAAUUUUAAUUAUCAUAUCAAUUUAAAUUUUUUUGUAACUCUCUUUUACUUUGCUUGUACAGAGUACCUGUUUUGGCUGAUAUGUCUAAUUCGUAGAAAUUUAUUUCCAUCGGUUUCCAUUGGCUUUAGCACAAACAGAAACAGAGCUCUGGGGAAAAGUUUGACUUCUUGUGGUAUUAUGCCUUUGUUUCUUCAUUCAUCAUAUUUUUCGAAUUCAUGCUCUCAUUCAGAGGGUAAAGCCUUUUCAUGGCUGCUUUGUAGCCAAACUUUGACGCCAUUGAUGCAUGACUGUCAUUUAGAUUUUCCAAUAACGGUUAGAUUGGAGAAGAAUAAGAAGAUAUUGUUAAAAGGGUAUUUAAUUAGCGCCGUCUGAAUUUAGUUGCCAAUAAUGCAUUGAAAUAGUUGGGGAAAGUUAUUGUCUUAAUUAAAUUACAGGUGAUAAGAUGCUGCCUCAAUUUUGUAAGCAUCUCGUAUUGAGAAGAUUAAUUGUUGACAAGCCAAAUUUUAGGCAAAUUUUACCGUGAUUCUUGACAUCAUGGUAACACAGGUCAAAUUUUAGUAUCAAGACAUAUCUUCUUCUUUACUGUUCUGCCUCUAAAUAUUAAACUUUAGGCAAGUUGUUUUUGUUUGUGUAAGUUAUCAGGUUAAGGAUACCAAGCAGCUUAAUUGUUCACCACACCUGGUAGGAAUGAUCGCCAGGAAGAUUAAUUGUUGACAAGCCAAUUUUAUCAGUGUUAGAUUUUUUGCCUCCCUUUGAGAGAUAUCAUCAUCAAAUUUGUGUAGAGAAUCUUUGAAGAGAAUUUUGUUGUGAGAGUUUCACUGUAGUGAAUUUUGGGAGCUUGAACUCACUUGAGUGAGAUAAUAGAGUGUAUUGGGGAUUUGGGUUAUGAGUAAUCGUUAUCCUUCCAAUAUUUGCAAGCUCUUACUUGUUAGUAAAAUCAUCUUCGUAUAUUGACUCUGUUUCUUUGUUCCUUAUUUAAUUAGUUUCGAUUAUCAUAAUUAGUCACUCAUUCUGAAUUUUUCUAAUUUUAAAGUUCCUUAGGUCCGCCACCAGUUUUUCAAGUCUGCAUAUGGCUGCAAAAGAUCGAUGGUCAUAAAAUUAUCUUGAGCCUUGAGGCAUUGCGUUCGAGCUCACACUGUAACAGAGAUAAAGAUAAAGAAGACAGUAGAAGAUGCUCUAAACAUAACAAAAGUAUAUUUCUACGUCUUGUGGUUGCUUUAAUUUACUUUUGUUUCUUCUGUCAUCAUAUUUGAUUAAUUCGUUCGAAUUCACACUCUCACAUUAUUUAAAACUAUUUGUAGGUGGCUUGCAAGCUAGUUACGUUAAUGCAAAAACAAUACUCUAGACAAAGAUGAGCAAAUUAAAGGUGAUAAAUGCAAAUUGAAUGUCCAUGAAUAAUUGUUAGGCCGGUGCUGAUAAAUUGCUUCAAAGCAAGCAGCAUCUUCUGCUGCGAAGGCUUUCCCCACAUGAUAUGUUGUGAUUGUUACCGGCCCCGUAUUUAUUAACUCAGGUCAGUAUUAUCUUCUUCAUCAUUUUGGCUAUAUAUAAAGAUUAAAAUUUUGAACACUUGUCUCGGUUUCUUGUGUAAUCAGGCUAAUAGAGCAAAUGUUUACUGUCUAAGCACUAAUGCGACAAUCCCAUCUGUAAAUUUGGGCCAUCUUUGAUGUCUGACAGGUAAGCUGUGACAAUCCCAUCUGUAAGUACUAAUGCGCUUGGUUAUAGUGCUUUCAUUGGACUAUAUGCAAACAUGAGAUAUCAACUAUUGUGUGGAUUUGAUAGAGCGGUCACCAACCAUUUUGAUGUUAUUGGAGUAGCACUGUUCUUAAGCACGGCUUUGAGGUCUCUCCGUCUCUCUUUUACGUAUUUGUCUAUUGAUCGACAUCUCUAUAUAUACAUUGAUAGACCAAAUUACUCUUGCUUUAAUGUUAAUGUGGUUCCUAUAAAAGUGUAUAUAAAUCUAUCACCUCAAAGUCUGAUUUCAAUUUUCCUUUACUUAAUCAACUAGCAUCCUUUCCAAGUCCAGAUACUUACCAAUAGUGAGACUUUGCUACGGAAGUACAAUUUCUCUUGUUUUAUAGUUAAGUAUGUAAGAAUAGUUUCAAAUUUACAAAUUUCUGAUAUAGUUCUCUACGGAAAUGCGAGUGGUGAAUAUGGUUCCAACUUUUAAUAGGCUUAAUUGGCCCAUUUGUUCAGCCACAGUGAUUGCGGUCUGAAUUCUUCUUUACUGUCUCUAUGUGUUGGAGUUUGUCUAUUGUCCAACUUCUCCAAUGGAUUCCAUGCAGGGUUUUGAAUGUCUAAUUAGGAGAAAUCAACGGAUGACCUUUUGAAGAAGGCUUACACAACAGGCCAUCUCAGGAUGUCAUGGCUCAGCUCAAAAGUCCCCAGGUGGUUGAUACCAAAGAGUGCCAUUGUUUCUGGGCUUGGGCUCCUUGGCGUCAAACAAGAUAAUGGGAAAUAGGGGCAACUAAAGCGCGAAGAAAGAGGAUGGUCUGGAGGAAGGUGUCUGCAUAAAUUUGUUGGAGUUGAUGUAGUCAAUUGCCCAAUUUUGCUGCCUGUCGAAGAGACACAGCAUGGAAGUCCUCAUCAAACUCUGAGACACCUAAGAAAUAGUAUGAGGUGGUGGUAUUCCCCUGGUGUUAAUUUCCUGGCAAGUGUGGUUCACAGAUAGAGGGAUUCUUUUCUUGAUGUCUAAAUACCAAAUGUGAUGCAACGUCGUAUAUUCUAAGAUAUUAAAUUCUAUUUCAGAUUUCUCAUAUAGUGUCGUUGUCACUUCUGUGGUACACUUUUGAUCGCAAAUUUCCAUUUGAAGUAGCCGAUAUUCUUUACAGACUAAUUAUCUAAUGAUUAUUUUGUACAAAAAAAAUCAAAACUUUAAUUAUUUGAUCAUACUCAACUUAGGUCUUAUUCGAUAUUACUAGUUGUUAAUGUGUAAUAAAUGUAUGACUUUUAAAUAAUAAUUUUAAUAAAAAUAAUAAAGAUAUUAUAAGUUUUUUUUUAUAAUAAAGUAUGAGAUCAAAUCAAAUUAAUUUUGAAGUCACAAUAGCAAAUGUUUACCAAAACUAUUUAAUUAUAUGACUUAAAAGAUAUAGUUGUCCAAUCCCAACAAUAUAUAUAAAGAUUUACCAAACUUUACCCGACUUUAGUUGUACCCACUUGAUUAUGUAAGUCCAUUCUCCACGCGCUUGACCAUAUGAGAUGUUACUCAACUUUAACAAAUCUUACUUAAACUUUGCACGUUUGACAUGUUGGAUGAAAUAUAGCAUAUGAUGUGAUAGAAUACAAUAGGAAUGGUUGUAACAAGAUUAUAAUUAGUACUAGUUUGUAUUUUAUGUGAUGUAGAACGCAUUAUAUUACAACUUUUAGUGUUAUACUAAUUAAAAAUUUGAAUUAUUUUAUUAUUGUAAAAAUUUAAUAUCUUAAAUAACAGUUAUUUUAAUUAAGUAUUUUUGUUGCAAUGAAUUAUACUUUUUUAAAUAUAAUUGAAAAUUCUUAUUACUAAACUAAUAAAAAAUUAAUUAUUUGAGUUAUCUCCUAAACUACUUAGCUUACGAGAUAAAUUCACUUUGUUUAGAAUGAAACGGAUUACAUUUAGUACUAUUUUGUAUUUUAUGUGACGUAGUGUAUGAUUCAAUUAUAUUACAAAUUUUAUUGUAAUAAAAAAAUUUUGAAUUAUUUUAUUAUUGUAAAAAUACAAUAUCUUAAAUAACAAUUAUUUUUAUUAAGUAUUUUUUAAUGAUUUAAAAUAUAAUUGUAAAUUCUUAUUAUUAAACUAAUAAAAAAUUAAUUAUUUGAGUCAUCUCCUAAACUACUUAUUUCACGAGAUAAUUUCACUUAGUUUAGGAUGAAACGGUGGGUUAUUUUUAUGUGGGAGCCACAUCCUUUCCAUAUGAGAUGUUACUCAACUUUAACAAAACUUACUCAAACUUUGCACGUUUGGCAUGCCGGAUGGAAUAUGAUAGUAUAUGAUGUGAUAGAAUAUUAUAUGAUUAGAUGUAAUAGGAUUAUAUUUGGUCUUGUUUUAUAUUUUAUGUGAUCUAGUAUAUGAAUGGAUUAUAUUACAAAUUUUAUUGUUAUAAUAAUUAAAAUUUUGAAUUAUUUUAUUAUUGAAAAAAUAAAUAACAGUUAUUUUGAUUAAGUUUUUUUUUUCUGUUGAAUUAUAGUUUUAAAAUAUAAUCCAAAAUUUUUAUUACUAAACUAAUAAAAAAUUAAUUAUUUGAGUUAUGUCCUAAACCAACUUAGCUCACGAGAUAAAUUCACUUAUUUUAGAACGAAACGGCGGGUUUUAUGUGGGAAGCCACAUCCUUUCCAUAUCAACCUCAACAUCCAAACAUGAAAUUGGACUAAGAAUAGUUCUUUCCCAUGUAUUUACGUACCCUCCUGCCACUAAACGUAAUUGUAUAUUUUGGACCUUAUUUGACUUGAUUUUAUUAACUUAAUUUUCUCCAAUUUCCAUUGUCGACGUUGAGUGCAUGUAAUUAAUCCACAAGUUUUGAUUGAGCAGAAAUAGCCAAAAAAAACUGAUGAUAUGAUAAUAGCAAAAAAUCUAAUGACACCCACGUCCAAAGAUGCCGUUGUCACAAAGGCCUGGACGCCAUACCUCGAACCCAUCCCCUUUUACCAUGAGUGAUGAUACAGCCACAAACUCUUAUACAAACUUAUUUUAUACAAACUAAUGUGACAUCAAUUCAAUGGUUGAAUGAAAAUAUAAAAUAAUGAAAGUAAAUCAUGUGGGCCAAGAGAUAUUUAAUUUAACCAAUAAAUUGACGCCACAUAAGUUUGUACAAAAUAAAUUUGUAUAAGAGUUUGUGGCUGUAUUACUGUAUUAUUACUCUUUUACCAUAUUUUAUAAUUAAAGAGGUCAUUGUUUGAAAGAAAAGAAUGACAUGUUGGUAUGAAAUUACGUUAAAAUGAAUAUAUCACUUUUUUUUUUGUGUGAGUGAUGGCUUCGUUUAAUGACAAUUGGCAGACAAUGAAUCAUCUUUUAAUUUUAGUUUUGAUUUAAUAAAAAAUAUUAAUUUUUGUAGUUUCGGUAGAUGAAAUUUCGAAUCAAAUAUUAAUAUCGUUAAAGUACGCAACUCAAUAUUUACUUAAAUCAGAAAAAAGAUUAAUUGCUUUACAUGAAAAAGAAAAGAAAAGAAAAGAGUGAUCACUUGAUUUAACUUCCUUUACUAAAUUUACGAUUUAAAAUCUAAAAUGGAAAAAGGAAAACAAGUUUUGGAAACACACUCGGAGUUUUAAAUUGAUAUGAAAAAAGAGUUUAUUAUUGACAAUCUUUUUCCCAAAAUUUAAGCUAAGACAACAAUAUGUCCAAAAUACCCUCCACAUUAUCCCAAAACUUUAUAAACUCCCCCGUUCCUCUCAACAUCAUCUCUUCCAAAUCUUUCUUCCCCCCAAAAACCAGCCAUGGCUUCAUAUUCAAUUACCUCAACACUCCAAUAUUGGCUUGUAAACCACCCCCAAAUCCUCAACUUCACAUGGACUCCGAACCAAACACUAGCUUCCUCCCCACACUUCCUCAUUCUCUCCAUCCUCACUUACCUCUCCCUCACAUUCAUCCUCUACCACGCAUCAACAUCAACAUCACCACCUCUCAUUGGACCCCACAUCCUCAAGCCCAUCACAGCCGUCCAUAACCUCACCCUCUUCGUCCUCUCCCUCAUCAUGGCCGUUGGUUGCACUCUCUCCAUCAUCCUCCAUUUACCCUACCUCCGUUACACCCUUUGUUUCCCCACUACCAUUUCUCCGUCUGGCCCUCUCUUCUUCUACGCUUACAUCUUCUACCUCUCCAAAAUACUCGAAUUCUUUGACACCCUUUUGAUCAUUUUAUCAAACUCCAUCCAACGGCUCACGUUCCUCCACGUCUACCACCAUCAACCGUCGUUGUAAUGUGCUUCCUUUGGUUACAGACGAAGCAGUCUUUGUUUCCUAUUGCAAUUGUCACCAAUGCAAGUGUGCAUGUGAUCAUGUACGGGUACUAUCUAUUGUGUGUGAUGGGGUUGCGGCCAAAGUGGAAGAGAUUGGUCACUGAUUGUCAGAUUCUUCAGUUUGUGUUUGGUUUUGCUGUUUCGGUUUUGAUGCUGUAUUAUCAUUUCACGGGUUUUGGUUGCUCUGGGAUUUGGGGAUGGUGCUUCAACGUUGUGUUUAAUGCGUCCCUUUUGGCACUUUUUGUUAAUUUUUAUUCCAAGAGCUAUGCUAAGAAAAAGAAGCAGGGAUGAUCAAAGUGCUAUGAUUGUUUUGUGUUUUCUUUUUUAAUUUAUUUGAUUUUGGUUAAUUAUGAAUGGUGGUAAUUGGUUGAAUGCAAUUGAAGAGAUGCUUUCAGUUGCCUAAACUUUGUUUUUUCAAUUUUUGUUAUAGAUGUCAUAUGUCACCACAUUUUUUUAGUCUCUCCCUUUAAAAUUCCCUCACACAAACUUCGGAUUUGUAUUUUGUAAACUAGAAUUUUUCAUUUUCGUUAAUGUGUUAGCUGUUAUUAUCUACAAUUAUGUCAUACGACACACAUGUCACAUCAACUAAAAUUAGAUUAUGAAUUUUGGGCACAGGGCCAAGUCCCACCGUUUGGUAGGAAAUAAGUGUUGGAUCAUAAACUUGAUCCAAGAUAAAUAAAUUCAACCUUAACUCAUGGAAGGUUCCAUGAGUAGGUAUGGUUAGUGAGGUUUGAAUUAUUUGUGUUAGGUGUGGUAGGUGUGGUUGGUGAAGUAGGUGAGUGGUAGGUUUUAAUGGAUGGUGAGUAUUUGUGUAUUAGUUGAAUAAAUGAAUGGUUGUGAUUAGUUUGUUUCAUGGAUAAAUACCCCCUCUCCCCUUUGGUUUAAAUAUCAAGUGAAAUAACAAAAUCUCUAAGGUGUAGAGAGUGAAAAAUAAGAGUUGUAAUUAGUGAGGAGUGUUGUUGAAGAAAUAAAAUAGUGUGUUUUAUUUGUUAACUCUCCAACAAAGUGGUAUCAAAGCUAGUGCUUGAUGCUAUAUAUUGUCAUAUAGCAUAUCAAAUCGAAGAUCUCGAUGAGAGGAACGUGACGCCGCAAAAAUCAUCCUGACCAAAGACCAGACGCGCCCAAGCUCGCCGUCAGAAUUUUUCUGUCCUGAAGCUGAGUCGACUCACCGAGUUGAACCAACCUGAGUCGAGCCGAACUGAACCGAAUCAAGUCGAACCAAGCCAACUGGAGUUGAACCAAUCCGGACCGAACCAAGACUACUAAGCCAACGCUGACCGUUGACUGAAAGUUGACUCAAGUUCUUCCCAAGGCUUUUCGACGUGCCGGAUCCAUCUGUGCUUUCAGAAUCUCCAAAUUCUCACUCAAUUUGUGAGUUAUGGAAAACGGUGGUCUGAUGUCAUUUCAAGUUCCACAAUUAAAGAGAAGUAAGUUUGACAAUUGGAGUAUUAAAAUGAAGGCUCUAUUGGGUGCACAUGACGUAUGAGAUAUCAUGGAAAAAAAGCUUUAUUGAGCCAGAAAAUGAAGCCACUUUAACUGCGGCAUAGAAUGAGAAUUUAAAAGACUUGAAGAAGAAAGAGAAUAAAGCAAAGUAUCUCAUCUUUCAAUCAUUAGAUGAAGAUGCCUUUGAAAAGAUUGCUGGUAAAACGUGAGAAACUAGAGACCUCUUACAAAGGAGCGAAGAAAGUUAAGAAGGUUCAUCUCCAAAUAUUCCGAGGAGAAUUUGAGUCCUUACACAUGAAGGCGUCGGAGUCAAUUUCUGAAUACUUUACUUGGGUUGUGACCAUUUCUAAUGAAUUAAAAAGAAAUGGCGAGGAGUUAAAAGAGGUAAGGAUCAUUGAAAAAAUACUUCGAUUAGUAUACUCGAAGUUUGACCAUAUUAUUGUGACAAUUGAGGAAACAAGAGAUCUAGAGGAUAUGACGAUCGAGCAACUUUAAGAAAGGUUGCAAGUCUAUGAAGAAAAACAAAAAAAGAAGCAAGGAAUCGAAGAACAACUUCUCAAGAUGGAGGUCAAUCCAAAGAAAAGAAAAGAAAGCUCCGACAACGGAAGAAGGCAUAUUUAUCUCCCAAGAAAGCUAUACAAAGGAGAUUCUAAAAAAGUUCAAGAUGAAUGAUUGCAAGCCUAUAAGCACGCCAGUGGAAUGUAGAGUCAAGUUAUCUAAACAUGAUGAAGGGGAAGAUAUAGAUCCAACAUUCUUUAAAAGUUUAGUCGGAAGCCUACGUUAUUUGACAUGCACCAGACCAGAUAUCCUUUAUGUUGUUGGACUUGUGAGCCGAUACAUGAAGAAUCCAAAGACCACCCAUUUUAAAGCUGCAAAAAGAAUCCUUUGCUACAUCAAAGGUACAACUAAUUUUAGCUUGUUAUACUCAUUUUCUAAUGACUCCAAGCUUGUUGGAUAUAGCGAUAGCGAUUGGGGUGGAGAUGUAGAUGAUCGAAAGAGCACCACAGGAUUUGUGUUCUUCAUGGGAGAUACUGCUUUCACAUGGAUGUCAAAGAAGAAAACAAUUGUCCUGCUAUGCACCUAUGAAGCUGAAUAUGUAGCUGCCACAUCAAGUGUUGAUAAUAAUUUGGCUCAGAAAUUUGUUGAAGGAAUUAGGUUUGCCACAAAAAGAGCCAACCGAGAUUUGUGUUGAUAACAAAUCAGCAAUUGCCCUAUCCAAGAAUCCAAUCUUUCAUGAUUGAAGCAAACACAUAGACACUUGCUAUCAUUUCAUAAGAGAAUUUAUUACAAGAAAAGAAGUGCAAGUCAAGUAUGUAAAAUCACAAGAUCAAGCAGCUGAUAUCUUCACUAAGCCACUCAAGCAAGAAGACUUCGUAAAAUUCAGAAGUUUGCCUGGUGUCACAGGAUCAAGUUUAAGGGGGGGUGUUGGAUCAUAAACUUGAUCCAAGAUGAAUAAAUUCAAGCCCAACUCAUGGAAGGUUCUAUGAAUAUGUAUGGUUGGUGAGGUUUGAAUUAUUUGUGUUAGGUGUAGUAGGUGUGGUUAGUGAAGUAGGUGAGUGGUAGGUUUUAAUAGAUGGUGAGUAUUUGUGUAUUAGUUGAAUAAAUGAAUGGUUGUGAUUAUUUUUGUUUCAUGUAUAAAUCUCUAAGCUGUAGAGAGUGAAAAAUAAGAGUUGUAAUUAGUGAGGAGUAUUGUUGAAGAAAUAAAAUAAUGUGAUUUUUGUGUGUUUUAUUUGUUAAUUCUCCAACAAUAAGGAGCAUUAAUGAAAUAUGUUUAAUUAAGUAAUAAUUUGUUAUUUUAGAGUGAAAAAUAAGGGUAAAUUGUAUUCUACCCCAUAUUAGAUUGACAAACUUCAAUUUACCCCUUAAAAGUACAAAAACUUCAACUUAUCUCCAAAUACCAUUUUCUUCCCGUUAAAUUUAACUAUCGAAAGUAUAAAAUUAUAGUCUUACAUUCUCUCAACAGUCAACUCAUGGAUAAGAAGUCAAAACAUAUAUAUAAGGUAAUUUCCAUAAAACCCAAUGUAGGGGCGGGCAAUUGUUUGGUUUAGAAGUUAGGAACCGAAUGGUUUGAAAACAAAUGAACUGAUUGGUUUAUAUUUGGUUUACUUUGAACUGACAAACCGAUUGGUUCGCUUAAACUUAAUUAAAAAUACAUUUAUUUUAAAAUAUAAAUGCUUAAAAUAAUUUUUUUUUUCAUUUUUCAGUUUCCUAAUCUAAAAAUGUUUCAUAACCCUAAAUCAGCCGCCAUCUCUCUCAAGGUCGACGGCGGCACAACAAGCUCUCUCGGUCUCUCCCUCGCAAUCUCAUGGUGAUUGAUUUCUCGUGAUGUCUCCACUUUUGUUUCUUGUUCUUGUGUGAUCGAAUUCUCUCUAUACACACAUAGCCUAGCCUCUUGUUUUUUGGCUCAAUGGAGUUUCGUUUCUUUUCUCUCAGUUUCUUUCCUGUUGAAUUCUCGUGAUGUUUCUAUUUUUUUCUUUUUUUUUAGACAUGUUUUCGAAAUUGGCAUAAUACGAACCAAACCUGAACUGAAUUUCAAAAUCAAAUCGAAUUGAACCAAACUGAAAUUUUUAUGUUCGGUUUGGUUCGAUUAAAAAAUUUGGUAUGCGUUCGGUUCUCUUUCUUACGAACCAUUGGGUUUUAGUUCGGUUCGGUUUUGGUCUAGAAAAGAACUAACUAGAACCGAACCAAACCAAACCAAACCAAACCAUUUACUGGCCACCUUGCUCAUAUGUUUCAACAAAUUUCAAUGCACACUUAAACAUUUCAAUAAAAUUCGCUUUGUACCCAAAUUGAUAAUUUUUACUUUUUAAUUAGUUAAUUGUUAACUGCAGAAGUAUAAAAAAUUAUUUCUUUUUAAAAUAAGAAAAAUAAUUUUUUUCUAACUUUUUUCCUUUUUUAUUUUCUAGUUAAUUUCUUUAUCUGGUUCGGUUCAUUUUUCCCUUUUUUAUUUCUUACUGUUUUCCGCAUGUUCUCCACGCUUGAACUUUGCCAAGCAUCAUAAGGCCACAGUAGCCAUGCCAGCAACUUGCAACUAGGGGUGGGCAAAAAAACCGUAGUCUUAAAAAAACCGAACCGAACCGACGGUUUUUUCUAAUUCGGUUCGGUUUUUAUUUUUUUAAAAAACCGAAUAUACCGUUUGUAAAAAAAACCGAAAUGUCGGUUCGGUAUUCGGUUCACUUAGCUGAACCGAAAAACCGAACCGAAAAACCGAAUUAUUUUUUGAUUUUAUUCAAAUCAAACAUGUGUUAAUAAUUUUAUUCAAAUCAAACAUGUGUUAUUUCUCUUUAUAACAUUAUGAUUAUGUUUAUAUAGAUGGAGUAUUGGAGUUUGGUUAUAUAUUUUGAAAUUUUAAUAUUUCAUAUAUUUGGGAGUAUCUUAUUAAUAGUUAGUAAGAUAUUAGUGAUAAAAUGUGUUUUGAAUACUUUGUAUUUAUUGUUAAUAUUUGUAAUAAAAUUAGGAUAAAUUAAUUGUUGAAAAAAAUUAUUACAUUUAUGAGGCCCAAUGGGCUAAAAAUUUUAAAAUUCAAAAUAGGCCUAAUAGGCCCAGAACCGAAAAAACCGAACCGAACCAAACCGAUCUGAAAAGAACCGUUUGAGUUCGGUUCUUAUUGAGUUUGGUUCUUAUUCGGUUCUUUUUAUAAAAUAACCGAUUUAAAUCGGUUCUACUUAAUUUCGAACCGAACCGAACCGAACCGAACCGAACCGUGCCCACCCCUACUUGCAACAAAGUUUAGAGCUGCGCGAUGGUUGCAGCAACGUUAACGCCGCUAUUCCAAGUCUUGGCCCAUCAUCUCCUUUUCAACAAAUCUUAGCUUCUUCCCAAAUUCAUCAAUGAACCCCAAAACCAGAAUAAUCAUUAAAAUUAUUAACAACCAUUUGCUUGGAUCAAUGUAUGCUUGGCAUGUCUAUGGGCUUACUUGGAAUGGUCGCUGAUGGCCAUGGGCUUGCUUGGAUUGGCCGCGCACAGCCAUGGGCUUGCUUGGAAUGCCGGUACCCGUUUGCCACGGUUUUGCUAGCGUAUCCAUGGGUUUUGUUGGACAUGGCAGUGCGAGGCCAUGGGUGUUGCCGGACAAUGGACAUGGGUUUUGCUGGGCUGAUUAGGAAUUAACAGAGGCUAUGGAGUUGUUCAGUGUGUGAAAGAGAAAAAAACAUGAACGAAGAAGAAUAUGAACAGGGAAUAGAACGAAGAAGAUGAAGAAAGUAGAAGAGAGGGAAAAAAUAUUUUGCUUUUUUAUAAAUUUUCGGAUUUUUAUUUCAAAAUUUAUAAUUUUUGUUUAAAUUUGAGAAUCUUAAGGGUAAGAUUUUCUUUGUAACUAUGUGUAGAAGGAGGUUUUCAGAUGGUUUUUGGUUGGGUUAACAUGAAAUAUGCUUGUUUUAUGAAAUAUUAUUAUUGAGGUUUUGUUUUAUUUUCUAAAAAAUAGAUUAGAGGAUGAUUUUCAUUAAUGACACCCAUAAAGUUUGAAUUAGUUAUAUUAUAGAAAUAGUAGGGAUUUAAAUGAUAUAUCUUUUCAACAUAAAUAUAUCAGUAACAUAAGUUAUUCUAUAAUUAACAGGGUAUUAUCGUAUUUUAGUGAGUCAUUAUUGGUUGAUAGUUAUAUUUAACAGAUUUUAGACAGUAAAUUGAAGUUUAUUUUUUUUAUUUUUGAGUAAAUUAAAAUAUGUCAAUCUCAUAAGGGGUUAAAAUAUAAUUUAUCCAAAAAUUAGUGUUAAAAUUUUAUAGAUGAGUGUAUAUUAAGAUGUUCAAAGUAUUAGAACAUAAAUAAUCUUAGUUUUAAUAAAAUUUUGCCACAUAGUGAAUAUUAUCCUCAACCUCAAGAGAAACAUAUCAAUAAAAUAUACAAAAAUAGAAUGCAUUAGUACAUGUCAAUAACAAGACCAAUUAGAUCAUGUCAUAUUUGUUAUGUAGUUAUUUAAGCUAAUAGAGUAAGAAGUCCCAAAUACAUGUACAUCAUAUCUUGGUGAAGAAAUCGGUUCUACCCGAAAUACUUCUUCGUAUUGAAAUCAAUGAUGAUUGCUUGUUUAAAUAAUGAAAGUUAAAAUAAUUUUGUAAAUAAUUUCAUUCUUUAAUUUACGGUAUACAAAUAAAUUCAAAAAAUGUUAAUUUCUCUCAUACUUUUAGGACCCAAAAAAUAACAAAAAGUCUUAACAUAUUUAAUGGUUAUAUAUAAAUCAUCCGUACGUAUUUUUCUUGAGAGAAGCUCAAUUCGAUAGACAAUGCUCCCCUUAAUUUUCUUUUCUAAUUAGAUAAAAGAACAAGAGAAAUUGAUUACAAGAAUAACAAACUUUAAUUUACUUCUUAAAGGGUAAAAACCUUAAUUUACUUCUUAAAGGGUAAAAACCUCAAUUUGUCCUUAUAUUUGUUCAAAAGAUACAUUUUGUCUUCUUAAUAUAAACAAGUUAAAUUGAUGUUUCACAUCUUUUAGAAAUAAAUUAAAGAUUGUUAUUUUAAGUAGGAGGUAAAUUUCAAAUAAAACAUGUGUUCAUAUGAUAGAUGUGCAUUUUACAAUAAUUAAUAAACAAAAGGGUAGUGAUAUUUUCAACCUGUAAUUUUUGUAAAUCCACCCCCACUCCCAAGAAAUAAUUACAAUAAAUUCACAUAACUUUUUUAAAACUCAAAUAAAGAAAAAUUUUGGAGAUUUAAACUAUUGUAUACAAGAGGAUAAGAGUAAAUAUUUUUCAUGCAGUAUAAAAAGAAUGCGACAGCUCCUUUUCUUUCGGUAUUUUCACAACAAAAGCACACUUAAUAACUCAUCAAAUUAUUUCUCCUUUUCUUUGAUCGCUUCCCCUCUCCUGGAGCUGCUGAACUCCUUUGUUGCUGAUGAAGGGAACAAGUGAGGCUUUUCAAAAGAGGGCAAAGAGAUGGUGAUUCGAUUUGAUUCGAUAAUAGUAGUUUAUUUUAAUUGUUAUUCAUUUGAUUUCAUAGAAGUAAUUUUUAUUUUCAUUUUUUUGUUGAAAAUUGGUAAAAACGAACUAAAAUGAGAUAAUUACAUUAAAACAAUCUUCAAUGACUAAAGUAAUUUGAAAAAAUAAAAAUAAAAAUAAACAAGCUCAAAAUUUACCCCUAAUCCGAACAUUAUCCGAAUUCAGCCUAAUUGACCCAAAUCUAAUUGUAAUCCAAACUUGACAUGACCCGCAUAUAAUUAUAACCCGAUCAGAUCCAAACUCGACCUGAAUUUUUAAUUCAAUACGAUCCAAUCCAAAUAUUCCAAUCCCAUCAAAAUGAAACUUGAUUGGGUUGAUCCGAACCCGAAUUUGCCACUUCCGGAGGAGACCAUGACCCUAAAGGCUUUGAAAUAAUCUUUGCGGUUUCUUAAUGAAAUAGUAAAAGUUAUGCGCAAAAAGACUGUUUUGACCCUAGAAUACAUGAUAUAUAAAUUUCAGACAUUAUAUUCUGUGAAAUAAAGUCAAAGUAAACUGGUUGUUUGAUUUUUUAUUAAUUAUUUUCCAUUAUGACAAAAUGACAAAUAGACUUUAUUAAAAGUUUAAUAAAGUUUGGGCCUAACUCCUUGAUUUUUAUUUUUUUUAAUUAUUUUUCAUUUUGUUUUUUACUUGCAACAUUAGCUUUAAUUAUCAAUAGUCUCCAAAUCAAAAUGACUGCAACCUGUAGCUACAAGCAAAAUUCUCAAAUUUUGAAAUUUCUAACGACUACAUAAGAGCUAUAAAUAGAAAAAUCAUCUAAAAUUAAUCCUCCUUCAGAGGCAGAUUAAAUUCUUAGUAAUUUCAUAUAAUUUCAUUUCAUCAGAACAAUUUUCCAAAAGCAAUUUUAUAAAUGGUUGUCGAAAGCUUUAUCCCUUAAUUAUAUGUCACGUAUUUUCUUUGUGAUAUGAGGCGUGUCCAUAGACCAUAGUAUGAUAUUUAUUGUAAUUAAAAUCAUUAUGGAACUGAUUUUAUUCUUGUUUCUCAAACAAAAUAUCUAACUGCAGAUGUAAUAAAUUACUAAUUACCAUUAUUUGAGUCGCACUCUUUGAAUUGGAUCUUGGAGUUUCGAAUGACCAAAUGAAUUAGUGAGAUAAUGGCUUUUGCUUUUGUCUACCUGAUAAUAAAAUUUGUCCACCAUAUAGACAAGAAAUGGAUCGGAUCCAUAUGCUAUAGCUAAAUUGAAAAAUUUAUGUGGAGUUUUAUUGUAAGACAUUUUUAUCUGAAUAGAAAAAAUAAAUUUUUUUUAUUUUUAUCUAAAUGAUAAAAUAUCUGAAUAAAAAAUCAGUUUUCUUCUCACAAAUACCCUCAUUAAAUAUAUUUAUUUUCUACUUAGCUAUUAGAUGUCAUAUUAGAAUUUCCUUUGAUCUCAGAUUUUACUUGGUAUUAAAUACUUAAUCUGCGUUCGAUUCGAAUUUAGACAAAUUCUUUUGUCAUUAGAUAACAACGUUUUUACUGAAUUUGAUGUUCAUACAGAAACAGUCAAGUCCUUGUUGACUGAAAUUGGCAUUUCUCUUGUCUCUGCUCCUAUCAUUUGGUGUGAUAACCAAAGUGCAGCUGCCUUAGCAAGUAAUCCUAAAUUCCAAGAACUUAAAUUUAACUCUAAUAAAAGCUCAAAGUUAGUUAUGUUCCAAGUUCUCAUAAGUCAUAACUCAUCUGAUAUCCUUACUAAAGCUUUAGCUUAUCACCCUUUUCAUUAUCUGAGAGACAAGCUCACCCUGACUUCACUAGGCUGAGCUUGAGGGGAGAUGUUAAGAGUAUAAGCUGAAGCUGCUGAGCUGGCUGGUGACGUGCUGACGGUGUUGAGUUGACUAAUGUUUUGUAACUAAGUUGCUGAGCUGGAUUGGGUUGUUAUUUGCACUGAAUAAGUUGUAACGAAUUGUCCAGCUGGCUUGUUAUGAUUGGAAGGCUAAUUAGUUUGUUAAUAUUGCAGCUUUGAGCUCUGUUUCUGUAAUCAGUUUUGAGUGUAACUAUAAAUAUCACGCUCAUAAUGUAUGAUUUCAGCUUUAAUCAAUAAGAAUCUGUGAUUGUUCCAGAAACUUCAUAGUCAAAUUUUCUUUCUUAAUUUUCUUUCACUUUCUCUCGUGCCAAACACCUUAUUGAUUCAAAUAAAACUCCAUCCAAAGGCUCACGUUCCUCCACGUCUAUCACCAUGCAACCGUCGUCGUAAUGUGCUACCUUUGGUUACAUAGUAACCAUGUUAAAUUGGAUUUUCUAUAUGAUAUUAUCGUUAGCUUCAUUGUUUAAAUAUACCGUUAGUGAAAGAAUCGUUCGUGAUUAGGUACUUUACAACUACAACACGAUAAGCAAUCAAAGUUACAUGAAAGAAUCAGUAAUUAGUAGUUAGGUUAGAGGUGAAACGUGCAUGUUACAGGGAAGUAGAAAACAUGUCAAGUUGUUAUCAUAAAGUGAAUAUCCAAUUUAAGAAGAUAAUAACUGGAUUUUGAAUUCAAUUUCACUCUGUUUUAGUAGUAUGUAUUAUAUCUCACGAAUAUGAUAUCAGUGAAAAAUGUAUAAGUUAUGGGCUUUGAAUUUAUAUUAAUGCAUAUAUACUAGCUAUGAAAAUGACGAAUUCUAAACAGAUUUUGCUAUUUAACAAGUAAUUAAGAGGUCUAGCAAUCAAUUAAUAAAAAAGUAAUUCAAUAUAACAUUGCUACAAAGAAAUUAAACUAUAUAUAACAACUAUUUCAAUGAGACUAAUGAUAAUUAUAUCUAAGGUUUGAUCGAACAAACGGGCAAGAACAGCAAAAGCUAAUCUUAAUUUAGAAAUUUUUAUAAGGGGGGAGGAUUGUAAUAUACGCACUUGGACUUUCUUAAUAAAGUGCUGAUUUUUAUUUUCCUCUUCUCUAUUAAUUUUUAAUUUCGUCACUAUAGUUUAAUUGGGAUAAAUUGAGCUCGAUUAUACGCGCCGAUGGUCGGAUUUUAUUUUCGUAACGGGUCUGAAAUUCGCUUAAUUUGUAUUAAGCUUAAAAAAAAAAAAAAAAAAAAAAAAAAAAAGAGGGGCAGAAUUGUAUAACUGGAAAGAGGGAAACGGGUUUUCCAUUUUAGAGAGAAAGAACCCGAGAAGAGAGAGAAAGAUAGAGAGAGAAGUCAGACCCGUUGACCCGAGAACCCGACCCAGUAACCCGCGGAUUGACCCGACGAUUUCUCCCAACUCCAGCCACUUUACCGGCCGUGCUUGGUACCGAUCUGAAGCUUGGAAGCAGACCAUCGUAUCCCUGCUGUUAUCGUCGCCGGAAACUGGCCAGAACGCCGGUGAUCGAGCUCGAAAAGUCGCGGCUUCGACCCGUUUUCGUUGCCGUUGAUCCCGCCGGAGUUGUGACGCGCCACCACUUGGAACUGGUUCCUCACAUCCCCAGCAACAUUUCCCGACCAGCAACGACCGCCGGGGACGCCCGGAACUCGCCGAAUGAUCUCCGAAAAUUUGCGGAACUUUGGAACUUCGAUCCGCCGCCGGUAGCGCGCGUGGCGACUCACUGCCACCACCGUUGGAUUCAUCGAGGCCGGAACUAGCAGACCUAAGCUCCCCGUCAUCGUUGACUGAAGUCCGGUCACCGUUGACCGGCAGGGGCAAUUCGGUAAAUUCAUGAAACUUUGGGGUGAAUUUGUAAUUUUAUGUAAUCAGUGGACAUUUCGGUAAUUUUAUGCCCUGAGGGUAAUUUCGUAAUUUCGGACAAUGUGAUUAAUUUAUGUAAUCUGAAUUGAGGACAAUAUGGGUAUUAACGAAUAUGAGGAUAAUUUGGUAAAAUCAUGAAGUUUGAGGAUAAGUUGGUAAAAUAUUGAUGUUGGGGUAUUUUGGUAAUUUUGGCCUAUAGGGGCAUUUUGGUAAUUUUAUACAUGCGGGACUAGUUUAUCGUUAAUAGAUAUUUGUUUCGAGAUUUAUUAUAUUAAUUGGUUUUUACGGAGAAUAAUUAUGGUGUUUUCCGUGAUUAGGAGGAUCCGCAUCCGCGAACGAGAAUCUACCCGCGGACGUUGUUGAUACUGAGUCUAGACAUCAUCACUGUGAGUGGAAUAUACAAAACCUAUUUUCAUAGUAUAUGCUGAUUUUCUUAUAUAGUACAGUAUGUUUGAGAAAUAAAUGUUUAAUGCGUUGAUUUAAUGAUUUUCCAGCGAAUUGACUUUUAUUUAUGUGUUGAUAUUUAUUAUGAUUGAGAAUGAGUUCGAUUUAUGAUUUUAUUAGCGUUUUUGAGUAAAAGCAUGAUAUUAGAAUUGAGCAGACUUGAGAUAUGUUGAAUAGAAAGAAAAUGAGAUUUCAGAUGGGAUCAUAUGUUUACUAUCAGUUUUGAAAUCAUUAGACAGUACCCUUCCCUCCAGAUACAGAGAUACAGAUAAAAAGAGAUACAGAUAAGAGAUACAGAUAAGAUGAGAUAGAGGCCUUUGGGGCCCGUCGGGACACACAUAGAGGCUUUGGGCCGUGUGUUCGGGCGCUUUUGCCUUUUGGGGGCUUAUGCAUGCACAGUACAGAUAUAUGAGAUAAGAGAUAUGAGAUAUGAGAUGAGAUCGUCCCCAUCUAUCCGUUGUGGCUCCGGGGCGUGACGUUACCCAGAUAGUGCGUUAUUGCCUGGCCGUUGUAGCCCGGAUAUGAUCAGAUUAUCCCCUGGGUACUUGUUUGAUGACAGUUUUUAGUAUUCAGUAUUUAAUAUGAGUAUGGUGAUUCCAUCGAUUUUAUGCAGAUUUAUUAUUGCAGUUAUUCAAUUUGAAUUAAAUGAGUUUAUGAUAUUUUGAGAAAUUGAUUUGAGAAUUGAUUUACGAAAUUGAAAUUGAUUUAAGAAAAGAUUUGAGAAAGAUUAAAUGAUUUUGAAUAAUUUAUUAAAGUAUCAGCACCUACUAUCCACUCACUGAGCUCACUGAGUUUUAUACUCACCCCUCUUUUAUUAUAUUUUUCCCCCCACAGGAGAUUUACAGGUACAUCAGUCAACCCAGUAGUGAACGUUAGUUUGAUAUUGUGGUCACGUGAUGGUGCUAGAAGUCGUGGAUUUUAUUAUUAUAUUCGAAAUUUGUGUUAUUAUUUUAUGUUAUUAAGGAUAAUCGUUGUAUUUUAAUAUUCGGAUGAUUUUGGUGAUAUUUGAGAAGUUGGUUUGAGAAGUUGGUUAUGGAGGAUGUUUGGUUAUUAAAUUAUUUCGGGAGUGUUAUUUUGUCAAUUGCAGGGUUGGAUAUGUUUUAUUUAUAAGGGAGACUCUGCCGAAAUUUUUAUAGAUUUGUUAUUAAUUCGAUUUUACGAGUUUAGAUAGACUCGCCCUGGGGGAGGUUGCGGGGCGGGUCGUUUCAGUUGGUAUCAGAGCAUGGUUUUAGAUUCUGUAGACUUUAUGGUCGUAAAUAGAAUAAGUUUUGAUUAUUAAGUCGGAUUUACUAUUUUGUAGGCACCAUCAUAAUUAAAUUAGUUAGAAGUAAAAUUAUCUCUCUAGUAUUAUGCAAGGGUAGAAAUUUGGGUUGUACCAUGUUAUAAUUAUCAAGGAUAGUUUUGAUAGAAUUCUAAUUGUAAUAUAUGACUGUAUAAAAAAAAAAGAACAUUAAUGAAAGAUGUUUAGGUAAGGACUAUCUUGGAAUAGAAUUUUGAUUGUAAUAUAUCAAUAUAUAAAAAAAAAAUUUAUGAAAAAUGUUUAACAAGGACUGUUUUGAUAUUUUAAUGAGUAGUAAAAAUUAAUGUUAAAAUUUGAUAGAACAUAUAUAAAUAAUCCUAGCUCUAAUAAAAUUUUGCUACAUAAUUAGUUUAUCCCUUAAAGAAACAUAUCAAAAAAAUAUACAAAAACACAAUGCAUGAGUACAUGUCAAUCACAAAUGAAAGCAAUUAAGAUAAAGAAUAUGAUUUAUUUUAUUUUAUUUUAGUUAUUUUUUUGUUUCUUUUGAAACAAGACCAAUUAGAUCUGCAAGAAGUAAUUUUUUAAAAAAAUAAUAAAAAAAGGAGAAAUGAUGAAACCCACGUCCAAAGAUGCCGUUGUCGCGGAGGCCUAGAUCUCACUACACCCCAUCCCCUUCUACCAUAUUUUAUAAUUGAAGAGGCCAUUAUUGAAUUGAAAAAUUAUGAUUCAAAUAUCCAAAAGUAGAAAAAGAAAAGCAAUUGUUGGAAACACACUCGGAGUUUUAAAUUGACAUGAGAAAAGAAUAUAUUCAUCAACCUCAUACGUUAAUGAUGCGACGAGUUUAAGAAUAUAUUCCUAACGUGUGGGAAUUUAAAGACGUUACUACAAAACAUGUGUUCGUCGGUGGAGUAGAAUCAGGGAAAUUAAAGAUGCUACUACAACCACUAACGUGUGGGUGGAGAUAAGCAUAACUUUUUUCAUCAAAUGCCAAAUCCCCCCAGGUGGAGAGUGGGGACUCCUUCGCAUAAAUGUUGAUAAAAUUUUGACUAUGAUGUUAUUAGGAAUUAAGGGAAACUGUGGUGCAAUUGUGGUAUCGUGUCACAGUUGUAUUUGGUCGUUGGAUGUCAGUAGACCCUACCCAUAUAAGUGUAUCUAAUGGCUAAAUGUAAUUAUAACACGGUACCGCAAUUGCACCGUAGCCGAACCCUAAAAAUUAAGAUAUUCUCUCUCUACGUAUGCCUGCACGAAAUAAAUAAUAUGCAAAUAUAGUAUUUUAGUUUAUUAUUAAUAGUUUUACAAUAAUAAAAAUCAUUUUGAUAGACUGGAAAAUGUCAUAUUCGCAUUUUAUUUUGUACGGACGUCUGCGAGAAAGAACAUAUAUAUAUAUAUAUAUAUAGAGGAACGUGUAUUUAAGAUUUAGCUAGUGUGAAGUUGGGAAAUUUUUUUUUUGAACCCAGGCUAAAAUUAUUUCAAUAAAUUUUGAUCAUGGAGACUAAUAAGAUUUUUUUAGUUAUAUUUAUUAAUUUUUUAGGGACUAAUAAAUUUUGAUCAUGGAGACUAAUAAGAUUUUUUUAGUUAUAUUUAUUAAUUUUUUAGGGACUAACAUGAAUAUUAAUAAUUUUAUUGAGAUUAUUAAAAAAACAAUGUGCUAUUUUACAUCUAUGACUUUUCCAAUCUUUUUUUCUUUCGUUAUUUAUUCCUUUGUGAAUUUUAGUUAAUGCUUGAUAUUAUUUUUUUGCUCAUUUUUUAAAGCAGUAAUUAAAUCUGAACCCUUACAGUAGAAGAUUAUGAAAAAGUAAAGACACAAAAAUCAUAAAAAUCAUUAGUACGUCCAAAUUGUGCUAUUUUCAUACAUAACUUGAGAAUAUUUAUAAUUACGCAUCAGAACUAGUGGAGUAGAAUCAGGGAAAUUAAACAUUCUACAAUCAUUGACGUGUGGGGUGGGGAUAAGCAUAAACCUUUUCUAUGCAGUAUAAAAGAAUGCAAUAACUCCUUUUGUUUCAUAUCUUCGCAGCAAAAGCACAUCUAAUAACUCUUCAGAAUUCUCGUCUUCUUUGUCAGAAUGGUUGAUGCGAUCGUUUCCUCUCUCCUGGGGCAGCUGAGCUCUGUUGCGGCUGAUGAAGUGAAACAGCAGGUGAGGCUUGUGACUGGUGUCCGACAAGAAGUGACAAAGCUUACCAGCAAUCUUCGAGCCAUUCGAGCUGUGCUGGAAGAUGCAGAGAAAAGGCAAAUGCAGCGCGACAAUGCUGUUACUUUUUGGCUGGAUCAGCUCAAAGACGCAUCUUACGACAUGGAAGACGUGUUGGAGGAGUGGACCACUGCAAGGCUCAAAUUGCAGAUUGAAGGCGUUGAUGAUGACAAUGCUCUUGCUCUUGCUCCUCAUAAGAAGAAGGUACGCUCCUUCUUUUGUGCUGUAUCAAACUGGUUUGGUAGUUUCAAACAACUUAGUCUUCGUCAUGACAUUGCCGUCAAGAUUAGGGAAAUCAAUGGAAAGCUAGAUGGUGUUGCCUCCCAAAAAGAUACGUUUAAAUUUGUUGAGAAUGUGAGCAACAAUGUUAAGAAACCAGAGCGAGUGCGAACCACCUCCUUGAUUGAUGAGGGAGAGGUUUGCGGUAGAGUUGAUGAGAAAAAUGAGCUCUUAAACAAGUUGUGUGAAAGUAGUGAACAACAACAAGGCCUUCAUGUCAUCUCACUAGUUGGGUUAGGGGGUAUAGGUAAAACCACUCUUGCACAACUAGCCUAUACUAAUGAUGAUGUGAAAAGAAAUUUUGAAAAAGUUAUAUGGGUGUGUGUAUCAGACACUUUUGAGGAGAUUAGGGUCGCCAAAGCAAUCAUUGAAGGUCUAGGCAUGUCAGCUUCUGGUUUAAGCGAAUUCGAAUCUCUUGUGAAACAGAUUCAGGAAUAUAUUACGGGGAAGAAAUUUUUUCUUGUUUUAGAUGAUGUGUGGGAUGUAGAUUACAAAAAAUGGGACCCAUUCUUUUCUUGUCUAAAGAAUGGCCACCAUGAAAGUAAAAUUCUAAUUACCACACGUGAUAGGUCAGUUGCACUACAGUUGGGAUCAAUAGAUAUUAUCCCUGUCAAGGAGUUGGCUGAAGAGGAAUGCUGGUCGUUGCUCGAGCGGUUAGCAUUCUUCCGUCGUUCUGUUGAUGAUCAUGAAAAAUUAGAACCAAUCGGGCGAAAAAUUGCACACAAGUGCAAAGGCCUGCCUCUUGCUGCAAAGGUAAUAGGGAAUCUCUUGCGCUCUAAAAUUACAGUAAAAGAGUGGCAAAGAAUUUUAGAUAGUGAAAUGUGGAAAGUACAAGAGAUUGGGCAAGAUCUUUUGGCCCCUUUGUUGUUGAGUUAUAACGAUUUGCCCUCCAAUUCUAUGGUAAAACGGUGUUUCUCAUAUUGUGCUGUCUUUCCAAAAGACUACGAGAUGGAUAAAGAGGAGUUGAUUGAUCUGUGGAUGGCUCAAGGUUACCUUAAUGCAGAAGAAGACGAAGAGAUGGAGAUGAUUGGGGAAGAGUGUUUCAACAUUUUAGCAGCACGCUCUUUCUUUCAAGAGUUUGAGAAAAAUGAUGAUGAUGAUGAUAUUAGGAGUUGCAAGAUGCAUGACAUAGUACAUGAUUUUGCCCAAUUUGUAAGUAGAAAAGAAUGUUUGUGGGUAGAAAUGUAUGAUAACAAAGAAUCAGUCAUAAAGUCUUCUGGUGUCAAAGUCCGUCACUUAGGGUUAAAUUUUCAAAGAGGAGCUUCAUUUCCUACGUCCUUUUUUGAAUUUGAUAGAUUGCGUAGCCUCUUAAUUUAUGAUAGAAGUUAUUCCAAUCAGGUUCUUAAUAGUAAAUUGGCGUGUUUAAGGACAUUAGUUAUAAGGCAAUCGUUCCAAUAUUUUUAUCCUAUUUCUCUUGACUCAAAUGCGAUUAGAGAAAUUCCAGAAAAUGUUGGAAAAUUGAUACAUUUAAAAUAUCUUAAUUUGUCUAAAUUAGCCAUAGAGAUACUACCUGAGACUUUGUGUGAAUUAUAUAAUUUACAAAAGCUAGAUAUUAGGGAGUGCCGAUAUCUUAGGGAAUUGCCAGCGGGGAUUGGGAAGUUAAAGAACAUGAGAAGUUUACUGAAUGAUAAAACUUAUUCAUUGAAGUACAUGCCAAUAGGGAUUUCCAGAUUGACCAGCCUUCGAACAUUAGAAAAGUUUGUUGUGGGUGGAGGUGUUGAUGGUGGCAGCACGUGUAGGCUUGAAUCUCUGAAAAAUCUUCAACUCCUUCGUGAAUGUAGAGUAGAA
rnacentral:lncRNA from 1 species